rnacentral:lncRNA from 1 species
AAGUUCCAGGUAAUCCAACAUUGAAAUACACCGAGUUUGCCGUCAAUUUUUUGAAGCAUUUCGGUCGAUUGAAGUGGAUUUGAUUGUAACCCUUAUUCUCCAGCUAAAUGUGUGAUUUGUAUCCGUUUAUACAUCUCUCUAAUUGGGUCAUUGCAUCGUGCAUUGCAUCUCUUUUUUGUUCAGGAGCCCCGAUAUUAGAGCAUAUGUAUUUAUUCUAGAUCCCCUCUAUACAUUCAUAGAUCUAGACAAAGGCCGUGGAUUAGGUAUUUAUUGAUGAGUUAGCAGAGAGUACUCUUACACAACCCAAGUAACACAUAUAUGCUUAUUGUAUUUGAUAUAUAUGCAUAUCUUCAGUACUGUUUAUGCACAUUCACUUGAGUCAUUUGUUUACACAUUUGUUUUAUUAUAUAUGCAUAUAGUCAGUACUCUUUAUGCACAUUUACUCUAAUGAUUUGUUUUCACAUCUAUUUUAUUAUCAAAUAUGCUUAUUGUAUUUCAUAUAUAUGCAUAUCCUCAGUACUUUUUAUGCCCAUUCACUUAAAUCAUUUGUGUACACAUCUGUUUUAUUAUAUAUGCAUAUAGUCAGUACUCUUUAUGCACAUUUACUCUAAUGAUUUGUUUUCACAUCUAUUUUAUUAUCAAAUAUGCUUAUUGUAUUUCAUAUAUAUGCAUAUCCUCAGUUCUUUUUAUGCCCAUUCACUUAAAUCAUUUGUGUACACAUCUGUUUUAUUAUAUAUAAAAUAUACUUAUUGGAUUUGAUAUAUAUGCAUAUUGGCAGUAAUGUGUAUGCUCAUUCAUACACAAGUUUAUGAGCAUUUCGCAAUAUAAUAAGCAUAUUUGCAUUGUUCUAUUUACUUGAAUAAUUAGUUUACACUCCUGUUUAUUAUAUAUAAAUACAUACAGAUACUGUUAUUUAAGCAAAAGUUAUUUAAAUAUUCAUGUUUGAAUAUGAGCUAAAUGUUUUUAUUACUAUGAACCAGUUAUUAAAAUAUGUUGUAUAGUUAGUUGAUGCAAAAAAGGCUCUUAUUUUAUCAUGAUCCAUUUACAAUUAUAUGAAAUAUUAAAUCAAUCUUUAUGUUUGUAUAUAACCAUUGUUCAUUAAAUGCUCUCGCAUAAAUGUAAAAGGUAGUUUAAGUUAUGUAAUUCCAUUUAGCAUUAUAUAGUAUGCAUUUUAGAUAGUUAUAGUAAAAAUUAGUUCUUUUUUGCAUAUAUUCAUGCAUAAAUCACUGUAUUUAAAAACAACUUUUUUCUACAGAUUUAUUCAGUAUUUAAUCAUGAAGUCUGUUGAUCGCCCGCCCAGUAAUCCAAAAAGAUUAACCAUUGAAUCCAGUCAGGAGGUUUUUUCAAUUGACAUUUCCAGACGUACAAGAUCCAGCAGCUCAGCUCACCAAGAUGAUAUUCCACAAAAUCAGGAGCAGAAUGAGCCACAACCAGCCCCAAUCCAUCGUUUUCGCAGAAAGGCUUUAGCUUGUCGUUUAAAAAGAAAACCUCCUGCUCCAUCCACAUUGUUCGACGACGAUUUCAUGGAUGCUCCAUCGUUGAAGCGCCAAUUCAGAUCUGCCUCACCUUCUCCUUCAGAACAAAUCAGUGCAAAGAAGAUAAAAGUACCUUCUCCUCAAGUUCCGAGCGUGAAAAGAAGUCCAAAGUCUAAUAUCAUUACAAAAAAAACUCUCCUAAACAGAAGACUCCUAGAAAAUCACAGGUAAUAUCUAUAUAUUUCUGUUUAUUCAUGUGUUAAUUUUGGUGCCCAAUCAAUUUUGUAUUUUCCCCCACUUUAAAUUUAUGUAUAUUAUUAUCCAAAAAUAUGGUGUUUACUUUUUUUAGUGUUGUAGACUAGUUAUUUACAAGCCUGUAAUAAAUAUCCCUUGUAUGUAAAUAUAGUAUCAUUAGUUCUAACAAUAUAUAUACUUUGUGUAUUAAUGCAUAUUCAUUUAUGCUUCUAGAAAUUGAAUAUCCGUUGUAUUCCCUAUGAUGUUAUUGUAUCAUCUUGGAUAAUGAGCGACCGGCAGCGCGAUGCUGUCGCUAGGUUGGGAUUUUCUAGUAUAUUUGAUUUGCGAACUGAUGCCUUAGAGAGCAGAUCACUCAUCAGGUGGUUGAUGGAUAAAUUGGAUCCACAUGACAUGACCAUACGCCUAGGGGCUGGCAAGGAACUGAAGAUAACAAAAGAUACGGUUCGUCUGAUUUUGGGUUUGCCAUGUGCUGGAGGAGGCAGGGAGUUUACUUAUUGGUAUGGUGAAGUGGAUGCUGCUGCAAAACUGAGACGUGAUCUCAAUGUUGGUAAAGAAGAAUUUGAUGUUGUCAAGCUUCAAGACAAGAUAGUGCUUGGCAAUGAUGAUGAGCUAUCAAUCAGAUGCUUUUUUCUGAUUCUAUUCAAUCGACUUCUUUUUCCUUCUGCUUCUUGGGGCAUUACAAACAAUGAGGUACUAAUGACUUCAAACAUGGCCCGAAUGGCUGAUAUUGACUGGUGUCAACUAGUUUACACGGAUUUGUGUGAUGCUGCCGCACGUUGGCAUAAAAGGAACAAAACAAACAUCACAGCAACAAUAUAUGGAUGCUCACUCAUUGUUCUAGUAAGUAAUUUUGUUGUUUAUUGUGCAUAUAUAUGAUAUGCAAAUAUUUGUUAUGUACUAAUUUUAUAUAUUUGUGCAUUCUUUUUUCAGAUUUACUAUCUUGAUCACCUACAUCACCCUGUAUCUCCUGAUAACAAAUAUGGUACUCCCCGCAUUAAGUUUUUUGAUAAUGAGACCAUAAGAGAGUUGGCUAGGGGUGACAGACGUCCCCCCCGUAAAACUGGUGAACCAUUCGGCUAUGCAGAGGUUAGACAUAAACAAUUUUUGUCCUGUUAUGCAGAUGUUAAAAUUUUAUUACUGCUAACUGUUCUAUCUGACUUUAUACAGUUUCGUAGCCGUUCAGAAAUGUGUUACGUCAUUGCUCCAGAACGGCCUGUUUCUGCCGUUUUCAACAUAUAUGUGCCACGUAUCAAGCAUUUGAUUGGCAACAAGUUGCAAUGUUUGCCCUCCCAGCAUCGGCCAAUGUUUCAAUCAAUGUUUGAUGCUCAUGACAAAGAGGUGGAUAAGUACUGUGAUUCCCUUCAGCUGAGCCAUCAGAUGAUUGUUUCAAAGCAGAUUGAACUCUUUGAAACAUUUGGUGAAAUGAUCGAUGAAGUACUGAGAGUUGCAACGCAGCGCGAUUCACAGCAAGAAGGUUUUAUUAUUUAUGUUUAUUUUUUAAAACUGAUCAAGUUCACGAAUUAUUGCGUGGAAAAUUAUAUAUAGUUAUACGAUCUCAAAUAAUUUAUUAUAUGCAGUUUUGUAUAUACAACUUAUGCAUUAAUUUAUACUCAUACAAGCAGCAACACAUUUUUCAGUUGAUUUUAUUUUUGAAAACUGUAUUUUAUUUAUGCAUCCUGAUAGUAUAUUGAUGUAAUUUGCAAAUGUGUAUGUUUAACCAUAUUUUUAUAACGAUACAUUUAUAUUCCAGUUAUAUUUCAGUAACAACUACUUUAUUAUUAUAUGCUCCAAAUGUAGAUAACCCCCCCCCCACUACCUCAAUGCCUCCAACAAAUGCUCCAGUAUCCUCACCACCUGUUCCAACACCUGAUAAACAGCAACAUGAUCAGGAAAUUCAUGUUCCUACUGAUCAUAUCAAAGUAUCAGAUCAUGUAAGUUUUCUCAUACAAACUAUAUAUACAAUGCAUAUAUUAUAUUUAGCAUACAAUUUACUGUUUACUCAAAUCUUAUUUGUUUCCAUUACAGAUUGUCAGUGGCAACGUCUGCAAAAAAGAUGAAGUUAUGGAUGCCCCUAUAUUUGACAAGACUCCAAAAUCAAAUGUUUGACUUCCUUAUAUCACAAUUAUUAUUAUUUCAUUUACAAUGUAUGCAAGUAACAGUAAUAUAUAUGCAUGCUUUAUUUUUUUAAUUCACCAGGCUCCCACAACCGACAAGUCUGCUGCUCCUGAGUUAACACCAGAUAUAAAUAGCGUAAGUAUUUACACCUUCAUCAUAUUAUGCUAAUAUUAAUUAUAACAUAUGUUUCAUUACGUUUAUAUUAAUAAUUUUAUUGGUUACAGGAAGGACAAAAAUCUGUUACACAUGAUACUCCUGUAUCUGGUGCACCUCAGUUCGAUAAAACCCCACUGACAGAUGUAAGACAUGUCGUUUUAUAUUCUCAUAUUUUUCCUAUAUAUACACUAAAAACAUAAAUAUUUAUGCAAUUGUUUACUAACAUAUAUUCAUAUAUUAGGCAACUACUGACCUUGUUGCAAGGGAUAGUUCCUCUAAAGCUGCAGUCGCUGAACCUCCCCACGUGUCACGUGAAGACUGUGCUCGCAACCUACUUAAGUUCAUUUUGUCAGAAAAACUAGAUCCAAGCAUGUAUGUAUUAGUUAUUCAAAUUCCAAUUAAGUAUAAUUAGAUGAAUUGUAAAUAAAGUUUUAUUUUUUCCCAGGUCUAUCAUUAAUUUUGGAGGAUUUGGAGGUUCUGUCCUCGAUGUUGUCCAGUCGUUUGGUCCUAAUAAAUGUCUUGAGAAUACUUUCAUGCAGGGAUUUAUCGACUGUAUUCGUGAGGAUGAUGUAUUAUACAAUCCAGAUUCUGUAAUCAACACUCUAAUAUUGAAUGUCAAUGUUGGGGUAAUUUUUUCUCCACAACUUUGUAUCUUAUUGCAACACUUACUGUAUAAAUAUAUAAUACUAAUCAAUUUAUUUUUUUUGUCUAGACCGUUUUGAAUAUCGAGGAGUUUGAACAGCACAGUUCAAAUCCCCGGCCCUUCUCAACAUCAUUUCUUAAAGAACAACUUGAACCGACGCUUCCUCCAGAUGAAGUUCUGAACCAAAUUAAAUUGGUGAGCCCCAAUCAGUUUUAUUUGUAAUAAUGUUAUAAUGUUCUUUUGGUCAUUAGUUUUAUGUUGUCUUAGCUUUAAUUUUUCAUAUGCAUAUUAUUAUUCAUUCAUAAACUUACAUAUAUAUUUAACAGAUAUUGGUUCCUAUGCUACGUCGUAGUCACUGGACCCUUUAUGCAAUCAACUUUGAACGUCGUCGAAUAGACAUCUUAGAUUCAAAUCCUUAUGGGACAUUGCUUGGAGGCACUACCUGGAAACAAAUCCAUAAUGAUCAAAUGAUGAUAAAUGGAACGAAGAUACCUUGGUCCAGAUUAAUAAUGAGAAGACUUAGCAUUGCGUUACAUGAAGCUCGACCUGAUUCAACUGUACCAAAGUUUGGCAACCACAAGAUUAGGCUUCUUCCCAAUUGUCCAACCAUGACACCAGGGUCAAAUGAUUGUGGUUUUUUUGUUGCAAACUUCCUCCGCUACUACGAUUUUGAUGAUGGUGACUUAUCAGAAUUUUAUACUCCGGUAUGUUACUAAAUUAGUGUUCUGAUCUUGCAUAUAUUACUCAUUCAGAUUUAAUCUUAGCAUUAAUUUGAUAUUAUGACUAUUUCAGGAUGAAUCAUUGGACCAACGUGCCUUUGUUUUGCAUUACCUAACCUUUCAUCGCAACAACAGGGUUGUCCCCCUUCCUGCAGAACUGCUGCCUUUCAAGUAUGCUCCAAGGAGACGCCGUUGUUUGAAAGCCAAGACUUAGAUAUCAUAGCUGAACAUGAUUCCCUAUGGGAUCCACAAAACUGUUUAUGUUACUUAUUAAGUCACUUAUGUCAGGUGUUGCUCCUGUGUAUGAUACUCCAUGUGCCACUUAUGUUCGAUGUGUCCAGUUUCUAUGCUACUUCGCAUCAGUUUUUAUUUGAAGUGUGUCAAACAUAAGUGUUACCAGAAUGUCUAGUUAUGUUAUCUGUUAAGAAAUUCUAUGAUGUUUCAUCUCCAGAUUGUGAUAUGGUUAAUCGUUUGCUUCCAAUGUUUGGUGUAUUUGUAUUAUCAUAUUGUCUUUAAUAUUCAAGUUUUAUGCAUAAUAUAUACUUCCUUAUUUUAUAUACACUAGGUUCAUCUUUUAUACAUUUUCCAUGCUAAUUAUGCUAACUGUAACCAGUGGUUAUGCUAUAUCCUGUUUGGUGUAUCUGAAGUGCGAAACCAAAGUAUGUACUCCCAUUCGAUUAGUAUUGUUAAGUGUAUACAGUUUUAUAUACCAUUUAUGUCAAGAACUGCCGAUUGCUAAACGUUCAAUGCCAAUUUGUUGUACAUAUUCAGUUACAUAAUUUGUGUAAUUGUCUAGAUUUACGCAACAUUUUAUAGUUUUAUAUCAACGCAUUAUAUAACCCUGUCAUGCAAAAUAUUUAAUUUCCAACAAACUAAAGCAUAGGUCAUUGUGCUAUUACAAAUUUCUACUAAAUCGACCACUCUUUAGUCACACUUCAAAUUAUUCGCCCAAUUCCAUAUGCUCAUCGGCUUCUUCAUUUUCCACUUCUUCAUCAAUACGAUGUUUUUUAGCAGUCGAUGUUUCAUUCCACUGUGGAGUAGUUGUUUUAUUGUUUAGUCUUGAUCCGGCUGGUCGUCCUCUCUUUCGAUUAGCCAGUUUUGCUAGCCUUGCCAUGUUCUCUUCCACAGACAGACAUGUUCUGUUGUUAUGUCCAUCUGCUAUACCACACAAUUGGCAUCUCCUAUUCUUCUUUUUCUCUCCUUUCGCACCUAGUCUCAUAAUCCUAUCUUCUGAAUUUUUUAUUGUCCGUCCUUUUGAUCUUGCACGAUCCGGCAUACUCAGAUUUAUAACAUCCACAUUAAAAUUCAACCUCUGCAUAAUAAUAGAAGUUAAUAUUUAGAAUACGCAUAAUUACAUAAAUUAUAUUUAUACCAAUCAAUAAAAUCAUUUAUCAAUGCUCACCUUUUUAGCUUCUGAGGAUGCAGCAAUAUGUUCCAUUUGUUCAUGUGCUACGUGACACGGAGAACUUGUAUCACCAACCUCUUGUGGAAUUCUCAUGUUGUCCUCCUUUAUAGCCCAACCCAAUUACAUCAACAUUUACAUGCAGCAUAAAUAUAUAUUUUCAUUUUAGACAAAUGAACAAUAUUAUUUUAAUAUGUACCUGGUUACCAGUUGUUAUUAACGCAUGUUCACAUCCAGUCAUGGUGUUAUGCUCAUCCUACAAAAUAAAAUUUGAUUAUUACAUUGAUUUUAUAUAUUCAUUAUAUACAAUACUUCAUGCAAGCUUAUAUAUUUAUCUUUUACAUACCUUUUUAUGGCAUGUAAUUGUAUUGUCAUCUUCCAUCCCAUCGCCAGCAUUAUUUUUAUUCAAUUCUACUUCCUGGUACAAAUAACAUGUUACUAUGCAUAAUUUAUGUUACAAAUAGUAUAACACUUAAAACAUCUGGAAUAUUAUUACCUUGUCUUCCUCAUCAUCACUAACAUCUGUUGACUCAUUACAUCCAAUAUCUGGCUCUAAUCGGCAUAGAACGACAUCGAGCUCAUCCAACACAUCCAUCGCCUUAUCGUACCCUGCUUUUGACAUACACGCCUGGCGAACUACUUUCAUUGUUUUCGUUAACAACAUUUUCUGUCUGUAUGAUUUAGUAACUCCAUCCUUUCCCCUGAAGCUCUUAUCAAUUCUCUCAAACGGAACAUCUUUUCUUGAUGAGACAGUGUACCUUUGCAAUAUAUAUUUUGAAGGUAUCUUUUCAACUUGAAGAUGCAUGAAGGCUCUUAAAAGAUGAACACACAAUAGACCUGAAAACAUGAAAACGAACCAUUUUUUUCAACGAUAUACAUUAAUUUGUACUACAAUCAUCAAAUUCUUUAGUAUGCAAAUUUAUUCUGCUAAUCAACAUAAUACGUACAAACCUGUAUGUUCCCACUGUUUGCACUCGCAUGUAUACUCCCCGGCUUCUAUGUCCGCUGUUAUCUUGAAUUGAUGUUGAUCCCACACAAUUUUAUUAGACCUUUUUGUAUGUUGUACGAUCCAUUCAUUAUCACAUCCGUCUGCGUCCUUUAAUAUUUUGUAUGCAGUGGCGUAUUUCAUUGAUUCCUCAAAUCUAUUCAUAACAGCUCUGGUGUAUGCUCUAGAGACUCUCACUUCGAACCUAUACAAUUUAUCUGUUGUCCUUGGUCCCUAUAACACAUUAUUAUCAUAAUUAAACACAUUAUUUACAUAAAUGUAUGCUAAACGUUAUUGAUAACAAGCACGACAUACCUUGCUCACCAAUGCCUCCUUUGAUUCUUUCAUUUUCCUGAUGUGCAACAUUUUCAUCAUUUGUUUAGCGAACUCAUGCAGUGGGGUGUUCGCAUCUACAUGUGAUUGCUUUACUAAUCUGUUCAUGCUCUCACUUCGUUGUGUAGGUACCAUUACCCCACAGAAGUCGUUUUUGAAAAAUGCAGGUAUCCAUUCUUUUCUUAUUUCAUAUAAUUUGUGUAGAGUCAUAUCUUCAUGAAGAUUGAACUCCUCUAGCAUCAUUUCCUAGGCACAUUCAAAUUCAUGAGGAGUUAAUGGAUGAUGUAUAAUAGACUGGAAUGUUGUUUUAAAAUCCUUAACAGCAAACCUUGCAUAUAUCUCAUUUAGGAAUGGCAUAAAUCUGUUCUGUACAUGCCAUAAACACAGUCUGUGAACUGUUUUUGGAAAUACAGUUUUUAGAGCAAUUGGCAUUGCAGGAUCUUGAUCUGCAAUUGCUCACAAAUUAUUCAUUUGUUUUCACAAUAAAUUAAUUCACUGUUUUGCAUAACAAAUUGAUAUAUCACAUACCUGUAAGCAUAACUCUUGGACCCUCGCAUCCCAUACAUGUUUUGAAUGAAUUGAAAGCCCAUUCAAAAGUUUGUACUGUUUCAUCUUCCAACAAAACAAAUCCAAACACUGUACACUGCAGAUGGAUGUUAGCUCCAACAAACAUGCCCAGUGGUUUAUCAUAUAUAUUUGUCUUGUGUGUUGUAUCAAAUGUCACAGCAUCACCAUAAUCUGCAUAUUCCCCCUGCAUACUUGCGUGUGACCAAAAAAUACUCACUAUUUUCCCAUCAUUGUCUAGCUGGAAAUCACAAAAAAAUUGUGGAUUCUGUUUCUUGCAUUCUCUAAAGAAAGCCAAAAGUUUGGCUACAUCAUUUGCGCAGUUUUCUCUUCUCCUGGAUGCCCUCCUACAUUUGUUUGCACAAAAAAUGAUUACACACACAUUUACUAUAGUAAUAUUUAUGGCACUUGAUAUAUACACAUGUAACAAAAAAAUAAUUGCUUACAUGUUUUUCAGAUCUUGAGCAGUUACCGGUACGUUCUCCGGACCAUCAUGCAUUUCUGAUAUAAAAUCAACUAUGCAAUGCUGCGGCACUCGGCUAUCAUGCAUUGCAUCAACAAAAUUUAUGAACUCAGCAUUCCUAAUUUUGUUGCAACGUAAAUGUUGUUUCUCUGCUUCGUCAGUUAUGAACUCAUGGUUAUGCUCCAAGUUUACCAGUUCAAUUUUUGCAGCUACAACCAUUUUUUUCAUCAUCAUAUAUUUUUUUCAAUUUUAAUCCAGCUUUACAUUGCGUACGCCCCGAUGACCUAUUCCUCAUCCUAGGUGUAUCAUUUGAUUUUGGUGCACUUUUACCUUCACGUGAACAAUUUAUCCACUUACUGAAUGUCUUCUCUCUGUAUUUCUUCAGUGGAAAUCCAACUUCAUAUGCAUACCUUUUAUAGAAUUUAUAUGCAUCAUCAACAUCCUUGAAAGUCAUCCCUACCGUUGGCACUAUAGUUGGAUCACUGUUUUUUGCCUGCUAUUUCAUUGUCAUUGUUGUUUGUACCAUGGAAUAUGUUCACAACAAUCUAAUCAAUCAAGAAUCAAAUACAGCGAUUGGACUUACAUGUGAAUGCAGUAUUUGUGGCGUAUCCAUCUCCCUGGAGCUAAUAUUGGACAUAGGAGGUCGAACCCUUUGUUCUCCUUCUUCCCCUAUGCUCAUCUCGGCGAUCUCAGGACCCAGUAGAGCAGGAGGUGGUGUGACCAGUGAGUUACCAUCAACUCCUCCCUCUGUCUCUGGAUCAAGACGAACGCCAUCUCCUUCCAUCGCCGGCGACUCUCCAGAGCCGGCCAUCUCCAACUCCAAUUAGUUAUGCAGGCUUAGUGGUCUUUUUUCGAAUGAAAGUUAAUCUCGGAUACUAUAAAAGUAACCGCAUCCACGUUUACAGGGUCUCCCCAUUAUUUCUGAAACCGUCCCGAUAUUAUGGCGAUGUCAAUGUCAAACUAAAAUCCAUAAUAAAAUAUUUACGCACAAUGACUCAACGUUUUACGCCACACGGUAUAUACUAUUUAUGCAACUUUUAUGCCGUUUCGGUUUUAUGCCAUAGCUUACAACAUCUUAUGCUACAUUUUUUUCCCUUCCGCCAUUACUUCCCAUGCAAGAUCCAUAAAUUACGCGCCCACGUAUCAUAGUAAUCACGUUUGCAUGUGGAAACUAUUCCCUUUAAUUCCGCGUCUUUCCCUUAUGUUUACCGCCUUGUCAUUCAAACAACCGCGUAACGGCGCCGUCUGUCCUGCAUGCCGCCUCUCAGCACUACGUUAAACACAGGCGCGCCUGUCCCAGCGGACCAUACCUCGGAACCGACAUGGGCUUCCUUUAAUAUCCGAAGCCCAGGGCUCCCGUUAUACCUGCUCUAUAUAUAUAUAUAUAUAUAUAUAUAUAUAUAUAUAUAUAUAUAUAUAUAUAUAUAUAUAUAUAUAUAUAUAUAUAUAUAUUAGGAGCCCUGGGCUUCCAAUAACUAGAGGAAGCCCAGGUCGGACGGUGCAAUCCGGUCGAGUCGGACCACAUCCGGACGUCUAUAAAACAGGACCCGGAGUGCUAGGGGUCAGUUUUUUACGCUCCACCCCGAUUCAUUAGCGACGCCGCGUGCGACGACGGCGGUUGCCCCAGAGCGUGCGCGACGGUGGACCCCCAGCCGGUGGCCGCAACUCCAUGACCUCGACGCGCGGUGGCGGAGGUUCCUCGAUCCGUAGUAGUGGCGGCGGCUCCCAGGUCGGUGGCGGCGGCUCCCCGAUCCAGAGGGCGAGCGACAGCGGGGCCCUUGUGCGGGCAAUCGGCGGCGUCCCCUAGGUCCCGAGGAGGCGGCACUUCUAAGGCCGACGAGCAAGCGACGUCCGUCGGCGUGCGAGUAGCGACGACGACGCAUGAGGCGCGAUCUUCGUGCGAGCGGCGUCACGGAAGGCCCGAGAUGCGCGCAGCGAUGAUCGCGCGUGGCAUCCUCCGAUCCGGCGCAGUUUUCUUUUCGAUUAUUGUGUUUUAUGCCUACCACAUGUAUUAUUUACGCCAAAAACUGUACGAUUUUAUGCUUAAACAUGGAGUUUGUAUAUCAGUUUACUGCAUGCACAUUGGAAAGGCAAUUCCUUGAUUUAUGUUGUUCGUAAUUUGCGCGCAUGCAAAGGAAACUCCCACGAUUUUUGCCAUAAUUUUUGGAUCUGUAUAAAAAUAGAAACCGCAUGCAUGCGGCUGCCAUAUUUUCGGAUCUGUCAUAAAAAUAGGAUAGUAAUAACAACCUACUAGAGCUAUCAACCUCAUACAUUGAUCUGGUAUUUACGCUUAUAAUUGAGGGAUUUUAUACUCAAAACUUAAGGUUUUUACGCUCCACCCGGGAAUGCGUCCACGAGUGAACAACAUGCCAGAUUUUUUACGCAGUAUGACGAAUUGCAUAAAUACCUACGCAGUGUGGCAUAUUUAGUAUGAGUAUAUAUCAUAAAAUGGUCAUUACGAGUCUAGUUGUAUGGCUGUUGUAGCGAUCCUAAAUUUAUGGAGGAAAUAAAGUAUUUAAAAUAAAAACCGCCACACAUAUCUUUCCUAAAUUUACGCGCAUGUAAAGGAACGUGUUUGACUCAUGCAUGCAUUUUACCAUAAUUUUUGGAUCUGUAUAACCGCAUGCAUGCGGCUGCCAUGUUUUUCGGAUCUGCCAUAAAAAUAGGAUCGUAAUAACAACCUACUAGAGCUAUCAACCUCUCACAUUGGCUCGGUAUUUACGCUUAUAAUUGAAGGAUUUUAUUCUCAAAGCUUAAGGUUGUUACGCUCCAACCCGGAGAUGCGUUCACCAGUGAACAACAUGCCAGAUUUUUUACGCAGUGUAACGAAUUGCAUAAAUAGCUACACCAUGUAGUAUAAUUUGUAUCAAUAUAUAUCAUAAAUUAGAUCUAAUGUGUUUAGCUGCAUGGCUGUUGGAGGGAUCCUAUAUUUAUGAAGGAAAUAAAACAUUAAAUACGAUUUUUUGUUUCUAUGCGUGCAAUUCAUUUCCUUUCAUUGCACAUUAUUUUCAUCAUAAAUUCGUGUGCAUGCAGCUGGUAAUAGAUUUUUACGCAGUAUACUGAAUUGCAUAAUUAUCUACACACGAUAGCAUAUUUAGUAGCAGUAUAUAUCAUAAAAUGGUUCUUACGAGUCUAGUUGCAUGGCUGUUGCAGCGAUCCUAAAUUUAUGGAGGAAACAAAGCAUUUAAAAAUAGAAACCGUCACACAUAUCUUUCCUAAAUUUAUGUGCAUGCAAGGGGACGUGUUUGACUCAUGCAUGCAUUCCUUUUUUGCGCGCAGAGACGUGGGCGCGGAUGGUGCAACCGACAGCCUGGUCCAGUCGGUGCGCUGGGUUAAACCAGGUUGCAGGGAUGAUCGGUCUGGCCUUCCGUUAACUAUUGGAAGCCCAGGGCUCCCGUUAUAACUACCCUCUAUAUAUAUAUAUAUAUAUAUAUAUAUAUAUAUAUAUAUAUAUAUAUAUAUAUAUAUAUAUAUUUGUAUUUAGUGGUGUUGCUCGCGAGCCUAAUGAGCUGGCUCGAGCUUCCUAACGAGCCGAGCUGAGCCAGAUGUUUAGCUCGUUAGUAUAACGAGCCGAGCUGGCUCGUUACAGUAACGAGCUAUAACGAGUCGAGUCAUAACGAGCCGAGCUGGCUCGAUAUCCACCCCUAGUUAAAGCCAUGUUUGGGAGUGUUUCACUUCAAGAAUUGCAGCUUCGAUUUUUCAACUUCAUCAUGAAACAUAUUCAACACAUUGGUAAAGUAGGGAUUAAAAUGUUUGACUUAGACAUAGACUCUAGCUUCUAUAAUACAUUGAUGAUUAGCAGGUGGAGAAAGUGACAUAAAUCGAUAGGUCAUGUAAUUGAUGACAUAGUGGACAAUUUUUGUGCAACUUCAUGAGAAGGUAUAAAAACAGUAUUUUUAAAGCACCAUUUAAGGAGCUUUAAAAAUUUCAUAAAACUUACCUAUAGUUUCAGUUUUUUAAACUAGAGUUCGUAGAGCUAUACCUGGUUGGAAAGAAGCUGAAAUAAACUUAAAAUUCUUAAAAUAGAGGUCUACCAAACAGAGCCUAAAAUGGUAAAAUAGAUUCCACUACACAUCAAUACUUUACUCGAUCUCAAAUAGACAAAUUUUGAAUUGUGCUAUUUAAAAUUGUGUACUUAAGUACUCUAUUACGCAGCCCUUUUUACGGUCUCACCCACAAAUCUCACAACACAACAGUUCCACGCCUAUUACCAACUGCUGCAUUAAGAUAAUUUUUAAACAGGUCUAUUUAACCACCAUCCCCAAGGCUUGCCCUGAUACUUUUUCAGGGCCACUCUCCAGGCAUCGCCAGAACGGUUUCUUGAUCAUUUGGCCGCUUCAGAAGCCCAGUCACGCUGUACUCAACUGCUCGGUCAUAUGAGUAACCAUGCAAGAACAGUACACUAGAAGCAUCCAAAUGCACAAGGGUACAUUUCAAAGGAAAAUGCAGAAUAGAUAGAUCAAGUGGUCAGCAACCAAUCCAUACCAUCACGGGGUGCAACCGAAACAAGACGAAGGGAUACGACAACAACUUAAGAUGAAGGUUCAGGCACACGACUUGCCGUGAAAUUUAGAGACAGCUUACAACCCCAUGCAGGACGGGAAGUUUGCCACAGAGAAAUCAACCAUGCGCACAAAGCAUUGCACGGGGUACACACAUGAAAUGACAACGGUUGUUCACGAUUCAGACAUAGCACGCAGCAGGCAGGGGAGGAUAACUUUGGUGAGCGCACCAGCACGGGCAUCAGUUGCCACCGAACAGGUAGCCCAGGGAAGAGCCACCGCCAGGAGCAGCGUGGACCUUGGUUGAAGGACGGUCCUGCAAUCAUUCAUAAACAACAAAACCAACAGUUAAGCAGGAUCAAGAAACAAGUUUUGGGUUCCAGGGAGCGAUUAGGUAAGUGAGCCCAACCCUUCCCCUGUUAUUUAUUUAUUAGUUUGCAACAUUGUUCCAUAUAUGAAUCUGUAGUUUUGAGGAAUCAUAAUUUGUGUCCUUGCAUUGCCCAAUCAGAUUCUGCAGCAUGACAGAACUAAAGGAAUUUUGGUUCAAUUUGGUCAAUAGUUUAUGGAAAGACAUGGUCUGCAUAUUUUCUUCAGGAUAUUUAAUUUUUCGGCACUAACAAUGUGUUGGCAUUUAGUGUUGAUGAUAAAAUGGUAUAUGGCUCAUGAUUGGUAGUCUAAAAGGUCAGCAGCCCAGCAACAAUCAAGACUCGGUACAAUUUAAAAAGCAAUAAACAUGACUGGAAGUCUUUCCAUCAACAUGAUUCUAUCGGGUUGUAAGAAUAAGUACAGACAUUACGUGAUAAUGCAGCACAAACUACCAUGAUGUUUUCUCAAAACAUGAUUAUACAUAAUAUAAGCACCCCACAAAAUAUGACGUCAUUUCUAAGCAUAUCAAUGGAUGAUGGCAACACAUAAUAUGUAAAAAGCCUAUGUGAAAUGAAAGAACAUAAAGUAGCAUACCGUAAGGAAGUUGCCAGUGUUCUGACCAUCAGCCCUGUGGUAGUUAUUGGUUUGGCUGGUAACCCCAGCAGCAACCUGCUUGGCCGCAUCAGUCUUUGCAGCAGAUGGUUUCUCAACAGGUGGAGCACUUGCAGCUGGUGCCACUGCUGGUUUGGGGGGCUCACCGCUUCCAAAGAGAUAACCCAGAGAACUUUGACCACCACCGGCACUACCACCACGGCUCAUCUUGAUUAUUGAAAAGAGAAACUGUACAAAGAUCUAAUCAGGUAUCAAGCAUUACUUCGACACAUUGUAUAAAGGUACAAGAGAGACAAUGCAAAUCAAUUUAAUUUCAAGUACCACAAAUAAUUUUUAAAAUACUAAAGUAUGUUUCGAUCUGCCACCAACACUUGGUAAGGAUAUAAUUCUCCAAGAACAAAGUAAAACAGAGAAGAUAUAGUUUGACAGGAUCAACUCUAUUAAACUUUAUUAGGUACUGUAACUACAAACAGAUGAAAACAUCAAAACAUAUCUCGAUCUGUCAUGGAAUCUUGGUAACGAUCUUAUUAAGGAUGUAACGAACCGAUCUUCCAGAUAUACUUUUACUCAGAUACUCAGAUAGAGUGAUAGACACUGAUUUCCUUCUAUGUUGCAUGUUUGUGCAGAAAACUGAUGCACCAACAAAUGUAAAACUAAACAGAUUGAUAGAACAAUCAAGGAAAAUAAAGCAUCUUCGGUUUAACUCUGCCAAGUAACAAAGUUCAAAAGAACAUCUGCCUAGUCAUAUAUGACAGGUCCUUGUACAAUUCUAUGAAACCGGGAAUGUGGAACCAUGUGGGGUUCCAUGGCCCGAUCGGGAAUGGGACCAUAUGGAACAUCGUAUGGAACCAUGGUUGGGACACAGCCCUCACUCGAGUAGGAUGUCGGAUAAACCAUCAUCCUGCACAAGCAAGGGGCAUGUACCUUCGCGGAAGCGGAGCACCACGAGGAUAUUGGAGGAGCAGAGGUCAGAGGACUGGCAAAGCACUAAGACAAAGGGAUCGCUAACCAUGUGCUCAUAUUACAUGAACAAACAGUUAAUCAUGUGCUCACGUUGCAUUGAAUUAUUUUUUUCUAUACAGGAAUAUUUACUAGUUGGCUGUUUCAGGAACCUCGUUCCACAUUAUAGUUCCAAAAUUUUACGGUUGACGUUCCGGUUAUCGAAUAAACCAUACAAGGAGCCAGUGAUACGCAACCAGUGAUACGAGGUUACCUAAACAAUUAGGUCUAACCUAGACACAACAUGAAACGAAAAAAAUCGACGGAUCAACCACCGAAGACCGCAAUGCACAACAGAUCUUCAUCUUUCUCUGGAGAAUCUAAGCCGCAACAUACUCCGAAGAAUCUAAUGCGUACAGCCGCAACAGCCGCAUUCACGGUCCCUAGGGAGGGGAUACCCUGCGGAUCGACGACGGUGAGUCACAAAAUUCAACAGAUCCGCGUCUACCGACAAGCAGCGGACGCUCGGAAGCCAGAAAUGGACGCGGAUCUCAACCUUGCGGCUAGAUUCGGGCGCUUACGGCGCAAAUCAGGACAUGGAAGCGAGACAACGAACCGAGGGUUGAGCGGGCAAAGGAAAGGGCCUUACCGAGAGGCAGCGGCGAGGAGAUGGAGGGCGACCGGCGGCGGGGUCGGUGGGACUGCGGCUGCUCCGGAUCUCUCUCGCUUCUGCGCUCGAAAAUGGAGAACUGCGGCUGGUUUUGUAUUGAAGAGGGAUCGGGUGGUCCCAGUACCCGGGGACGGAUGGGCCCAACACCUCCAGCAGGCCGUCCGAUCUCGCCACUGACGGUGGAGAUGGCCCCGGGCGCCCGCGUCAAGGAGACGCUCGAUACUCGGAAACGCAUAAUGGUUUUCCUUUUUCGUUUUCGAAAAAAACACGCAUCGGCAUGGCAUAAUGCUAUUCAGUUACUCAGUAGUUGCUGCCUCGGGUUGCAAACAGCAAACGUUACGUUUGCUACUCAUGAAUAUUUUCCAACAAAUAUCUGUCAUCGCAUAAUCUUUAUUUAUUUCUUCAAAUAUUCCCAUGAAUCUUCUAGCAAUAUGAAAUUUAACAUUCACAUUGAAUACCACCCUAGUGUAAGAUGUGAUUGCUUUCAAAAUGCUGAGAUGCUUUGAACUAAAUUACGCAGAUCAGAAACAUAGAAGCUAUAAACACUAGAAAAUUGCCAGUCAUAAAAAUAACAUUAAGGCAAGCGUUUGGUACGCAUUCAUUAGUAUGCAGCAUAUGGUUAUCCACAGCGGAUCGUAUAAAAUUGUAGAUUUGCACUAUAAUCGAUACUGUUUACAAAAUGAAGUUUAAAAUAGAUGAUAGGACAGAAGAUAGAAUAGGAUAACUGUGGAGACAGCCUAGAGAUCAUAGUUCUGUGCUGGAAAGGGGCAGGGGUCAAGUCGGGUAACACAGACGAAGAUACAAACCACGACAAAAUGCCCUUGUUUCCCCUGCAGUCGCACAUACCAGUUACAAAGUAAGGAUACACAGCUACCCCUCAGCUAGCCGUCCUAGUGUACAUGGAAGGGGGUGAAACAACUAAAACGUCCUAGAAUACUUCUUGAUUUCGAACAGGAUGGAGGAUAUGGAGACAAGGUCCUUGUUGAGAGCAGAGCCGCCGUUGAUUCUCUUGACACACUCGGAGAGCCUGGUGUAGUAUAGCAGGAGCUGUGCGAGCGUCGCUCUCAAGAUCUCCAUCCCGCAAAGAAAGUUGCUGAAAGAUGUGAUCACAUCAUAGUGCAUCAGCUCGAUCGCGGCCUUAUACCGGCUCGCGAAAUCCUUUACCAGUGGCUCAACUUCGGCAAUGCUGGCUUUCUCGGAAUUUGCAGCCGUCUCAUCCGCUGAUAAAGGUCAAGUAUGAAAUGUGAUUCAAAAGUAAGAAAGAAAAAGGGCAUACAGUUGCCAUGAGAUCUCAACUUACCUGGACGAGAUUUGACGAAUCUGAUCAAACUACUGAACUGCUCCAGGAGCAACUCUUCCUGCAGAAUGAUACAUGCAAUGCAUCAAGAAACUUCAGUAGAGUUUUUUAGAAAACGCUAGUGUAUUAAUGAACGUCACAGAAGUCCUUGAACACCUUGAACAGAAACUAAGGUGCUGUUUGGUUUACGAAAUGUAACGUAAAUGGUAAUGGUAAUGGUUUGCACUCGAUUACUGGCGGUAACAAGUUUGAAUAGUCCGGUUACUCCGGUAUCAAUUUUUAGUAUGUUAUCUGAUUACAGUUAGAGUAAAACAAAAAUGAUUUAACGUUAUCAGUUAUCCAUUACGUUACAAAUAUGUGAACCAAACGACACCUAACUUCAGCCACCACUAAUGUCAUUAACAUUAAACACAUGAUUUUUUUUUAUGUGUUGCCACAAGGUAAUAGCAGCCAAAGGGCUUGUCCUACUUUACUAUGUAUAAAUUUGCCAUACUUCAUUCUGUCACAGCCUUGGCAGUCAUAUAAGGAACUAAGAGCAUCUCCAAUACACUAGUUAAAUAGUUUGUCAAGCUAAAUUUUAGCUACUUAAUAACAAAAUAGCUCUCCAACAGACUAGCCAUUUAACUUGUCAAAUUAUUCGGCUCUCUAAAUUGACUCCUUUACUAGCUAAAUUUGGCUAGCAAUUCUCGUUAGCCAAGCUAAUUUGCAUGUUGGAGAAUCUGUUGGAAUGAAAUGUUAUAUAUAGAGUUUAAUCUUUAUGAAGAGAUAAAUACUGAGUUAAAUAGAGAGUCAAAACUAAAUAAUCUCUUGGAGAUACUCUAAGACCCCAACUAGACUUAUGUAUUUAUUUGUUUCAGCUAUAAAAGUUCCACCAGCAAGCUAAAUAAAUGCAGCGAGUGGUAUUUUACCAUACAGAUGUUCAAGCUUUAAAACUGCAUACCACAUAUAUUGCGAUGUUGCUCUUAAGAACCUCCUCGAAGUGUUGUUGUGCUUUCCCACCCUCAGUUCCAGCUUCCUUUAUGUUGAUGAUAAGAUUAAAUUUGAAUAAGGCAAAUGUAGUAUUACUUUAUAAAUUCUUGACGUGCAGGAACAAGUUACUAUAACAGAAAAGGUUGCCAUUUAAGGUCAGCUAAAGAAUUCCUACCUUCAAAAUGGAAAUUGUUAAAUCAUAGUUGUUUAUCAGAAAGACAGUUUGUAGCUUCGGUUUGGAAAACAUCUUGGCCAACUUAACAAGCAAAUCCUCAAUGGCCAUCCGCAAUCGCUCCAAAUUUAGAUCAAGCUGCACAUAGAAGCCAAAUAUUUUGAUUUCCAUGAGGUACAGAAAGUGUUUACUCAUGCCAUGCAAUAUGGUUGAAAGAAAUUCAGAAAACAGUAAACAAUUCUGUUCAUGUGAUCAACUAACCUGACCGUCCCCAUGCUCAACAUUGAGAUGAACUAGAGAAGCUGUAAAUUCAGCAUAUCUCCUUGUAACAUAGUGUGGAUGGACAUCAUCCUCCCAAAGUGUUUUAAUAUUUGCAUUUCGCAAGCUGUUCAAAUGCAAGUCGAACACCAUCUUGAAGCGAGGCCAGAGUGACAUAUUAACCUGUCCAAUGUCCAUAAAUUGAGCUCAGUCAUUCAAAUAAUGGAAAUGGAGCAGAUGAAAGACUCACGUAAGGAGCUAAGAAUGGAUUCAGAACUGACUUUGUCUAGGUAAGAGUCCAAACAUGGGAUUCGCCGCUUAAACAUGAUGAGCUGCACAAAAUAAGCAUUCCAUUGAGAUUUAGCAAAAAGUAUAGACCAGCUGUUUGCGCUUUGCACCAGUUUAUGCACUAGAUGAAAGCAAACAAAUUUCCAAUUAAACCUAGUUAAAUAUAAUGCUUAAACAAGAAACGCCGAAAAAAUGGGUAGAUUUUCACCAUUUUUCAGGGUAAACCCCACAUGGGACUGUAAGACAAUCCAAUACAUACAGCUUUGUAAACUACUGUCUCAAACUAGAUGAAAACUAUUAGCUUCCAACCAACAAACAGAGAUAUUGGAUGGAUCAAUAAAUAUCUACCAAACAUUGAUCACAACUCGCAGCCACUGUGAGAACAGAAAACAAAAUUGUCCUCAGCGUUAUUCUUAAUAUAUAAAUGUCGAAAUCACAAGGUGCUCAAUCAUAUUAUAAGGUAAAUCAAAGUUCACCUGGUGCUGAUGAAUUAUUCUUCCAAUUAAACCUAGUUAAAUAUAAUGCUUAAACAAGAAACGCCGAAAAAAUGGGUAGAUUUUCACCAUUUUUCAGGGUAAACCCCACAUGGGACUGUAAGACAAUCCAAUACAUACAGCUUUGUAAACUACUGUCUCAAACUAGAUGAAAACUAUUAGCUUCCAACCACCAAACAGAGAUAUUGGAUGGAUCAAUAAAUAUCUACCAAACAUUGAUCACAACUCACAGCCACUGUGAGAACAGAAAACAAAAUUGUCCUCAGCGUUAUUCUUAAUAUAUAAAUGUCGAAAUCACAAGGUGCUCCAUCAUAUUAUAAGGUAAAUCAAAGUUCACCUGGUGCUGAUGAAUUAUUCUGAUCAUAAGCAUUAUGCCAAUUGCAUCAUAACAGUUCAGGAGUACAGUAUUGAAAUGUUCAUCAACAACUUGAAUCGGUCCUGGGGCCAAAACAAUCACAACUUAAAUUAAAAAUUGUCUUCAGCCAGCAUAACAAUAUCACACAUAUGAGAUUGUUACAUUAAUGCAAUUGGUAUGUUUGGAAAAAAUGGUGCAUGAAAGCAAUAUUGGGCAAGCAAUAUAAAAGGCAACAUGCUAUCAGUUAAAUAUGGGUGUACUCUGCACAAGAUAAAAAUAAAAGAGAAACAAACUUGAUGGAAGCAGGAUGAAGUACCUGCAAAUAUAUCAUGGAAUAUGGAUUCUUCGCCAAAGAAAUCAUCAGUAAACAGGUAUCUGCAGUUUAUUUAUAUAUGUCACACUGGUACUUUAUCUUCAUGAAUAAAAAAUAUGGACAAAAAGGCAACCCAAAGCUUACUCUGAAGUGGCAGUAUCAAUAAGAAGUUUCUGCAAGCUUCUGAAAAGAACUUCAUACGAGUAUUUCUGUGACUUCGCUUCAGCUAUAUGAGGUAUCAAUGCUGGCUGGUCGAUUUCCUGAUAUAAUAAAGAAACCAAAAAACAGAAGUUAAACUACUAUGCUUUGUACUUGGUAGUUUGAGCAAAACAAUCCUUCAGCAACAAUAUAGAUUUCAAAGAUAAAUAAAUGCAAGACCAGAUUGCAAUAAACCAACAAAAACUGCUUUAUCUCAAACCCUUAAACACUUCAUUUAUUAUAUUUGUUACCGCUUCAUGGGUGCAACUACAGAUAAAGGGAAGCUGAGAUCUCCAGACUUGAAAAUAAUCAAACAGUUCAGACUGAGCAUAAUUGGCUAUGCUACGAUGGCAAAUUUUGCCAACAAAUUAAACAUCUUAUUAACAGUGUACGAACUUCUGGAUAUAUGCACCCUGUAGCACAAUAACUGAGUUAAGCUCCCACUACCAUGAUUGAGCCAUUUAUGAACGUCAAAAUUCUAAACAUUAUGUCAUCAUCUGAAUGAAAGUGCUAAUAACUUCACCUUCAAAAUGUUUAUUCGUUCACCCAGAGCAAACACUGAAGGACGGGUUUUCAGAGGUUCUUUUCCAAUGGAGAAAAUGAAGCCUGUGCUUCUGGUUUCAACACCAAGCAAAUCAGUGGAAGUUGCUAUGUCCAUCUGUAGUUUCUCCAAUGCUUGUAUGUAAGCCCGGAAAUGUGCACUUAGCACCUGAAAAUUGUUAGGAAUAGCAAAAAAAAAAUCUAAAAACCGUCAAACAACUAAUCUAAAAUACGUCAAACAACUAAAGUUGGUCACACACACAUAUCUAGGUCUUUUAUUGUUAUCUUUUCUGCUACAUAGUAGCAGAUUUACAAAGUGAAAUUAGAACAACAUUGACAUAUAUGAAGGUUAGUGCCAGAAAACUAAACAAAUGAUUAGUACAGGAGCGAAAGAAGAAAAGGCAGGCAGGAACAGAUGCCAAUGCCCCAUCCAUGUCCCAAAUUGACUAAAGUGGUAUAUCCUGAACCCCCAAGUGAAGCAGUCUAUUCAAACACAGAGCAACUCCUAACUCCUCUUACUUUGACCAACAUAAUCUUCAACCCUUAGGCAUGAAUGAUCAGAGGCGAAAAAGAAAAGAGAGGACAUUAGGGAAAAGCUUUAACAACACCCCCCCCCCCUCCUCAGUUAUGCAACACCGACUCUCCAAGCCCAAAUAGGAGGCACAGCAGGCUGAUCCGUGAGGAUUGAUUGAACCUUCUAUCUCACUUCACAAAACCACCACACAACCAAAGGGAUAACAGCUAGCAGGGUAGAGUGGUACUGGAGGCAGGUGCCCAGUGAUGGAUGGUGGCUUGCCUUCAAUAGCGAUUGAUGAAAUCACGAGUCACGGCACCAAAAAAGUGCAACAUACUGGAGUUAAUCCGCAGUCUGGUGCUUCUCUCGCUCAGCCUCGGCAGAUAGCCCACGUGGUGGAUGGUGGCCAGCGAUUGAUGAAAUCAUGAUCACGGCACCAAACAAGUGCAACAUACUGAAGUCAACCCACAGUCUGGUGCUUCUCAUGCUCAAGCCUCAGCAAGUAGCCCACGUGGAUGAAGUGAUGAACUAAGCCCUAUGUUUAUCCCAAAUUUGAUUCUAUAUUUUCUUAAUUAACGCAAGGAUCAGCACAGUUGUGUGCUUGUGUAUAUCUACAAAUCAUGGUUAAGCAGAAAGUAAGACACAGACACUUUAUUCUUUUUACCACAAGAUUGAAGGUACAUUUUGUGUGUGCAAGGGUAAAAUAAUUUGGUCCACCAAAAUGCAAGUGUUUUGUUAGCAGGAUGCCCAGAUGUGGUUUACAUUGCCAAGUUCGGGACUGUAAUCUUCAUGAGUGGUUCCACUAUUGUGAUAUCCUGGCCCUAAUGGAUGGUGAUAUCCUGGUCCAAGGCUUAAUAGAAUUAAUAGAGUACUCAUAUCAACAAAAUGCAUCUUCUUCUUCGGAAGUCUAUCUCGAAAGAACCUCCAAAGUCAAGUGUGCUUGCCUUGGAGCAAUUUGGGAUGGGUGACCGACCGGGAAGUUUUCUCAGGUGCACAUGAGUGAGGAAAAAGUGCUCACAAAAGACUCGUGUUGGUCUAUGGGGAUGGUCUAUGGUCCUAGAGGGCUGCGAGGAGUAAGUACUGUGGUCCGGGAGUGAACGGAGUGUUACAAAUGGUAUCAGAGCCGACACUCGCGGUUUCACCGACGUGUGUGAGCUAGGGGUUCGGGUAUAUGGAGCAUGGCGUAUGUGGGCCCGGAGUGGUCACAUGGCAUGGCAUAUGACGACACUAGACAUAAAGACGUGGCCAAUAGGGGAGGUUCCUGGAUUAGGGUUGACCGACGAGGACGUCGGUCUUCUAAGGGAGGUGGAUUGUGAUAUCCUGGACCUAAUGGAUGGUGAUAUCAUGGCCCAAAACUUAAUAGAAUUAAUAGAGUACAACAAGGUGCAUCUUCUUUUUCGGAAGACUAUCUCGAAAGAAUCUCCAAGUUAAGUGUGCUUGGCUUAGAGCAAUUUGGGAUGGGUGACCGACCGGAAAGUUUUCUCGGGUGCGCAUGAGUGAAAAUAAAGUGUUCACAAAAGACUCGUGUUGGUCUGUGGAGAUGGUCUAUGGUCCUAGAGUGCUGCUACCGGUCCGAGAGUGGACGGGGUAUUACUAUUGUGAGUACUUUCUACUUUUGGAACUGCAAGCAUUAUAAGAAACCUCCACGCUACCUACUACCAGUGUGAUAAGAAGCCUGCUCAAAAGUCAACACCCGCACAAUUGGACAAGGGGGUUACAUUGACUGUGUGAUUCUUAUUCAGAUCAGACUGCUAGUUUUAAUGUGACAUUCACCUUAUUCAUGGUGUCAAUAUACGCCGUACGAACUUCUGCAUAUAUCUCCUUAGCAUGUUCCUUAAGGAAAUUUAUCGUGUACCUGCAUUUGGAGCAUUAUAGCCAAAAUUAGAAAUUACACAAAAGAACAGAAUAACACAGAUACACCACAUGGCAAUGAAAAGAGUAACAAUUUAACCACAUGGGAUUAUGCAACAUUCGAUUUUUUUACCGUGAAAAAAAAAAUCAUAUUCACUCAGUAAAGGUAUACUAGUAGCUAGCUAUUAAAAAUGGGCAGGCAAAUAAACUGGUGGAAUGAUUUGUGGAUGGUUCACUAAUCCAACUGGCGGUUCAUAAAGUAGACCUGGCCAGUUGGUUGAUAUAAAUUAGCAUUUAAAGGUAUACUAGUUGAUGCAGCCCCUCUACAUUUGCGGGGGAAGGCUUACAUAUCCCUUCCCCUGAUCCCACUCAUGUGGGAGCCUUCGGCACUAUGUCUGUCCUUUCUUUUAAUAUGUGAUUCAUACUUAAUUGACACCACUUAUAGGUUUUUAUUCUCCAUAGACAACAAGACCUAAACUUUAACAAGCUACCUGUCCAAUUUUUGUAAGACACUAUUGGUGUUAGCCUAUGUAUGGUUGCCAAAAAUAGUAAUAUUACUUUUCCAUAGGUAUAUGUAGACAUACUAUCACCAGUCUAAUGCGCAUUUGAUGCAACCUUCCAUACCAUCAUUGUUCGUGAUAUCCCUACAGAUACCUUGAGGUGUUUCUAAGACCUUUGUGCAUGAGCCUACAUGUAUGAGUGGUUUCCAUAAAGUUGAUAAUUUAGUAGGAUUUUAUACCGCAAACAGAUGAAAUGACCUAUAUGUUUACACAGUUGAAAAUUGUGUAGUACUAGUACAGAUGAAUCUCCACUGCUUCUAAACCAACUGAUUCUGUGGUCCAUUUACGGGCCUGGGCUGAUUCUUCUUCUGUCUGUGUUGGACCUGGGCAAAUUCUUCAUCACUGUUCAUGUCUCUUCCAAGCAGUCUCAGCCACCACCUCUCCUCCUUUCCUCCGCUCAUCUCAGACACUUCUCCUUCCCUACCAAUACCCUGACAAGAUUUAUGCUGUUGCCCAUUGCCCAAGCCUUCUUCAUAAUUACGAGGAUGCGCCGGUUCAGAAGCAGCAGUGAUAUAAAUUAUAAUGUCGAAACCAUUAUUUAGUUCACAGAACUUUGCAUAGAUACAUGUUGAGCGAGACAGGUACUGAAAUUAGAAACAACAGUACAAGGCUACAAGCCAAAAUAGGUAUUUGACAAGAAAAAAUGGUGUACUUGUAUUUAAGAAGAACACUCUGCUGUAGAAUCUGAAUAUUAGUCUUUGGUUUUCUCAAGGCAUAGAACUUUUGGAUGACAAACUCGAAAAUCUGCAUGAAAAGUUGGGAUGCAUCAAUAACUCUGUGCUGUAGUCUUAUAUUAUCGGAUUGGCUACAGAUAAAAAAACAGUGAGCAAAAGAUUCAAUCAUAAGUUACAUCAUAACUACCAUGUAUUAAUGGAAUUUAACAGAAAUAACAAUAAACCAUGCUUUUCAUGAUAGUGUAUUAACUAGUAUGGUUAUUAUGGCUUAUAAGGGGGUGUUUGAAUGCACUAGAACUAAUAGUUAGUUGGCUAAAAUUGGUGGUGGAAUUAGCUAGCUAACAAAUAGCUACCUAACUAUUAAAUAAUUUACCAAAAAUAGCUAAUAGUUGAACUAUUAGCUAGGGUGUUUGGAUGUUUCAACUAAUUUUAGCCACUAACUAUUAGUUUUAGUGCAUUCAAACACCCCCUAAGUAGCAUUCUCUGCUAGUAAUCCAUUUCGUUGCAAAUUGCUGCUCACACUUCACCAGGUACAAAUAAAAAUUCAAAGAAUAACACAGGACCUCUCAUCAGAAAGGUUUGAUACUUGAUAGCUCAUUAUCACUCCAGAUCAUAGCAUCUUACCCCAACUAAUUGUCCAUAAUCAUUUGCAUACAACAAACGUAAGUUCCUCAUACUGCAAAAAGAUUGCAAGUUGGAACUUGUACCUAUGUGCCACUGGCACUGGCCCUAGGCUCCAACUUCAGUGAUGUGUUACCCAAUUCAUAUACGUGGUGCUACUAAGUUUGUUCCCUUUUCAAUAUGACUUAAUAUCCCAUUACAUACAUAUGGUAAAUUUACCAUAUGAUCUGUAAGUUCACAACCAUCGUGCGUCAAGACAGGCAAGAUGCAUUAGCUGAUUAGCUCUGAUAGUCGCAUCAUGCUGAUAAAGCACAGACAUGGGAACCGCAGAAGGAAAACAAACAGAGUGGGUAAUUGGCACCAGAAGCUAGGAACUAACAAUUGUUUUUCAAACCUUUGAGACGGCUUUCUGUCGUAGUCUCUCAACCUCAGGUUGAACAUCUUUUAGAGCCUUGGAUGAUUUAACCAUGGGGUCAGCAUCGAUGAAUUUGAUUUUUUUGCUUAGAGUCUCAAGUGUUUUCAUGUAUUCAUCAUUGACCUGCAUCGUUGUUGAAUAGAAUAUUUUCGUAAGUCUAUUAAAGAAAAGUUCAUGAACACCAACUGCAGAAGAAGCUAUGCAGGUAGAUCACACGAUAAAUCAUGUGGCUUGUUUUCUUUUCUCUUAACGCAAUCCAUGUGACUUGUGAUAUGUCAAAACUGACAAAGUCUUGUAUAUAGGUAAAGAAAAAGAAUGAGAGAUUCUUUUCGAGAAAAAAAAUGAGAGAUUAAGUGAACUAAUAAAUGCAACAGCAAAAAUAAUGUCACCAAAACAGAUUUAGUAUCAUCUAAGAUACGAUAUACUUGACAAUCAUCUAAGAUAGAUAUACUUGACUACUAAAAUAGUACUUUAUAGGUUCCUUAGGAAGCAAAGGGACAAAAUAAAUAAUCCCAGCAUUUCACACACUAACCCAAAUAGCAGAAACCUGUGUCAUUCGUUUCAAACUUUCAAAUGAAAGCUAUAGUAAUUCCAGAAAGAACUUUGAUCAUAGAAUAGAAUAAAAUAAACCAAAUCAACAAUGUACAAAUAAAUACAAAAAACGGUAAUGUCAAAAGCUGGCAUAAUUAAAGAAUGUAAGUAAUAACCUCUCCAUCAACAAUUAUGUCAAUCAUUCUUGGAGGUACUAUUAUAUCCUCGACAAAUUUUGACAAUUUAGAUUCUGCAGCCUGUAAUUUGUUUUCCAAAAGAGAACCAACAUAAGAAUCAUAAAGAUAACUGAACAUGGGGAAAGAAAAAAUAUUAUGCAUAAAAGCUAUGAAUACUGGGACCAUUUCCAAAACGAACUAUUCCUGAGUCCUGACGAAAAAGAGGAUAGUGCCUCCACUUGAAAUAUCUCAAAGGGAAUUACUGAUCCAUAUAAUUUUAAGACAUCCCAUUUCUGAAUUAUAAUAAGUGUGAGCCAAAAAGCAAAAUGGUGUUAUACAUGAUAGUAGCACUUGUACUUGUGCAUCCAUUGGUAAAAAUAACACCGAAUAAGAAACAUCAUCUGAUCUAAUAUUUUCCUAACCAUGUAUUUUCGUAGUUGCGUGCACAGAAAUCAGACAAGAACACCAGCUAUGGUAAGAAAUGUAAACCAUAAAACAUGGGAGAUGAACAACAUCAUGAUUCAUGUCCAGCAUAGAGCAGCCUUAAUAAAAAAACAAUGGCACAUCAAACCUAUGAAUGAAUAUAUAUACAAUAUAUGCAGUGAACCAGACCUUACGAUUUUUCAGCUUUAAUCCCAUGUCCAUAGAUUUCUCCUGAAGGACCUUUAUCUCUGAACUUAUGGAACCAAUUUCUGUCUACCACAGAAGUUAAAACAUUGAAAUAUGACUUAGUAAAGAAAGAAGAGCCAGUUUUUUAAAAAAUCUAAACGUGCAGAAAUACAUAGAAUCGGUAAAGCCUGAAUACUCUAGAAUUAAAAGGGGUUUUGCCAUUACAUUUAAAUCAAAUUAUCAUUCCUGAAUCAUUAAUAAGUCGAAAAAAGGUGUCAUCCAGAGCACAUCACUGAAUAUGAUAAGUGGAUAACAUAAAUUGAAAUUACAAUCCUUGCAUAACGCAUGGAAUGCAGCAGAGAGAAUGCAGAACUUGGUGUGCAUAGCUGCAUCUGCAGUUCUCUAUUAUAGCUACAAAUUGACAUGUUAAAUGUAAAGUGGCAUACACUAGGUAGAUUUUCGUGUAACUAAUAAUCAAUGUUAAGAAAAAAUAACUGAACUGCUAACAACAAAAAAUGCACAUCCCAAAUUUGACAACAGGUAGCUACUCGCUUGGCUAUCCAGCAUGUACAGGAAUGUCUCAUAUAAUAUUAAAACAAAAAACGGGGGUGUAUAAUUACCUGGAAUCCAGUCAGAACUGUUUCCAUUUGUAACAAAAUAUUGUCACAAUCACAAAUUUGAUCAUGCAGAGAAACUAGAUUUUCACUUUCCUUAAUGUAAUCCUACAAACAAAAGGAAGACAGGACUUAAUGCCAAGACAAGUAACCCACUAGUGAUUUCUUUUUCAGCAACGCUAAAGAACCUCAACAGUCCCAAGUCCAUGAUCUACACCUUGUCACCUUCACUACUCUUGAGCAAUUGUUUGGUGACAGCAUAAAAUUUUAAUUAAGAGAAUGACAAUAUCAGUUCAACAUAGAAUUAUUCAAUAAAUCAGGUUGAUAUUCUAUCGACAUUUGAUUUCCCAGAGCAUAAUUGGCAUUAACUAUUUAACAAGGACGAUAUAGCAAUGCCUAAAGCAAUCACCUGGAUAGAAUCCAGCUCGAUUUGGCGUAUGUUAUUCUCGACGCCUUUUGUGUACUCGCGCAGUUUGAUGCCACUGGCUAGAAUGUUUGCGACUUCCUGUAUAUGCCAAGAAUGAAAACGAGAGUGAUCAUCAAGCCAGAGGCAAGGGAACAAUGUUUCAUACAGUGUGCCGACGCCAAACAUUGCGGCAAGCUCAAAAGGGCAGCAAUGCAAGCCACUUACUUAAAGGCCUCAGUAAGGUGUAAUCUGACCAUCUAGUACUAUACAAAUAUCAUAUAUUAUAAGCUGGAGUAAAACGCGACACCUGGUCAUUCUUGCAGUUGUCAAGCUCCUGCUGCAGCCCCUCCAGGGACUCGUCGUCACUGGCAACGAUGAAGCAGCGCACACUUUAGAAUUGUAGUGGUAGAACGAUAGAGACAGCAGGCAGCACACUACACGAUCCGAGAAAGAAGAAUUUGAGAUCGUGGUACCUGGUGACUUCCUCAUCGAGGGCGAGGUCGCCUACGAAGACCCCGAGAUCGAACCUGUCCUUGAGCCCGUCGAGGGUCUCUGCAGCAGGGACGACCGCCAUCUCGGGUCAGAAUCGCCGGGGCGGCCGGCGGACAGCGUCGGCCGGCUGGCUGGCUAGCUCCGAUCUAGAUCUCCCACCGUUGGCGUUGAGGACUGGGAUCGGAUCGGACGGGUCCCCGGGAAAUGGAGGAGACCCGGACCAGCUGUCGUCGGACGUCGGGUGGGUUGGAAUUGGAACUUUGAGCCUGUAGUCUAUGCUCGUAUCUAACAGCAGACCACACGGCCCAGUUAGUUCUUUCGACCCAUAUGAUUGUAUGCUUUUCGCCUGGUUAACAUAUUUUGCCAUUUCAGACCAGGUUCUUUGCUUUUUGUCUUGACUGAAUUUAAUUGUUUUUGUCUUUCUUCUUGAUUAUUAUGCCUUACUUUAAUUUAUAUAUUGAAUUUUAAGUAUAUUUUCCAAAUAUAGUUUAGACACAGUUCUCACGUACCUAUAAACAAACUCACUCGUAUUCUAAGCUACUCUUCUAAGGUAUUUUUAGUAGUAUUACUUAUCUCAUCUUCUAUUUCAAAUCCAACUUUAUAAACAAUACGGUUUGUCAUUGUUUGUAUUUGUAUGACUAUAUACGGUAUUCUAGCCACAGCCUAACAGCAACUCCAAGAGACUAGCUAAAUCAUUUUGUAAAAGUAAAUUUGGCUAUUAUUAGAAGGAAAAAAUAUUUUCACUAUACUUUGUAAAUGGCCCUUUCAAAUUUAAUAACUCUCUAUCCCUAUAUAUUUGUUCUUUAUUUUUGGAUAGCCUGAUUUAGUAUGUGUUUGGUUUGAUGUCAAAGUAGUAUGAGGCGGGGGCGGCAUCGUCCACUCGAUAUUUUGGAAAACACGCCGCCACCAAAAAUUGCUCUUGUGUUCACCUUAUUUCCGUGUGACUCUCAUCCAAACAUCAUAAAAAUGUAGUUGUCUCCUUCCUUCCCUCAUCUACAUCCAACCAAACACACUUUUACUUUUCAUACAGAGUUCUGAAUUUAUCGAGCAUGUUGAACUAAUCUACUCUUUUUAAAAAACAUUUAGAGAAUAACUAAAUUAAUCAAUUUAGCUAUUUUUUUGCUAAUCGCCUAAAAAGUCUAAUCCGACACAUCUCAAAGUAAUGGGAACCUCGAGGUGAACAGGCAUGUCGCCUUGUGUCAUUGAAUCCUAGUGUUAUUUUUCCUCGCCGAUUACAAUUAUAGGACGCGAACAUGAGACAGAGGGCAUGUUUGUAAGUUUUUUUUUUUUUGAGAAUCUAGAUUCCUCGAGAAUAUGGAUAAGACAGAGGCCACAUUUGGUUCAUUUUUUCGAACAAGUUUUCCUGAGAAUCUGGAUUCCCGAAGAAUAUGGUUAUGCGGAGAAUCUGGAUAUCAUGAGGCUUAUAUGCGGAGGAAGAUGAAAACAUCCACAGGAUUUAGGAUUUAGAAAGUGAAGAAACUUAGACUCGUCGGUUUCUAGAUCCUGAACCCUUUGCACCGCUUUAUCUUCCUCCGCAUGUAAUCCCCACGAUAUUUAGAUUAUUUCCACAACCAGAUUCUCAGAAAAGCUGGUAAAAAUAUUGAACCACGCAUACCCAUAUGUUCUAGGCUUCUAGCAUGAUCAGUUUAUAUUUUUCGCAGACAUACACUUUGGAUAUACCGUAUGUAGAAUUACUUGUUUUCACUCAUACAGAGCAAACCUACAUGAUCUUAAAAUUCUCUAGAAGCCUGGCAUAUAGCUCUUCUAGUUUUCUAACAAAUGGUAUUAACAUUAUUCAAGAGGUAUUUCAUAUUAUCAAUUGGUAUCAUUCAAUUUAAUACAUGUCAAAGUUUAAAAUAUAGAUGACUUGCUCCUAAAUAUCACCUAUGAGUAAUGCUCACACUCAUGUGAUAUUAUCCUAUAAGUUGUAUCCUGAAAUUAAAAGUUCCAAGUACAUGUCUCAUACAAGUAUUCAAAACUUGUAUGCACACUUUUAGAGAAAAGUCACUCUGUAAGUUAGUAUCUUUGAGACUAACACUGGGGAGAUGCGCAUCCAGUGAUACGAGGUUACCUAAACAAUUAGGUCUAACCUAGACACAACAUGAAACGAAAAAAAUCGACGGAUCAACCACCGAAGACCGCAAUGCACAACAGAUCUUCAUCUUUCUCUGGAGAAUCUAAGCCGCAACAUACUCCGAAGAAUCUAAUGCGUACAGCCGCAACAGACGCAUUCACGGUCCCUAGGGAGGGGAUACCCUGCGGAUCGACGACGGUGAGUCACAAAAUUCAACAGAUCCGCGUCUACCGACAAGCAGCGGACGCUCGGAAGCCAGAAAUGGACGCGGAUCUCAACCUUGCGGCUAGAUUCGGGCGCUUACGGCGCAAAUCAGGACAUGGAAGCGAGACAACGAACCGAGGGUUGAGCGGGCAAAGGAAAGGGCCUUACCGAGAGGCAGCGGCGAGGAGAUGGAGGGCGACCGGCGGCGAGGUCGGUGGGACUGCGGCUGCUCCGGAUCUCUCUCGCUUCUGCGCUCGAAAAUGGAGAACUGCGGCUGGUUUUGUAUUGAAGAGGGAUCGGUGGUCCCAGUACCCGGGGACGGAUGGGCCCAACACCUCCAGCAGGCCGUCCGAUCUCGCCACUGACGGUGGAGAUGGCCCCGGGCGCCCGCGUCAAGGAGACGCUCGAUACUCGGAAACGCAUAAUGGUUUUCCUUUUUCGUUUUCGAAAAAAAUUGUUACCGCUUCAUGGGUGCAACAACAGAUACAAAGAAGCUGAGAUCUCCAGACAUGAAAAUAAUCAAACAGUUCAGACUGAGCAUAUUGGCUAUGCUACGAUGGCAAAUUUUGUCUACAAAUUAAACAUCUUAUUAACAGUGUAAGAACUUCUGGAUAUAUGCACCCUGUAGCACAAUAACUGAGUUAAGCUCCCACUACCAUGAUUGAGCCAUUUAUGAACUUCAAAAUUCUAAACAUUAUGGCUCUGUUUGGUUCCUUUAGUCACUAGAUUAAAUUUUAAUGACUAAAGUUUAGUCGCUAAAGUACUCUGUUUGGUUCCAGUGACUAAACCGGACUAAUGAGCAUUAAUUGCUGUGAAUAAUGACUGUUUUACCUCUAUUAAUUAAUGGAUGUUUGCUAUAAGAAGAAAGUUGAGAGGGCAAAUAAGGUAAAAAUAUUACUUUAGUCCCUUUUAGUCACCCCUUGGUGACUAAAGAACUAAAGUUUAGUCACCACAUUUUAGUCACCAUGUUUGUUUCUUUAGGGACUAAAAGUAACUAAAAUUUAGUCACUAAAUUUUAGUCACCCCUAACCAAACGGGGCCUAUGUCAUCAUCUGAAUGGAAGUGCUAAUAACUUCGCCUUCAAAAUGUUUAUUCGUUCACCCAGAGCAAACACUGAAGGACGGGUUUUCAUAGGUUCUUUUCCAAUGGAGAAAAUGAAGCCUGUGCUUCUGGUUUCAACACCAAGCAAAUCAGUGGAAGUUGCUAUGUCCAUCUGUAGUUUCUCCUAUGCUUGUAUGUAAGCCCGGAAAUGUGCACUUACACCUGAAAAUUGGUAGGAAUAGCAAAAAAAACUAAAAAUCGUCAAACAACUAAUUAAAAAACGUCAAAUAACUAAAGUUGGUCACACACACGUCUAGAUCUUUUAUUGUUAUCUUUUCUGCUACAUAGUAGCAGAUUUACAAAGUGAAAUUAGAACAACAUUGACAUAUAUGAAGGUUAGUGCCAGAAAACUAAACAAAUCUGUACAACAUAUUAAGAGAGCAAGAGUAGUCUGCCUCCCUCGUUCUGCCGUUCUGCCAUCCAUGUAUCUGGACCGUCCAUAUCGCAUCGUGUGUCUGCAUCUCCCACGCUCCAUCCUUCUCCACCGCGCGACCACCCAAUCCCUAACCUCCCCCCGCACGUUCCUCUCUGCCACGUUGCUCGCCCCUUGCCUCCACCGCCGACGCGACCUCUCUCCGCCUCCCCUCCUCCCUUUGCCUCCACCGCCCCUCCCCCAACGUCAUCGCCACCGCCGCGCCACUCGCUCCCACGGGAUCCAGAUCCGGUGGCUGCCUCCAUCGUCGUCCAUCGCGGGUCGCGCGGCCGAGGUGGAGGUGAGGACUGAGGAGAACUUCCCUUCCCGUCUAUUCGGUUUCUCUUCUCGUUGACUCUGCUCUGUUCGUUCGACAACCAGGCGGGAACCAGAAGGCGCGGGUUCUGUUGGGCGGCCGCCAGGACUUCUUCUACUCGGCGCUCCCUUCGGUUUCCCUUCCCACCGCCGCGCCACUCGCUCCCGCGGGAUCCAGAUCCGGUGGACGUAGCUCUGGGGCCUCGACGCAGACAGCCUGGGAUCGAGAUGCUCCACCAAUGGGGGAUCGAGAGGACGACCGCUCCCCACUGGCGCAGCCCAAGCCCAAGCACUGGAGAUCCGUCCGCUCCUCUCCUGACCGCGGGAUGGGCAUUAUGAGCUUCGUACCUGAGGAAGCAGGGCGGGCAUUGAGGUCGGUGGCUUCCUAGGGUUUGCCCCCAAGCGUCGUGCCAUGGUGAGUGUCUGUCUUCUCAACCCAUGAUGAUUUUCUGCUAAAAUGUAACUGGUGGUAGUGUAUAGCUUAAACCAGUUUCUUUGUCCUUAUGUCUCAUCCCAUUCGUGUUUGUGCUUGCGUGUAGUGAGUUCAUGCAGGGAGCAGGUCGGUGAAUAGCAAUUCCUUGGCUUUUCUUCUAACCGGUAAUUUAUUCGCAUAUCUAUUACCAAUAUUGUUGAGCUGGUAAAGAUUAUUCUUUGUGUUUCUUCUUGGGCAGUUCUUGUUUUGUUCAAGGUACUGAACUGACACCAGAUGUCUCCCACCGCAAAGAAUUGUUCAAAAAAUUCAUACGAUUAUGUUUUGGUACACAAAUUAUCCGAUACAAUAUUAGUGCACAACAAUUACAUGAAAACAAACAAUAUCUCACAAAUUCAAGUGGAGUUAUUCUAAGCCCAUAUGUCGCAACUAUCCAUUAUGACCACCUGAUGGAUACGGACCAAGCAGUUUGCGUCGCUAACUUGUUUCUGUUAUCCUUAACCUAAGUGACAUGGAGCUUGUAUAUUUUCAAUAGGCACAAGUUAAACCUUAUUCAGUUUUGAACCGAAGGCAGAUUUUGUUUUGUAGACCUACUUAUAGGUAUACUGAGACCCAUUGCCUAUACCAAGAUCCUAGCACUCAGAUGCCAAUUAUUGCAAUGCACCUGGCUACAGCUUGCAAUCUCGAAGUGCCUCACCCUCCAAUUGGAAUCAUGAUGAGCAGCAGAUGGGUGAACACACCUGAACUGCAUCAGCCACUCUCAUGGUCAUGCAAUCAUGUUGUUGCAGGUAAGACGAUGCCUCCUAGGACUAGGAGGGACGGUUGGUUGAAGUGCUCUUCCCUCUUGCACUUUCCAGUUACAACGAAAGGUCCAUGGCCACCACUGUGAGACAUUGGCAUGGUGGAGGGUGCAUUGGUGCUUCUUCCACUGGCGCCUGGUGUGAACCAGUUCCCUUUUGUUCAUUGCUUCUUGGGUCCUAUGAUGUGAGCAUCUCACGCUGGUAGCUGACCUUUGAUCCCCAUGUUCACACAUACCCUUGGACAGCCUAAGUUGAUGCCACACUUGCACUCACAGUUUUUGCUCUGUUCUCAGUGCUAGGGGUUGUUCCUAUCUUGAGCCACACAGUUCUGCACACAUAUGUUUUAUCGUUUCUGGUUAACUGGAUUUAAUGCGGGUUGUUGCUCUCUGCCAAGAGUUCCUGGCCAUGCAUAUCUCACGUCUACAUUUGAUAACCGAGAAAUUCUUUUUUGCAAAUGAAAGAAGUUGUAUAUGAGCUGCACUAGCAAAGUAACAUACAAGUUGGUACAUUGUGUUAUCUUUCUUUCUUUAUUAUGUGUUCAUGGGCUCAUUGAUAUUUUUGGUACUUCAGGGAUAACAGACUACAGAAAUUGGUCUUUAAUGUUUGCUUGAUGGCACAAAAGUAGCUAUAUUGAUUGGCAGGUUCUUAGACUAAAGCUAUCUCCUGGUUUUCUUCAAUUCACUUUGUGUUUUUUGGUUUAUAAUUUGCAUUGCAUGAUGUAGAGAAAGGUUCGCCAGUAUAUUAAGGAUCAAAUAAUCUGAUGUAAUCACUGCAACAAGGUGGUCUCACUCUUUCUCUCAUUUAAUUUGUUUCUUCAGGUUCAUCAUACCUUUUAUAAAAUAGUCAAUAUUUUUUAUGCAGAAUAUUCAUGUUAGCCCAUCAGAAUCUGAAGCUCAUGUGGGGGUGAGGGAUCAAGGCGCAAACCGUAAGACUUUAUGUUCUUGUGUUCAAAUUAUGCCAACUUAGGGAUAUCAUGGUUGACUUUUGAUUUGUUGCUGCUAGGUAUGAUAACAUAUUCACGUCAAACUGAGUGUUAUUGGUGCACAGUGCCACUUGUCUGAAGCUGUCUGCAGAUUGACGUGUUUGUGCAAAAAUAUUGCACCUUUCUUUGUUACACUACAUUGUCUCUUAAUUAUUCAAUCAAUUGUAUAAAUUGUCUCUUAAUUAUUUGAAUUGUCUCUUAAUUAUUUGAAUUCUAGGAUCAAUGAGAAGGUUUGUGUUCUUUUUCUUUCCUACCUAUAUAAGAUGAAUGACUGGUCUGUUUUCUAAAACAUAUAAAUAAAAUUUUGUUUGUUUAUUAAGGGUUGAUUGGACAGCAAAGCUUAAACAUUAGAAGGAUGAAUAAAGUUGUACACUAUGACAUGUAGUUUGCAAUGGAAGGAAACCUAAUUUAUAUGCUUGAGCUUGGGUCAGGAAUUAUAGUGGUCAGUUUAGAUAUCUAUGGAUUUUUGACAUCUCCCUCCGUUUUUAUUUAGAUAUCAUAUUUGCCUUAGUGCAUAGACAAGGAUGAGAUUAACGCUGCGUUAAUCCUUGUUUUUUCUGCUCCGUGCAAUUGAUGCUGUAUCAUACUCAGUACUCACGCUCGCAUGCUCACCUGCAUGCAGAUUUAAUUUUUCGUGGAAGGAACAGAGGGAGUAUUAAUCAAUAAACAGUAAAUUUAUAGACAUUUAUAUUUUCUUGGCUCCUGGACAAUGGUGCUGCUGUUGAUCUAUGGAGUGCCGGUUGCAUUCUUGCUGAGUUGCUAUCAGGGAAGCCUAUCAUGCCAGGACGAACUGAGGUACUGUUUGGCUAUUUUUGUUGUGAUAAAACUUGCAGAUGGUUACAUUAUAGGAAUAAUGCAGUAUUCUCUGUCUGCAAUAAUCCAAACAAUGCUAUAAUAUUUCUGCAAAUCUGUCAUUUCUGUUAUUAUACUAUUUGUUAGAACAAAUUCGGUGCAUAAAGGGUUUAGGAGAUGAAUGCUCUUGAGUUCUUUUCAGUACAUGCCAGUUGGCACAGUGUAGGGCAUAUCUCUACUACUUCUUAAGAGAGGAACAUAGGUGUCCACAGGUGCACGUUCUGCCUCCCACCCGACAUCCUCGUCCACAACGCGCCGCUAAUCUCGCAGUCGCGCCCCGGCGAUCCGCGCCUGCCUGCUAUUUUUAGUUUUCUUGAAUUUAUUCUUUCAUGACUUAGCAUUCAUAUUUUUUUAUUUCCAAGUUUUGACCAUGUGAGGAAAUCUGAAUGAAUAUUCAGGUUCUUUCUUUCUUUAAGAAAAUCCCUUUAGAUACUUAAUGGUGAGAUGCUGUUCUUGUAUUCCAUUCAUGUAUACAUUACCAGAAUGGAUCUUGUUCCACCAGAGAAGUAAUUUUGGCUGUAUUGGUUUGCAUUUCAGGCUGACCACCCUAGAUUAAACUUCAAAGACCGGUACCCUGAGCCAUACAGAGAUUCUCAUCCACAACUGAAAAUGGUACCAAUUUGUGUUGAUGUAUUGUUGUGGGGAAUGAAAUUUGUUAACUAUUAACUAAAAUAUAUGAGUGAAGAAAAGGAUUCACACAUGCACUAGAUGCUUUGAUAUAUCUACCAAUCACAACCAUUUAGCCACCUGUGAAAUCUCUCAGGUUGGUGGUUGAUACUCAUGCUUACACUUUUUGCUAGGACCAUUUUGAUUCUAUAAAGCUAAACUAUGAUUUCCUAUUUUUUCAAACUCGCCGGAGCUGCACGGUUAUCUUGACCGAGCUAAUCUCUAUGCCUUCCAACACGCUGGAGGUACCACACUGAAACUUCCAUUACAUUUGGAUAGUUAUUAUACAUCCUUGAUAUUUGCACAAAAUCCAGUUGCCUUUCAUUUUUUGGUUCAUAUCUUCAUAUGUAUAGGCUAGUGUCUGAAUGGAUUAUCCAAUGUUGUAAUUUGUAGCAGAAAAUCACUGAACUGAAUAUAUCACAUUGUUGUGCGUUAUGUUGUGUCUUGUCUAAUGCAUGUGAAUACUCAUAUGAAGCUUUUGCAAUACCAGAUGGGGAGGGCUGCAAUGAUUACAUCUACAUUUGGUGGAACUUUACCUCAUGGAUGAUAUGCCAGAUGGGGAGGGCACGCAAGGAUAGCCCCGACGUACAUGCCCCUCAAUUCUCCCUCUGCCCUCUUGGUUUCGCUCUGCUCUCACCUUGCCAGGCGGCUGAGGUGUCUAAUUUGUUCUGCUAAUGUGGUGUUGACGCAGGGUUUCGUCACGAAGCCAGAGACGCUGACCGAUGGGAUAGUGAAGCUGAUGAUUUGGCACCGCACCAUCCCCAGCAUGCAAGGGUAAGCGACCCAAGGGUUCUUAUCUGUCCACUGUUUUAUCAAAUCCCCGUGGCUUUUUCGAUUCCUUUUUGUGUGCUCAGUUUUUUCUUUGUGUGUCAUGAGUUUCAGAACUUGAUUGGGAUGGUUUUUGUGCCAUGAGAAUUAGGGUUUGAUAGGGAUGAUUUGGGUAUCAGUUCUUACGGUCACUGGAAUUUGCAUAUUGUCAUAGUCUAAUGCCAUUAAAUUUUGAGGGUAGCGAUAUUGUUUUCACCCUAUUGAAUAGGGUAUAUGAUGAUGUUGGCAAGCGCUGGAGCAGGUAAUAUUUUGUUAAAGUUUUCAUGUCGUUCCUCCACUGCCAUGGCUUGAUCUGUGAGGAUCCAUACAUGCGUAUGGUUUAUGCUUGUAAGUUUUCUCCUUCCCUUGCUUUACACAUCUGCCAUAUCAUGCUUGACAAACACAUCAGUUUUGGCCCUAAUGUUCCAGUGUGUUUUUGUGUAACUUUGUCCCUUUCUUUGUACCAAGAUUUUGUUCAUUGGGUCUGUGUGGGCUACCAGGGAUUAAGGUUAAUGAUUCAAUUAUGCUCUUUGUAUUGUGCUUAUGGUUGAGUAUGGCGUUUAACACUAACUACGAGACAGGUCAGAACAGAAUUGGAAGACCAGCUUCUCUACACAUAUAGAUGCCAUUUUCUCGAUGGGGAGUUCAGUGAUUUCAAGGCGCUGCCUAGAGCAAGUGGAGAAUUGAGUGAUUUUCAGGAGCUCCUACACUAUCUGUAUGAACUAACGUAAGUUCCACCAGUAACAAGUAAAUAUUAAAAAUCACAAUGAUUAUAUGCUGAACUGAUGUUCCUUUUUCUCAUGCAAGCAAAAUUGUAACUCUUCAUUUUCCCUUUCGUUCCAGUCUUUCUGAUCAUAAGUGGGAUGAUGCGAACUAUCUGGAGCCCCGACGGCCCAAACAAAAUUCACCCGGACGUUGACCUCACCGCGCCUGACGCCGGUCGCCCCAACGACGACCCCGCAUGGUUCUGCCUACGAGUCGGUAAGUGGUCAAUAAACUCCCUUCAUAGUUCUUCCCUGUGUCGCGCGUUCUGCGCUGGCUAGCGAAGGGUCAUGAUCCGUGUCGUGGUAUGCAGGUUGCGACCAGAGCCAUGAGCAGGUCGACCCUGAGGCCCUAGACAGGAGCUUCUUUAUGCGGGUUUGUCCCCUUCUCUCGCAUGUGUUCAUUAGUAUCAUCAGCCUGCGAUGCAAUACAACGCAAAUGUCGUCGAUUGAUGAAUGGUGUGAUGCUAAUUGGCAGGUUAUGGCGGCGAGAAGCCCCAACGUGAGGCUACAAAGGCUAUCGACAGGAAGAACCAGAGGUACCGACAGCUUCCACUUGAGCUGGAUGUUUCAUCUUCGGUUCAGAUUUAUAGUCCGGAUUCUGAUUUUGACGCAGCUCGAUGCUGAAAUGCCUGCACUCUGCGCCGCCGAAGCGUCCGAGAGCUCAGUUCGCGAGGCUGAGCGCAGAGACUGAGGCCGCGGGGAAGGCACCGGCGGAGCCCAAGCCAAGGGUCGAGCGGAUCUGCGCCAUGCGAGCAUCCCCAAUUCACACCAAGACAGCGAGGGUCGAAUGUCCCAGCGAGAGCAGGCAGGAAAGCUCAAGAAAACCACCAAUCCUAGGCCAUUCAGGCUAAGGACUGAUGUGAGCUUUUACACCCUCCCAAUCACAUUGCGCUGCAGGAUUAGUCGCUAGCAAAAAAAAAGCUUUGCCUCUCACUGUUCUGUUCAUUACAGGAAAGAUGAGUGCUUAAAGAAGCAAAACCAGAGAAAAGGCAGUCGUUCGCUGAGAAUAACUCCAUGGCAGUACUCAAGGACGCAAACAGAGAAGUGGCGGUAAGUUCAUCCGCUUCCUGACGCUCGACAUUUUCAAGUUUCAACAGCCGGGUCGGUCGCUGACUGGCUGUCUGUAUGUUUGCAAUACAAUACAAUACAAUGCAGCAAAUGGACAAACACACCCAUGGCAAGGGACGAGACAAGCAGACGACCUGCGGCAAGAAACAGGUGAGCGCCAAUGCUGCCAAAUGCUUCCUACUCAAAUUCAAGUACGACUGCUCAUGCUGACCUGUGCUUUCACCAUCUAUGUUCAGAAGAAACAAAGCGCCCAGAUUGAUGUAACGGCUCAGCAGCUCGGUGAGCCCAGGCCGGCCUUCAACAACGGCAUCCAGCGCAAAGCUGUGGAACCGGAGAGAGUUUCUAGGGCUGCAUCGUCAACACGAACAACCAAACCAGCAAGGUUUGCAGGACUUCUUUGCUGAACUCCUCACACUGGCGGCUAACACUCCGUUGUACCGCUAGCAGACCUGACACACAUUUCUCUUCACUUUCCGUUUCGCAGAGGCCUUCCGGCACCACCACCUUCCCGGACUGGGAAGGAGAGGAACGUUGCCGUGAAGCUGUCGAGGUUCCAAACAGCAGCCGCUUGAGCUCGUGCAGAAUCAGGGAGGAAACUGUUGUUUUGUCGUCUGUCUGCUCCAACGACGAGUUCUGGAUUUCGUUGACUUGUGUACACUGAUUCUUUCUGCGAAUCGUGUGGUGGAAUUCUUCUACUCUGUUACCCGUACUACCACCAGCAGGAUUCUUUCUGUAAUAUGUUUUGGAAUUUGAUCUUUUCUGUAACUUAAACUGGGGAAAGGAGGCCCAGCCGCCCACCCAGCCCAUGAGACAUUUUUAUCUUAGUAUCUCUGUACCCCUUGACUCCUUACAUUUUUAUCUCAGUGUCGGGUUUCCUGACCAUGAUCGGUGAUGAGGGUAAGUGUGCUGUGUAUCAUGUUGAUACAAUAAUAAGUUGGUGGCACACCUGUUUGCUUGUAGGCGUAUCCUUGCAAAGAUUUCCGUUUGCCUCGUUCUUUUUGGUCGGUGCUACUCUCUCCAACUCCAACUGUCGUUUUAAUUUCCUUAGUCCAACCAGAUCUAUAUCUCUACUACUAAUUAUGUGCCUACUAGGUAGGUGCUCGUGCUUUGCGACGGCAUACAAAAUAUUGAAUAAAAUGGUAAUGCACAACUAAAUCAGUUCAAAAAGAUAUGUAAUGCUCAAAGGAUAGUGUUAGAGAGCGAGCGGACGCUCCUGGAUAGCGAAGCGUGGAGAACAAGCGAGCGGGUGGGGGCACGACGCACAAAAACCACGACUCGAACUAUUAAAAGUAGUGCAUUAUAGUAGUAAAGAUAGUAGAUAAAAUACCCCAUCCGAUUGUUAACAUGUCGAUCUAAUAAUUCAAAAUACCACUUUUAAAGAUGGGAUAAAUAUAUUAGUCCAGAUUUCCAGAUAACAAAACCAUAUUAAAUUAGCCAAAGAGACUAUAUGGUUCUACACUUCUACAUAAAAUAAAAUAAAAUAAAAUAAGAAAGAAAAUUCUCGUUGAGAGAGAAGUGAUAACGAUAAUGCAAAAUAAGAGAAAGAAAUACUCUACAAUAUGGUCUAUCAUAGUGAUGUUUGUCGUUCCGUAUCAAUGUUUCAUACAAAUCUUUUACUUCCGUCGCAACGCACAGAUACAUAUCUAUAACAAUAUAAUACACAUAUGUACAUAAGUUAUCAUGUCAUUAUACAGUUCCGUUGCAACGCACGGGCACUCACCUAUAGUAUAUGAAUUCUGUUAACACUAUAGAUAUAGAGGAUCGAAUUUAGAGGACGUUGCUGGUGAUGAAGAAAAUAUAGAGGAUGAAAUCUUUUAGAGUGUUUUGUAGAAUACAGAGAAUAUUCAUUUAAAAGAUAAAAUUUAAAGUACGCAGCAGUCUCGUUCCCCUCCGACCGUGGACCCAAGCCUCAAGGUUCUCUAUCUCCAGGUGACCCCUCCGCCUCGAUCCCGUAGGAUUUUCCAGCUGAUUUCUUCGCCAAGUGGCAUGUAUACCCGUGUUUGUGAACGAUUUGGGCUUGCCGCCCGCCGCUUGUGAUGUGAUCCGGUACUUUUUGGUGAAUAUUGCGGAGUGCUAUGCGUACAAAGAAACAUCAUGCGGAGAGCACAAUGGAGCCACAUUCAGUUAUAUUUUACAUAGCUUCUUUUAAAAGGUAAAGGGUAGAUGGAUGAUAAUUCUGCAUGUUUUUGUUCUGCUCUUUAUGUUACAUUCAACGACUUCUCCAUACUUCACGCUUGUAUUUGUUGGGGGACCAACAGUAGGUGGCUACUUUUGCCUCUCUUUUCUUAUUUUCUUGCUUCUUGGCUGCAAUACCAGUCUCCCUCUACCUAUCCAACUCCAUGUUUAAGAAAGUAUUGUCAAUGUAAAUUGUCUGUUUUCACCCUAACAUAUUGUCACAAAACAUUGUAAUCGUUGUGAACUAACAUUUUAUCAAAUAAUUGACAUGCCGUAGCAACGCACGGGCACUAUACUAGUGAUUAGUAGAGGAGCGAAAGAAGAAAAGGCAGGCAGAAACAGAUGCAAAUCAGCCAAUGCCCCGUGUCCCAAAUUGACUAAGGCCUUGUUCGGUUAAUUCCGUUACCCAUGGAUUGGAUAGGAUUGGAAAAAAUUAAGAAAGAGUUUGACUUACUUGGGAUUUAAUCCCACCCAAUCUCACUCAAUCCAUAUGGAUUGAGAGCUAACCGAACAAGCCCUAAAGUGGUAUAUCCUGAACCCCCAAGUGAAGCAGUCUAUUCAAACACAGAGCAACUCCUAACUCCUGUUACUUUGACCAACAUAAUCUUGAACCCUCAGGCAUGAAUGAUCAGAGGCGAAAAAGAAAAGAGAGGACAUUCACUACAGGAAUCUGAAGCAUCCCCGUCGGCUACUUUAAUUCCCGUCGGCCGGAGACCGGGCCGACGGGAAUAACGUAAUCCCCGUCGGCCAAAAGAAGGCCGACGACGAUUAAUUAAAUCCCGUCGGCCAAGAACGCCAGCCGACGACGAUUACUUUAUUCCCGUCGGUCAGUUUGCCAGCCGACGGGAAUAACUUAACUCCGGUCGGCCCAAUGCUCUGGCCGACGGGAGUUAUUCGAAUAAGUCAACAGCCACGCCGCCGCGAAUUCAUUUCUCUUCGUCUCCCCGGAAACGAACGCCCGCCCGCCGCGCCAAGCACGACCGCCGUCCGGCCACCGCGACCACCGUUGCCGCCCGCCCGUCCGGCCACCUGCCCGACCGUGCCAAGCGCCGCCGCCGCCGCCGCCCGUCCGGCCUCCGCGCCCAACGCCGCAGCCCACCCGUCCGCCCGCCCGCGGGACCAGCCAAGCGCCGCCGCCCGCCCGUCCGGCCUCGGCGCCCACCGCCGCAGCCCGCCCGUCCGCCCGCCCGCCGCGCCUAGCACCGCCGCCCGCCCAUCCGGCCACGGCCGUCGCCGCCCUCCCGUCCACGCCCAACCGUCGCCGCCGAUUGCCGCGCCGCCCGUCCGCCGUUUGCCAGUGUUGUUUGCUGCGCCGCCCGACGCUGCCGCCUCCCCACGCCAUCCGUCGUCGCCACACCGCCGUCGUCCACCACCGUCGUCCACCGUCUUCGUCCACCACCGUCGUCCGCGCAAGUCGAGGUAUAUUAUAUAUAUUAAAACAUUUUAUUUUCGUCGGUUUUUUGUGGCCGACGGGAGUUAACUGUUAUGUGAUUAGAUUUUGUUUAAAUUUGUUAGUUGAUAUUGUUAUUAGUCUUCAUAUGACUUUAUACAGUGUAGUUGCUAUUUUUAAUUUUAUGUUGCAAAAUAAAAUGUGUUGUUUGAUGUUAUUAGUUAUUGAAUAUGAUGGUGAAUGUGAUGUGUUAUACAAAUAGUAGUUAUUGCAAAUAUUAUUAUUUAAUGAAUUUGAUGUUAUGCAAGUAUUAAUCAUGUUAUUGUGAUGAAGUUAUGUUAUGUAUAUAUAUAUAGUUUUACUACUUACCUAUAGAUGUAUGUGUGACGUGUAGAAACGUGAUUGUCUCACACACACUCUUUACUCGUACACAGCCACAAUAAUGGGUGAUAGACGUGAUUGGAUGUAUGAAGGUUUCAAGAAGGGUGGGUGUCACACUAGUGAAUGGUUUGCCAAGACGCAAAUAUUUCUGGACCAUGCAGCUGCUUUGUCACAAAUAGAUAAUAUUAGGUGUCCAUGCAAUAAAUGUAGAAAUAUGACGAGCCACACCAAGAGGCAGGUCACACUACACCUGUGCUCGCAUGGUUUCGUGCCAGGCUAUAAGGUUUGGUAUCUCCACGGUGAAGAUGCUGAACGAGCAACAGAAGUAGAAGUUGAUGACGGUGAAGAUGAUGUUGAUAGGAUGGACCAGAUGCUUGAGGAUCUGCAGCCUGAACUGGCACCAGAUCAUCAUGAUUCACCUACACCGGAGGUUCAGAAGUUCUUCGACCUACUCAAAGCGUCAGAAGAGCCUCUUCACGGGCAAACUGACGUGACCGUCCUCGAAUUCGUGACCCGACUGAUGUCAAUCAAGUCAAAAUUUGCAUUUUCAAUUAAUUGUUACAAGGAGCUUGUGGAUUUGAUUAGCGAGGUUCUUCCUACGGGUCACAAGAUGCCCAAAGACAUGUACCAGUCCAAAAAAUUGCUUGAAGGUCUUGGUAUGGAGUAUGAGAAGAUUGAUGUUUGCCAAGACAACUGUAUGCUUUUUUGGAAGGAACAUGGCAGAGAACAAAAAUGCUUAAAAUGUGGGAAGUCAAGGUACGUGGAGCUUGUAAAUGAAGAUGGGGAGAAGGUGGUGACAAAGGUUGCACAUAAACAGCUUCGGUACAUGCCUCUCACUCCUAGAGUGAAACGUUUGUUUCUCUCGAGGAAGACCGCUAUGCACAUGAGGUGGCAUAAAGAUUGUAUGGACAGACAAGAUGGGUUAAUGGUGCACCCGUCAGAUGGUGAUGCAUGGAAGGCUCUUGACAAAUUUGAUCCAGAUUUUGCCAGCGAUGCAAGAAACGUUCGUAUCGGCUUGGCAACUGAUGGUUUCACGCCGUUCAAUAUGACUGCUUCGUCGUAUUCAUGUUGGCCUGUCAUUGCCAUACCGUACAACCUUCCACCUGCUCUUUGCAUGAAAUAUGAGUUUAUGUUCCUAUGUCUUGUUAUACCUGGGCCUGAGCAUCCUAGCGUACGCCUCAAUGUGAUGCUUCAACCACUGAUUGAAGAGUUAAAGAAGCUAUGGCAAGGUGUGGAAGCCUAUGACUGCUUCAAGAAGCAGAAAUUCAAUCUUCGUGUUGCAUAUCUGUUCUCGGUUCAUGAUUUUAUGGCGUAUGGUAUUUUCUCUGGAUGGAGCGUGCAUGGUAGAUUGACGUGUCCUUAUUGUGCUAAAGAUACAGAUUGUUUUCGUCUUAGUGCUGGUGGCAAGAUAUGUUACUUUGAUUGCCAUAGAUGUUUUCUACCCUUCAAUCACCCCUUCAGAAGGCAGAGAAAGGAAUUUAGGAAGGGCACCAUUGUCACGAAGGGACCGCCCAAGCGACGUAGUGGGAUAGAAAUUACAGAAGAGCAUAUGAAACUUGUCCUAGACGAGAGUGGUAAAAGGUAUCAAGGUUUUGGUGAGGAGCAUAACUGGACUCACAUAUGUGGCUUGUGAGAGCUUCCUUAUGCUAAGUCAUUGAUUUUGAUGCACAACAUCGACGUCAUGCAUCAAGAGAGUAACUUUUGCCAAGCCCUCAUAAAUACAUGCAUGGAUUUCCCUGAUAAAACGAAAGACAAUGACAAGGCACGCAUGGACUUAGCAGUGAUAUGUGAUCGUCCAACCCAAGUGCUUAGAGAAAACGGAGGCAAACCAAAAGCUGACUAUUGUCUGAAAUCUAAGCAACGGAGAGAAGUGAUGAAGUGGAUGAAGGAUAUUAAAUUCCCCGAUGGUUAUUGAAAGGGAAUUAGGCUUACACCUAGUUCCUAAAUAAUUUUGGUGGUUGAAUUGCCCAACACAAAUCUUUGGACUAACUAGUUUGCCCAAGUGUAUAGAUUAUACAGGUGUAAAAGGUUCACACUCAGCCAAUAAAAAGACCAAGUUAUGGAUUCAACAAAGGAGCAAAAGGGCAACCGAAGGCACCCCUGGUCUGGCGCACCGGACUGUCCGGUGUGCCACCGGACAUGUCCGGUGCACCAGGGAGAUUCAGACUCAAACUCGCCACCUUCGGGAAUUACCAGAGGCGACUCGGCUAUAAUUCACCGGACUGUCCGGUGUACACCGGACAGUGUCCGGUGCGCCAAGGGAGGUCGGCCUCAGGAACUCGCCAGCUUCGGGAAACUCCAACGGCUCGUCCGCUAUAAUUCACCGGACUGUCCGGUGUGCACCGGACUGUCCGGUGCGCCUCCGGAGCAACGGUCAUCUCCGCGCCAACGGCUCUCUGCCGCGCAUUUAAUGCGCGCUCUGCGCGCGCAGAAGUCAGAAUCGCCCAUGCUGGCACACCGGACAUCAAACAGUACCUGUCCGGUGUGCACCGGACACCCAGGCGGGCCCACAAGUCAGAACUCCAACGGUCAAUUUCCAACAGGACUGAUGACGUGGCGGGGGCACCGGACUGUCCGGUGUGCACCGGACUGUCCGGUGCGUCAUCGAACAGACGGCCUCCACCAACGGUCAAGUUGGUGGUUGGGGCUAUAAAUACCCCAACCACCCCACCAUUCAUUGCAUCCAAGUUUUCCACUUCUCAACUACUACAAGAGCUCUAGCAUUCAAUUCUAGACACAUUCAAAGAGAUCAAAUCCUCUCCAAUUCCACACAAAACCCUAGUGACUAGUGAGAGUGAUUUGCCGUGUUCAUUUGAGCUCUUGCGCUUGGAUUGCUUCUUUUCUUUCUCACUUGUUCUUGAGAUCAAUACUCCAUUGUAAUCAAGGCAAGAGGCACCAAUUGUGUGGUGGCCCUUGCGGGAAGUUUUGUUCCCGGCUUUGAUUUGAGAAGAGAAGCUCACUCGGUCCGAGGGACCGUUUGAGAGAGGGAAGGGUUGAAAGAGACCCGGCCUUUGUGGCCUCCUCAACGGGGAGUAGGUUUGAAAGAACCGAACCUCGGUAAAACAAAUCCGCGUGUCACACACUUCAUUAUUCGCUUGUGAUUUGUUUUGCGCCCUCUCUCGCGGACUCGUUCAUAUUUCUAACGCUAACCCGGCUUGUAGUUGUGUUUAUAUUUGUAAAUUUCAGUUUCGCCCUAUUCACCCCCCCUCUAGGCGACUAUCAAUUGGUAUCGGAGCCCGGUGCUUCAUUAGAGCCUAACCGCUCGAAGUGAUGUCGGGAGAUCACGCCAAGAAGGAGAUAGAGACCGGCGAAAAGCCCACUACAAGCCACGGGAGCACUUCAUCGGAAGAGUCCCGCACCAAGAGGAAGGAGAAGAAGAAGGACUCCUCCAAACGGAAGGAGAAAAAGUCUUCCUCUUCUCACCACAAAGAGAAGAAGGAAAAAUCUUCUUCCCACAAGCCGCAUCGGAAAAGCGACAAGCACAAGAGGAUGAGGAAAGUGGUCUACUACGAGACCGACACUUCAUCAACAUCAACCUCCGACUCCGAUGCGCCCUCCGUCACUUCUAAGCGCCAAGAGCGCAAGAAGUAUAGUAAGAUCCCCCUACACUACCCUCGCAUUUCCAAACAUACACCUUUACUUUCCGUCCCAUUAGGCAAACCACCAACUUUUGAUGGUGAAGAUUACGCUAGGUGGAGCGAUUUAAUGCGAUUUCAUCUAACCUCGCUCCACAAAAGCAUAUGGGAUGUUGUUGAGUUUGGUGCGCAGGUACCAUCCGUAGGGGAUGAGAACUAUGAUGAGGAUGAGGUGGCCCAAAUCGAGCACUUCAACUCUCAAGCAACAACAAUACUCCUAGCCUCUUUGAGUAGAGAGGAGUAUAACAAAGUUCAAGGGUUGAAGAACGCAAAGGAGAUUUGGGAUUUACUCAAGACCGCGCAUGAAGGUGAUGAGCUCACCAAGAUCACCAAGCGGGAAACGAUUGAGGGGGAGCUCGGUCGGUUCCGGCUUCGCAAAGGGGAGGAGCCACAACACAUGUACAAUCGGCUCAAGACCUUGGUGAACCAAGCGCGCAACCUCGGGAGCGUAAAGUGGGAUGACCACGAGGUGGUUAAGGUUAUUCUAAGAUCACUUAUUUUCCUUAACCCUACUCAAGUUCAAUUAAUCCGUGGUAAUCCUAGAUAUACCAAAAUGACCCCCGAGGAAGUUAUCGGGAAUUUUGUGAGUUUUGAGUGCAUGAUCGAAGGCUCGAGGAAGAUCAACGAGCUUGAUGAUGCCACCACAUCCGAAGCUCAACCCGUUGCAUUCAAGGCAACGGAGGAGAAGAAGGAGGAGUCUACACCAAGUCGACAACCAAUAGACGCCUCCAAGCUCGACAAUGAGGAAAUGGCGCUCGUCAUCAAGAGCUUCCGCCAAAUCCUCAAGCAAAGGAGGGGAAAGGAUUACAAGUCCCGCUCCAAGAAGGUUUGCUACAAGUGUGGUAAGCUCGGUCAUUUUAUUGCUAAAUGUCCUAUAUCUAGUGACAGUGACCGAGGCGACGACAAGAAGGGGAGAAGAAAGGAGAAGAAGAGGUACUACAAGAAGAAGGGCGGCGAUGCCCAUGUUUGUCGCGAGUGGGACUCCGACGAGAGCUCAAGCGACUCCUCCGACGACGAGGACGCCGCCAACAUCGCCGUCACCAAGGGACUCCUCUUCCCCAACGUCGGCCACAAGUGCCUCAUGGCAAAAGACGGCAAAAAGAAGGUUAAAUCUAAAUCCUCCACUAAAUAUGAAUCCUCUAGUGAUGAUAAUGCUAGUGAUGAGGAAGAUAAUUUGCGUUCCCUUUUUGCCAACCUUAACAUAGCUCAAAAGGAAAAAUUGAAUGAAUUGGUUAGUGCUAUUCAUGAAAAGGAUGACCUUUUGGAUUCACAAGAGGACCUCCUUAUUAAGGAAAACAAGAAACAUGUUAAGGUUAAAAAUGCUUACGCUCUACAAGUUGAAAAAUGUGAAAAAUUGUCUAGUGAGCUAAGCACUUGCCAUGAGAUUAUUGACAACCUUAGGAAUGAAAAUGCUAGUUUGAAUGCUAAGGUUGAUUCACAUGUUUGUAAUGUUUCAAUUCCCAAUCUUAGAAAUGAUAAUGUUGAUUUGCUUGCUAAGAUUGAUGAAUUGAAUGUAUCUCUUGCUAGCCUUAGAGUAGAAAAUGAAAAGUUGAUUACUAAGGCUAAAGAACUAGAUGUUUGCAAUGUUACAAUUUCUGACCUUAGAACUAAAAAUGAUAUGUUGCAUGCUAAGGUUGUAGAAUUAAAAUCUUGCAAACCCUCUACAUCUAUUGUUGAGCAUGUAUCUAUUUGUACUAGAUGUAGAAAUGUUGAUAUUGAUGCUAUUCAUGAUCAUAUGGCUUUGAUUAAACAACAAAAUGAUCAUAUAGCAAAACUAGAUGCUAAAAUUGCCGAGCACAACUUAGAAAAUGAGAAAUUUAAAUUUGCUCGUAGCAUGCUUUAUAAUGGGAGACGCCCGGGCAUUAAGGAUGGCAUUGGCUUCCAAAGGGGAGACAAUGUCAAAAUUAGUGCCCCUCCUAAGAGAUUGUCCAACUUUGUUAAGGGCAAAGCUCCCAUGCCUCAGGAUAACGAGGGUUACAUUUUAUACCCUGCCGGUUAUCCCGAGGACAAAAUUAGGAAAAUUCAUUCUAGGAAGUCUCACUCUGGCCCUAAUCAUGCUUUUAUGUAUAAGGGUGAGACAUCUAGUUCUAGGCAACCAACCCGUGCCAAGUUGCCUAAGAAGAAGAUUCCUAAUGCAUCAAAUGAACAUAGCAUUUCAUUUAAGACUUUUGAUGCAUCAUAUGUUUUGACUAACAAAUCCGGCAAGGUCGUUGCCAAGUUUGUUGGGGGCAAACACAAGGGCUCCAAGACUUGUGUUUGGGUACCCAAAGUUCUUGUUUCUAAUGCCAAAGGACCCAAAACAGUUUGGGUACCUAAAGUCAAGAACUAAAUUUGUUUUGUAGGUUUAUGCAUCCGGGGGCUCAAGUCGGAUACUCGACAGCGGGUGCACAAACCACAUGACCGGGGAGAAAAGGAUGUUCUCCUCAUAUGAGAAAAACCAAGAUUCCCAAAGAGCGAUCACAUUCGGGGAUGGAAAUCAAGGUUUGGUCAAAGGUUUGGGUAAAAUUGCUAUAUCUCCUGACCACUCUAUUUCCAAUGUUUUUCUUGUUGACUCUUUAGAUUACAACUUGCUUUCUGUAUCUCAAUUAUGUCAAAUGGGCUACAACUGUCUUUUUACUGAUGUAGGUGUCACUGUCUUUAGAAGAAGUGAUGAUUCAAUAGCAUUUAAGGGUGUGUUAGAGGGUCAGCUGUACUUAGUAGAUUUUGAUAGAGCUGAACUUGACACAUGCUUAAUUGCUAAGACUAACAUGGGUUGGCUCUGGCACCGCCGACUAGCUCAUGUUGGGAUGAAGAAUCUUCAUAAACUUCUAAAGGGAGAACACAUUUUAGGAUUAACAAAUGUUCAUUUUGAGAAAGACAGGAUUUGUAGCGCAUGUCAGGCGGGGAAGCAAGUUGGAGUCCAUCAUCCACACAAGAACAUCAUGACGACCGACAGGCCGCUUGAGCUACUCCACAUGGAUCUAUUCGGCCCGAUUGCUUACAUAAGCAUCGGCGGGAGUAAGUAUUGUCUUGUAAUAGUGGAUGAUUAUUCUCGCUUCACUUGGGUAUUCUUUUUACAGGAAAAAUCUCAAACCCAAGAGACUUUAAAGGGAUUCUUGAGACGGGCUCAAAAUGAGUUCGGCUUAAGGAUCAAGAAAAUAAGAAGCGACAACGGGACGGAGUUCAAGAACUCUCAAAUUGAAGGCUUCCUUAAGGAGGAGGGCAUCAAGCAUGAGUUCUCUUCUCCCUACACACCUCAACAAAAUGGUGUAGUGGAGAGGAAGAAUCGAACUCUAUUGGACAUGGCAAGAACUAUGCUUGAUGAGUACAAGACACCGGAUCGGUUUUGGGCCGAAGCGGUCAACACCGCUUGCUACGCCAUCAACCGGUUAUAUCUUCACCGAAUCCUCAAGAAGACAUCCUAUGAACUCCUAACCGGUAAAAAGCCAAAUAUUUCAUAUUUUAGAGUUUUUGGUAGCAAAUGUUUUAUACUUGUUAAAAGAGGUAGGAAAUCUAAAUUUGCUCCUAAAACUGUAGAAGGCUUUUUACUAGGAUAUGACUCAAACACAAGGGCAUAUAGAGUCUUUAACAAGUCCUCAGGACUUGUUGAAGUUUCUUGUGACGUUGUGUUUGAUGAGACUAACGGCUCUCAAGUAGAGCAAGUUGAUCUUGAUGAGAUAGGUGAAGAACAGGCUCCAUGCAUAGCGCUAAGGAACAUGUCUAUUGGGGAUGUGUGUCCUAAGGAAUCCGAAGAGCCUCCACAUGCACAAGAUCAACCGUCCUCCUCCAAGCAAGCAUCUCCACCAACUCAAAAUGAGGAUGAGGCUCAAGUUGAUGAAGGACAAAAUCAAGAAGAUGAGCCACCUCAAGAUAAUGGCAAUGAUCAAGGGGGAGAUACAAAUGAUCAAGAAAAGGAGGAUGAGAAAGAACCAAGGCCGCCACACCCAAGAGUCCACCAAGCAAUCCAACGAGAUCACCCCGUCGACACCAUCCUCGGCGACAUUCAUAAGGGGGUAACCACUCGAUCUCGUGUUGCUCAUUUUUGUGAACAUUACUCUUUUGUUUCCUCUAUUGAGCCACACAGGGUAGAGGAAGCUCUCCAAGAUUCGGAUUGGGUGGUGGCGAUGCAAGAGGAGCUCAACAACUUCACUAGAAAUGAGGUAUGGCAUUUGGUUCCACGUCCUAACCAAAAUGUUGUAGGAACCAAAUGGGUCUUCCGCAACAAGCAAGAUGAGCAUGGUGUGGUGACAAGGAACAAAGCUCGACUCGUGGCCAAAGGGUAUUCACAAGUCGAAGGUUUGGAUUUCGGUGAAACCUAUGCACCCGUAGCUAGGCUUGAGUCAAUUCGCAUAUUAUUGGCCUAUGCUACUUACCAUGGCUUUAAGCUCUAUCAAAUGGACGUGAAAAGUGCCUUCCUCAACGGACCAAUCAAGGAAGAGGUCUAUGUUGAGCAACCUCCCGGCUUUGAAGACAGUGAGUACCCUAACCAUGUCUAUAGGCUCUCUAAGGCGCUUUAUGGGCUCAAGCAAGCCCCAAGAGCAUGGUAUGAAUGCCUAAGAGAUUUCCUUAUUUCUAAUGGCUUCAAAGUCGGCAAGGCCGAUCCUACACUCUUUACUAAAACUCUUGAAAAUGACUUGUUUGUAUGCCAAAUUUAUGUUGAUGAUAUUAUAUUUGGGUCUACUAACGAGUCUACAUGUGAAGAGUUUAGUAGGAUCAUGACACAGAAAUUCGAGAUGUCGAUGAUGGGGGAGUUGAAGUAUUUUCUAGGAUUCCAAGUCAAGCAACUCCAAGAGGGCACCUUCAUUAGCCAAACGAAGUACACUCAAGACAUUCUAACCAAGUUUGGAAUGAAGGAUGCCAAGCCCAUCAAGACACCCAUGGGAACCAAUGGGCAUCUCGACCUCGAUACGGGAGGUAAAUCCGUCGAUCAAAAGGUAUACCGAUCGAUGAUUGGUUCAUUGCUUUAUUUAUGUGCAUCUCGACCGGACAUUAUGCUUUCCGUAUGCAUGUGUGCAAGAUUCCAAUCCGAUCCUAAGGAAUCCCACCUUACGGCCGUAAAACGAAUCUUGAGAUAUUUAGCUUAUACUCCUAAGUUUGGGCUUUGGUACCCUCGGGGAUCCACAUUUGAUUUGAUUGGUUAUUCGGAUGCCGAUUGGGCGGGGUGCAAAAUUAAUAGAAAGAGCACAUCGGGGACUUGCCAGUUCUUGGGAAGAUCCUUGGUGUCUUGGGCUUCAAAGAAGCAAAAUUCGGUCGCUCUUUCCACCGCCGAAGCCGAGUACAUUGCCGCAGGCCAUUGUUGCGCGCAAUUGCUUUGGAUGAGGCAAACCCUGCGGGACUACGGUUACAAAUUAACCAAAGUUCCUUUACUAUGUGAUAAUGAGAGUGCAAUCAAAAUGGCCGACAACCCCGUCGAGCAUAGCCGCACUAAGCACAUAGCCAUUCGGUAUCAUUUUCUUAGGGAUCACCAACAAAAGGGAGAUAUCGAGAUUUCUUACAUUAACACUAAAGAUCAAUUAGCCGAUAUCUUUACCAAGCCUCUUGAUGAACAAUCUUUUACCAGACUUAGGCAUGAGCUCAAUAUUCUUGAUUCUAGAAAUUUCUUUUGCUAGCUUGCACACAUAGCUCAUUUGAAUACCUUUGAUUAUAUCUCUUUUAUAUGCUAUGACUAAUGUGUCUUCAAGUCUAUUUCAAACCAAGUCAUAGGUAUAUUGAAAGGGAAUUGGAGUCUUCGGCGAAGACAAAAGGCUUCCACUCCGUAACUCAUCCUUCGCCAUCGCUCCAAGAAAGGACCUUGUCUUUGGGGGAGAAAGUAAAAAGCCCAAAAGAAAAAGGACCGGACUUCGUCUUUGGUAUAAUCUUAACUCAUUUACUUAUGACCAAAGGGGAAGAUAGUACUCAUGGGCUCUAACGAUUCCGUUUUUGGCGAUUAAUGCCAAAGGGGGAGAAAGUAUGAGCCCAAAGCAAAAGGACCGCACCACCACCAAUUUCAAAAACUUAGUGUUUUCCAAAAGUAUUUAUCAAUUGGUAUCCUAUUGUGUUCAAAAGGGGAAGAAAGUAGUAUUUCAAAAAUGAUAUAUCAAAACCCUCUUGAACACUAAGAGGUGGAUCUUCUUUAGGGGGAGUUUUGCUUAGACAAAGGAAAAGCAUUUGAAACGAGGGGAGAAAAUUUCAAAUCUUGAAAAUGCUUUGCAAACUCUUAUUCAUUUACCUUUGACUAUUUGCAAAAAGAUCUUUGAAAUGGAGUUACAAAAGGAUUUGCAAAAACAAAACAUGUGGUGCAAACGUGGUCCAAAAUGUUAAAUAAGAAAGAAACAUUCCAUGCAGACCUUGUAAGUAGUUUUAUUGACUAAAUUCCAAGCAACCUUUACACUUACAUUAUGCAAACUAGUUCAAUUAUGCACUUCUAUAUUUGCUUUGGUUUGUGUUGGCAUCAAUCACCAAAAAGGGGGAGAUUGAAAGGGAAUUAGGCUUACACCUAGUUCCUAAAUAAUUUUGGUGGUUGAAUUGCCCAACACAAAUCUUUGGACUAACUAGUUUGCCCAAGUGUAUAGAUUAUACAGGUGUAAAAGGUUCACACUCAGCCAAUAAAAAGACCAAGUUAUGGAUUCAACAAAGGAGCAAAAGGGCAACCGAAGGCACCCCUGGUCUGGCGCACCGGACUGUCCGGUGUGCCACCGGACAUGUCCGGUGCACCAGGGAGAUUCAGACUCAAACUCGCCACCUUCGGGAAUUACCAGAGGCGACUCGGCUAUAAUUCACCGGACUGUCCGGUGUACACCGGACAGUGUCCGGUGCGCCAAGGGAGGUCGGCCUCAGGAACUCGCCAGCUUCGGGAAACUCCAACGGCUCGUCCGCUAUAAUUCACCGGACUGUCCGGUGUGCACCGGACUGUCCGGUGCGCCUCCGGAGCAACGGUCAUCUCCGCGCCAACGGCUCUCUGCCGCGCAUUUAAUGCGCGCUCUGCGCGCGCAGAAGUCAGAAUCGCCCAUGCUGGCACACCGGACAUCAAACAGUACCUGUCCGGUGUGCACCGGACACCCAGGCGGGCCCACAAGUCAGAACUCCAACGGUCAAUUUCCAACAGGACUGAUGACGUGGCGGGGGCACCGGACUGUCCGGUGUGCACCGGACUGUCCGGUGCGCCAUCGAACAGACGACCUCCACCAACGGUCAAGUUGGUGGUUGGGGCUAUAAAUACCCCAACCACCCCACCAUUCAUUGCAUCCAAGUUUUCCACUUCUCAACUACUACAAGAGCUCUAGCAUUCAAUUCUAGACACAUUCAAAGAGAUCAAAUCCUCUCCAAUUCCACACAAAACCCUAGUGACUAGUGAGAGUGAUUUGCCGUGUUCAUUUGAGCUCUUGCGCUUGGAUUGCUUCUUUUCUUUCUCACUUGUUCUUGAGAUCAAUACUCCAUUGUAAUCAAGGCAAGAGGCACCAAUUGUGUGGUGGCCCUUGCGGGAAGUUUUGUUCCCGGCUUUGAUUUGAGAAGAGAAGCUCACUCGGUCCGAGGGACCGUUUGAGAGAGGGAAGGGUUGAAAGAGACCCGGCCUUUGUGGCCUCCUCAACGGGGAGUAGGUUUGAAAGAACCGAACCUCGGUAAAACAAAUCCGCGUGUCACACACUUCAUUAUUCGCUUGCGAUUUGUUUUGCGCCCUCUCUCGCGGACUCGUUCAUAUUUCUAACGCUAACCCGGCUUGUAGUUGUGUUUAUAUUUGUAAAUUUCAGUUUCGCCCUAUUCACCCCCCCUCUAGGCGACUAUCAGUUAUGCCGCUGGUUUUAGAAGAUCUGUGAACUUGAAGACAAUGAAGAUGAAUGGACUGAAGAGCCAUGACUUCCACAUAAUUAUGGAGAGGCUCAUGCCUGUAAUGUUUCGUGGGUACAUUUCCGAAGCUGUGUGGAAAACGUUAGCUGAAGUUAGCUAUUUCUACAGACAGUUGUGUGCUAAAGAAAUUAGAAGAGAUGUGAUGGAACAGCUGGAGAAAGAGGCACCGGUGCUUUUGUGCAAAUUGGAAAAAAUAUUUCCACCGGGUUUCUUCAAUCCUAUGCAGCAUCUCUUUAUACAUCUUCCAUAUGAGGCUAAGGUCGGUGGUCCUGUUCAGUAUAGGUGGAUGUUUCAUAUAGAAAGAGCAUUAAAGAAGCUUAGAGCAAUGGUGGGCAAUAAGGCAAGAGUUGAAGGAUGUAUUGCGGAACAAUUUAAACUAAAGGAGGUAGCACACUUCACAAGUUGUUACUUUGCAGAAGAACAUAAUGUAUUUGCUCGAAAGAAAAGGUACCAUGAUGAUGAACGAGAGAUGCCUCCGUGUAGUGAUCUUUCAAUUUUUCAGACAAACGGCAAAGCCGUUGGUCCACCCAAGGCAUAUCACCUCAGUAUGGAAGAACGGAAGUCUGCUUUACUGUACAUGUUCACGAAUAUGCCUGAGGUGGAGAAAUACUUUGUGUAAGACUUAUUUUCUUAAAUUGUUCAUAUGUGAAUUAGUUUAUGUUUUCAAAUAUCUCAUGUCAUACAAUAAUAUUUGACAGCGAGUUUGAUGAACAAAACAUGAGGUGUCUUGGUAGGCCAACAACGAGAGACAUAGAUAAAUUGCGACACGAUGGUAUGCAUGGGCGACCUAAUUUCAUUAUGUGGCUUCGGGACCGUGUAAGUCUUAAUUAUGUGGCUCCGACAGCUAAUUUCAGUUAACUAAUAUUACAUAAUUUGCUAAUACUUUGUGGCAUAAUUGACAGUUUGGGGAGGAAAUGAAUUUGAAUGAUGACUUACGUCAGUUAUCUAUUGGAAGCGUAACUGCCAAAAGCUAUGGACGUUACGACGUCAAUGGAUAUCGCUUUCGUUCAAGCAUUUUCGAAUCAAGUCAUCCUAUGGCCGCCACUCAAAAUAGUGGAGUCGUUACUAGGGCAACCGACAUGGAAGGACACGAAGCCUGCUAUUACGGGAAAAUCAAAAAUAUAAUCGAGAUUACAUUUGCUGGAAAUAAGCCUUUAGCGCUAGUUUUCUUUGAGUGUAAAUGGUAUGACCCGAAGUAUUAUAGGACCGAAUUUGGGAUGACACAGAUCCAACCUGAAAAAUUGCUUCAAGGACACGACACGUAUAUCCUUGCCCGUCAAGCAGACCAAGUUUAUUUCUCGACAUAUCCAUGCAAAAAGUUGUCUAAAUGGAGGGUUGUGUACAAUGUAAAUCCCCGCGACCGCCUAUACACUCCUGGUGAGGACGAAUAUCAAAUUGGUCACCUUGAGCAGGUUGAUGAGGUGUUUCAAGAAGAAGAGUUGCCAACUAGUUUUCAUAUUGAUCCUGCACCGACAUUAGAUUCACUAGUUGCAGACGUUAACGACUUAACUUUUCCCGAGAAAAGGAGAAGACAACCUGUUAGGAGAAAAGUAACAUGGCGACCUCUGCAUAGAAGAGAACAAAUAGAUCCUGAUUUUGAUGAUAUUUAACAAGUAAAGUUGUUUUGUUAUUUAAUUUGUUUAUAUUUUAAGUAUUAUGUCAUUUUUGAUCCUAAUUUGUUUAUAUUUAACAAGUAAAGUUGUUUUCUUAUUUUUUAUGCAGGAUGCCGCCAAAAUCAAAGAAGUCAGUAAAGGGGCUGUUCAAGGGUCUGGGCCUUUUUCAGGGCAGUUCUUCGAGCAGCAGCAGACGUCGAGAGCUGUUGAGCGCGGUACAUGGAGAUGAGGUAACAUAUCUUGUACAAAUAAAUUUGUUUACAUAUUUACAAAUAAAUCUUGAGUUGUAUGUACCAGGAUGAGCAGCACACUGAGGAGCAGCACAUUGAGGAGGAGCAGCACAAUGAGGCUGAGCAGCACAAUGAGGAGGUGGAGCACAAUGAGGAGGUGGAGCACGUGACAUGGGACCAGGCUGCACAGCAUCACCAGCCAUGGGACCAGUGGGACCACCAGAGAGAGCAGCAACAGGCGUGGGACCAGUGGGGCCAACAGGGCGAACCGGCUGACAACCCGAUGGAUGAUGGCUCGGGAGGCUCUUCAGCGACACGCACACGUCGCUCAAGAAAAAGCCACUCAGUAAAGCCUCAUCACGCGAUAGAGCGAGAGGCUGAUAGGACUUUAAUCAUGCCACAUGGAGAUCGGUGAGUGUAAUAUAUUAACUUAUCUCAUAUAACUAUUAUGUGUAUUGUUAAUGUUUUUGUGUAAUGCAGGAAUUGGGAGGACCUGUCCUUUGACGGCAAGGGACACCACACUCAGGUUAACCUUACGUUGGGUUCUCUUUGCCGCCUUCACUACCCUGGUAUAGUGAAGGUGUCAAACGGUGAUACCGAGGAUGAGGUGCUCGUCAGUACCUGGGACGAGUACAAGUUUAAAAAGGAACGAAACCACACCGACAGACAGGGACUUGUGCGUAAUGACUUUUGGGUAUGAAUUCUUUAUUAUUUUUGUUAUGUUUCUUAAUAUUGUAAAUUUAUGACUUAUACCAUUGUAUUUGUAUUCUUUAUGUUGUAGCUUCGAUAUCGGUUGCCUGACGGAGAGGAUUACAUGGGGCACGCUGAACGUGUCUUCCAAAACAAUGCAAAGAAGCUGGUGAAGGAUGCCAUAUACUAUGUGAGAAUUCAGGCUACAAACCUGUAUUUUCAAAAGCAUCCGGAAGAAGCAGGCCCCUUGACUAAAAAGGAAGGGUCGUCAAAGAUAUAUUUGACCGAGGAUCAAUAUCGUGAGGUUAGUAUUCAAUUUGUUUUACCCUUUAUAUUUAUUGUUGUGAUUGAUAAUAUGUAACAUUGUGUGUGUGCAGGUGAUGGUUCCAUGGAUGGCGCCCGUGCCUGAUGCGUACUAUGCUUGGUGUCGAUAUUGGGCUUCCGAAGGCUUCCAGAAAGCGUCAGCGCAUCACAGACAAUGUCGAGGAACCAAUCCUAACCACAAGUUUGGCGGUGACGACAUGAUACGAAAAGCUAAAAGAAUGGUAAGUUUGAUCUAUCUAUGUCGAUCAGCAAAUAAUACGAUUGCUUAUGAAUGUUUUUUGUUUAUACAGGAAGCUACGAGUGGCCAAAAGCCUAGUGACAUUGAGGUCUACCAGGAGGGCCACAAAGGACCAGACCCGAACAACCCUGACCAGCUCUGCAGCCAGACAACCACGGAUCGCUUGGUGAGUUUUGGCUCAAAAGUUCAAACGUUCAAAGUAUAUAAAUUCCUGCAUUUGUAAGGUUGUCAAUGAUGUAUAGGCGGCAUAUGGGGAGGAGAUGGUUCGUCGCCAUGGCCCUGAGUUCGACUGGCGCCAUGAACCGGUAGAUCCCUCGGUGGUAUACGCAAGUGGUGGUGGCAAAGCGCAUGGACGGUAAGCUCUAACUUAUGAAAUUAUAUGGUUGACACUAAAUUGAUUAUACAAUAAUCACAUUUUUUGAAUAACUUAUAGAUACGCACUCUUCGACGGAUUCAUUGACUCGUCGUCGGUGAGAUCUCAGAGGACGGGUUCAUCUUCCCGUAGCUCAUGCUCUCGUCGACCGAACGAGCAGGAGUUGGAGAUUAUGAGGAUGCGCGAAGAGAUGAGACAACAACGCGAAUUUAUGGAGGCUUGCAAUGCACAUAACCAAGCGAUGUAUCAAGUGAGUACACAUAAUCCGAACUCUAAAUUAUUAUAUUUCAAUACAACAUCUUCGGUAGUAACACAUAUAUGUUUAACAGUUAAUGCAGCAACAGGGCAUGACAUCAAAUUUUCCACCGCCACCACAAUGGAGCCAAUUUGCAAACACACCAGUUCCACCACCACAGUUCACCACCCCUCCGACACAUAUACCUGCACCUGGAGAUAGGGUACGUUUGAUAACUCUCCAUUAAUUUAUAUACUUAUAUACUUUUUUGAUAUUUGAAUUUAACGUGAUGAUAUUUGCUAACUUGCAUAGGUUACGCCCGAAGCGGGUGGUAGUGGAUCUGAUCCCGCAGCAGGGACUGGAUUUGUUGACUCGCUCUUCGCGUUCCCUCCUCCUGGUGGUGGUGGCGGCAGCGGUCAAAGCUCUAACCACCCAAGUGGUGGUUAUCUCUAAACACAUGAACAUGUUUCUUAACUCGUGGACUCUUGGUCGUACUUGAACAUAUGUCGUACUUAUAUUUCAAUACUAUGUCGUACUCGUUGACUCGAUGUGGUGGUUGAACUUAUAUUUGAAAUGUUGGUGGAUGUUAUGUUUGUAAUGCGUGAUUUUAUUAUGAAUGCAUGUGUUUGUAAUGUGGCUGUUAUCUGUUAUUUAUGUUAUGUGUGAUAUAUGUUAUGUGUGCAGAAAUAGUGUCCUAAUUUAGUGCUGUUUUUGUAGCAGUAUAGGGUAAUUCUCGUCGGCCCAGUUAAUUCCCGUCGGCUAUGGUCGAACCGACGGGAAUUAACUAAUAACUCCCGUCGGCCCAGUUAAUUCCCGUCGGCCUGGGGAACCGACGGGAAUUAACUAAUAACUCCCGUCGGCCCAGUUAAUUCCCGUCGGCCUGGGGAACCGACGGGAAUUAACUAAUAACUCCCGUCGGCCCUGUGAACCGACGGGAAUUAACUCAUAACUCCCGUCGGCCUGGUGAACCGACGGGAGUUAGCAUUAAUUGUCGUCGGCUAGUUAGUGGCCGACGGGAAUUAAUAAUUCCCGUCGGCCGCCGACGGGAUAAACGUAUCCCCGACAAGGGACGCCUGGCGGCUGAAAACCGAUGGGAAUAAGCCCUAAACCGACGGGAAUUACGUAAUUCCCGUCGGUAUAUGCUUAUUCCCGUCGGUUUCUGGCCGACGGGAAUUAAGUGAAUUCCUGUAGUGAUUAGGGAAAAGCUUUAACAACCCCCCCCUCAGUUAUGCAACACCGACUCUCCAAGCCCAAAUAGGAGGCUCCAAGGAAAGCGCACAGUGACAAUGCCACUGCACAGCAGGCUAAUCCGUGAGGAUUGAUUGAACCUUCUAUCUCACUUCACAAAACCACCACACAACCAAAGGGAUACCAGCUAGCAGGGUAGAGUGGUACUGGAGGCAGGUGCCUAGUGAUGGAUGGUGGCUUGCCUUCAAUAGUGAUUAAUGAAAUCACGAGUCACGGCACGAAAAAAGUGCAACAUACUGGAGUUAAUCCGCAGUCUGGUGUUUCUCUCGCUCAGCCUCAGCAGAUAGCCCACGUGGUGGAUGGUGGCCUGCCUUCAACAGCGAUUGAUGAAAUCAUGAUCACGACACCAAACAAGUGUAACAUACUGAAGUCAACCCACAGUCUGGUGCUUCUCAUGCUCAAGCCUCAGCAGGUAGCCCACGUGGAUAAAGUGAUGAACUAAGCCCUAUGUUUAUCCCAAAUUUGAUUCUAUAUUUUCUUAAUUAACUCAAGGAUCAGCACAGUUGUGUGCUUGUGUAUAUCUACAAAUCAUGGUUAAGCAGAAAGUAAGACACAGACACUUUAUUCUUUUUGCCACAAGAUUGAAGGUACAUUUUGUGGUGUGCAAGGGUAAAAUAAUUUGGUCCACCAAAAUGCAGGUGUUUUGUUAGAAGGAUGCCCGGAUGUGGUUGCCGUAUUACUAAUCUCAUCUUCUAUUUCAAAUCCAACUUUGUAAACAAUAUGGUUUGCCGUGCAAACCAUUGUUUGUAUGACUAUACAUGGUAUUCUAGCCACAGCCUAACACCAACUCCAAACCAUUUUGUAAAAGUAAAUUUGGCUAUUAUUAGAAGAAGAAAAUAUUUUCACUAUACUUUGUAAAUGGUCCUCUCAAAUUUAAUAACUCUCCAUCCCUACAUCUUCGUUCUUUAUUUUUGGAUAGCCUGAUUUAGGAUGUGUUUGGUUUGAUGCCAAAGUAGUAUGAGACGGGGCGGCAUCGUCCACUCGAUUUUUUGGAAAACACGCUUCUACCAAAAAUUGCUCUGAUGUUCACCUCAUUUUCGUGUGACUUUCAUCCAAACAUCAUAAAAAAUGUGUCUGCCCCUUCCAUCCCUCAUUUACAUCCAACCAAACACUCUUACUUAUCAUACAGAGUUCUGAAUUUAUCGAGCAUGUUAAACUAAUCUACUCUUUCAAAAAACAUUUUAGAGAGUGACUAACUUAAUAAAUUUAGCUAAUUUUUUGAUAAUCUCUUAGAGUUGCUCUAAAAAGUCUGAUCCGACACAUCUCAAAGUAAUGGAACCUCGAGGUGAACAGGCAUGUCGCCUAGUGUCAUUGAAUCCUAGUGUUAUUUUUCCUCAGCAGGUAGCCCACGUGGAUGAAGUGAUGAAUUACUAAGCCCUAUGUUUAUCCCAAAUUUGAUUCUAUAUUUUCUUAAUUAACGCAAGGAUCAGCACAGUUGUGUGCUUGUGUAUAUCUACAAAUCAUGGUUAAGCAGAAAGUAAGACAGACACUUUAUUCUUUUUACCAUAAGAUUGAAGGUACAUUUUGUGGUGUGCAAGGGUAAAAUAAUUUGGUCCACCAAAAUGCAAGUGCUUUGUUAGAAGGACUAGUGGAUGGCGCGCGUCUUGCGCGAGGAGUAAAAUUUGAUUUUCAGAUAUUUUUUUAUGGAGAAGGAACACAGGUAAAUAUAAAUUUAAUCAGUAAAUCGCAUGGCGAAGGAAAUUCCAAAACAAGCUUCGGUUGGAGCUGAGGAUUUAGAACUCGUUUUGCCUAUAAUGAUUUUGUAAUUGAAAUAAGGAAUCAUAGUUACAAAAAUAGUGAAGGGACUACCUGUCGUCAAUACUCAGUUUUGUAGAACUACCAGUGGGUUGUCCGUGCGUUGCGACGGCUUACAAUAAUACUCACGUAAACUAUCUACCAAAAUAAUUUCAAGAUUUUUUAUUGAUUGUCUCCAACUCUCCGUAUAAUUUUUUUUAUUUAGCUAAUUGAUGUUAUUGUUUACUCCAUGCAAUAUGUCAUGGUACAACACGAUCAAUGAAGUGAGCGAUUAUAAUAGAGUUCAUAACGACUGACUGAACGAACAAAGAUUAUAAAAUGACAUAAUUCCACUAUAGAGAGACCAAAUAAGAGAAAAUUUGUGAUCUCAAGUUUAUAAAAUAAGUCACAUGAACUCAAAUUUAUAAAAAAGAUGGAUCAAAUAUGGAGUGAUUGCUAAAGUCAGACAUCAAUUAAAACUGGAUGCGCUCCAUAUAAACUAUGUGUCAGGGACCAUAAUUAGGGGUACCCUCAAGACGCCUAAUUCUCAGCUGGUAACCCCCAUCAGCAUAAAGCUGCAAAGGCCUGAUAGGUACGAUUAAGUCAGGGAUCAGUCCACACGAGUGACUCGAUCACGCUUCACCCGAGCCUAGCCUCGGCCAAAGGCAGCCGACCUCGAGAGACUUCCGUCUCGCCCGAGGCCCCCUUUUUAUGGCGGACACAUCACCGGCUUGCCCGAGGCCUUGGCUUCGCUCAGAAGCAACCUUGACUAAAUCGCCGCACCGACUGACCAAAUUGCGGGGGCAUUUAACGCAAAGGUGACCUGACACCUCUAUCCUGACACGCGCCCCCGGCAGAGCCGAAGUGACCGCCGUCACUCCACUGCUCCACUGGCCAGUCUGACAGAAGGACAGCGCCGCCUGCGCCACCCCGACUGCAGUGCCACUCGACAGAGUGAGUCUGACAGGCAGUCAGGCCUUGCCAAAGGCGCCACGGCGAACUCCGCUCCGCCCGACCCCAGGGCUCGGACUCGGGCUAAGACCCGGAAGACGGCGAACUCCGCUCCGCCCGACCCCAGGGCUCGGACUCGGGCUAAGACCCGGAAGACGGCGAACUCCGCUCCGCCCGACCCCAGGGCUCGGACUCGGGCUAAGACCCAGAAGACGGCGAACUCUGCUCCGCCCGACCCCAGGGCUCGGACUCGGGCUAAGACCCGGAAGACGGCGAACUCCGCUCCGCCCGACCCCAGGGCUCGGACUCGGGCUAAGACCCGGAAGACGGCGAACUCCGCUCCGCCCGACCCCAGGGCUCGGACUCGGGCUAGCACCCGGAAGACGACGAAACUCCGCUUCGCCCGACCCCAGGGCUCGGACUCCGCCCUGGCCUCGGCCGAACGACUUCCGCCUCGCCCGACCCCUUGGCUCGGGCUCGGCCACGGCAACAAAAGGCAAACUCAACCUUGGCUUCGGAGGAACCCCCACGUCGCCCUGCCUAGGGCAUAGACCGCCACGCCAACAGGAGGCGCCAUCAUCAUCCUACCCCGAAUCGACUCGGGUCACGGAGAACAAGACCGGCGUCCCAUCCGGCCAGCUCCGCCGGAGGGGCAAUGAUGGCGCUCCGCAAGCUCUGUGACGACGGCGGCCCCCGGCUCUCUUACGGAAGAAGGACAACGUCAGCAGGGACUCGACCGCUCCAACAGCUGUCCCUCCAUCAGGCUCCGCCGCACCUCCGACAGCCACGACAUCACGCCAGCAGGGUGCCCAGAUCUCUCCGGCUGCCACAUUGGCAUGUACCUAGGGCGCUAGCUCUCCCUCCGCUAGACACGUAGCAUUCUGCUACAUCCCCAUUGUACACCUGGAUCCUCUCCUUACGACUAUAAAAGGAAGGGCCAGGGCCUUCUCAGAGAAGGUUGGCCGCGCGGGACCGAGGACGGGACAGGCGCUCUCUUGGGGCCGCUCGCUUCCCUCACCCGCGUGGACGCUUGUAACCCCCCUACUGCAAGCGCACCCGACCUGGGCGCGGGACGAACACGAAGGCCGCGGGACUUACACCUCUCUCACGCUCGACUCCGGCCACCUCGCCUCUCCCCCCUUCGCGCUCGCCCACGCGCUCGACCCAUCUGGGCUGGGGCACGCAGCACACUCACUCGUCGGCUUAGGGACCCCCCUGUCUCGAAACGCCGACAGUUGGCGCGCCAGGUAGGGGCACGCUGCGUGCUGACGAACAGCUCCCCGUCAAGCUCCAGAUGGGCAGUCUCCAGCAACCUCUCCGGCCCGGGACGGUGCUUCGUUUCGGGACUCUUGAGUUCAUGUCCUUCGACGGCAGCUACGACAUGAUACUCCUUCCACCGCCGCGCGACUACGACAAUGGCGGCCGACAACCCGCCCGCCGGCGGCGGAAUCGACGACGUCUUCCCCGUGUGGUGGAAGAGCAACAUUCGGGCUCGCUCCGUUCCCUCCCCCGCCAACGGAGGAGGAGGCGGGGCCGUCAAGGCCAGACGGGAGGCCGCGCUUCGUCGGCCGUCGAGCGAAUCGACGCCCCCAACGCCCCGACGGAAGGCACGCCGGACGUCGACCUCGCGUUCAAGACGGAGGCAAGCGCUGUCCCCCCGCGGCGCGCUGACCCCGAGCAAGAAGACGACGCCGGCGCGCUCGCGGAAAGCCUGCAGGACGUCGCCCUCGAACCAGAGAUGACGGCGCAACCAGUCCCCGAUGUGACUACGUCGCUCCUCGUCGACCAAAAGGUAACGACUAACUCCCAUCUUGCGUCAUUUCGACUCGGCCUCAACCCGCCAAACGACCUCGUUUUGGCGGGCGCUCCUAUUGAGGCGAGUGCAACCCCACUGAGGUUCCGUAUGCGGUCGCCUUGGGACCGACUGACGGACGUCUCGACCUACGGGCCCUCUGGGUCCGAGGAAGAUGACGAUCCCGGCAUCGGUUGGGAUUUCUCCGGACUUGGCAACCCCAGUGCCGUGCGGGACUUCAUGACCGCAUGUGACUACUGCCUAUCCGACUGUUCCGAUGGAAGCCGCAGCCUUGGCGACGAGAGCUGUGGCCCAAGCCGCGAAUGUUUCCACAUCGAGCUAGGGGAUCCCACCGAAGGCAACCAUCUUGGCAUGCCGGAGGAUGGUGAUCUCCCUAGGCUGGUGUCUCGCGCCGACAUCCCACGGGAGCUAGCUGUGGUCCCCGCUCCGGCGGGGGGUUACGACCCACAACUCGAGCAAGUCCGCGAGGCGCAGGCCAGGCUCAACGAGGGAACAGGAGCGCUUGCGCCGAUCCAUCGGGACGUCGGACAAGCAUGGGUGGGCCAACCCCUAGCCGGAGAAAUACGUCAUCUGCCCCAAGGUCUCCAGCACCGCGCCGCCAACGAUGUCAGGAUCAGACCGCCGCCCGCAUCCAGCGGGGUUGGUCAGAACCUGGCAACCGCAGCAAUGCUCAUCCGCGCGAUGCCGGAGCCGUCAACCACCGAGGGUCGGCGAAUCCAGGGAGAACUCAAGAAUCUCCUGGAAGGCGCUGCGGCCCGGCGGGCCGAGAGCACUGCAUCCCGAAGGCAAGGAUAUCCCUCGGAACCUCAUGCCGCGACUUCCCGAUUCAUGCGGGAAGCCUCGGUCUACACCGGGCGCACGCGCAACACCGCGCCUGCGGCCCCGGGCCACCUCGGCAACGAGCACCAUCGACGCGACCGUCGGGCUCACCUCGACGAAAGGGUGCGCCGAGGCUACCACCCCAGGCGUGGGGGGCGCUACGACAGCGGGGAGGAUCGGAGUCCCUCGCCCGAGCCACCCGGUCCGCAGGCCUUCAGUCGGGCCAUCCGACGGGCGCCAUUCCCGACCCGGUUCCGACCCCCGACUACUAUCACGAAGUACUCGGGGGAAACGAGACCGGAACUGUGGCUCGCGGACUACCGCCUUGCCUGCCAACUGGGUGGAACGGACGACGACAACCUCAUCAUCCGUAACCUCCCCCUGUUCCUCUCCGACACUGCUCGCGCCUGGUUGGAGCACCUGCCUCCGGGGCAGAUUUCCAACUGGGACGACUUGGUCCAAGCCUUCGCUGGCAAUUUCCAGGGCACAUACGUGCGCCCCGGGAAUUCCUGGGACCUUCGAAGCUGCCGGCAACAGCCGGGGGAGUCGCUCCGGGACUACAUCCGGCGAUUCUCGAAGCAGCGCACCGAGCUGCCCAACAUCACCGACUCGGAUGUCAUCGGCGCGUUCCUCGCCGGCACCACUUGCCGCGACCUGGUGAGCAAGCUAGGUCGCAAAACCCCCACCAGGGCGAGCGAGCUGAUGGACAUCGCCACCAAGUUCGCCUCUGGCCAGGAGGCGGUCGAGGCUAUCUUCCGAAAGGACAAGCAGCCCCAGGGCCGCCCAUCGGAAGAAGCUCCCGAGGCGUCUGCUCCGCGCGGCGCCAAGAAGAAAGGCAAGAAGAAGUCGCAAUCGAAACGCGACGCCGCCGACGCGGACCUUGUCGCCGCCGCCGAGUAUAAGAACCCUCGGAAGCCCCCCGGAGGUGCAAACCUCUUCGACAAGAUGCUCAAGGAGCCGUGCCCCUACCACCAGGGACCCGUCAAGCACACCCUCGAGGAGUGCGUUAUGCUUCGGCGUCAUUUCCACAGGGCCGGGCCACCCGCCGAGGGUGGCAGGGCUCACGACGACGACAAGAACGAAGAUCGCCCAGCAGGAGAGUUCCCCGAGGUCCGCGACUGCUUCAUGAUCUAUGGAGGGCAUGCGGCGAAUACCUCGGCUCGACACCGCAAGCAGGAGCGCCGGGAGGUCUGCUCGGUGAAGGUGGCGGCGCCAGUCUACCUAGACUGGUCCGACAAGCCCAUCACUUUCGACCGGGCCGACCACCCCGACCAUGUGCCGAGCCCCGGGAAAUACCCGCUCGUCGUUGACCCCGUUGUCGGCGAUGUCAGGCUCACCAAGGUCCUGAUGGACGGGGGCAGCUGCCUCAACAUCAUCUACGCCGAGACCCUCAAGCUCCUGCGCGUUGAUCCGUCCUCCGUCCGAGCAGGCGCUGCGCCCUUCCACGGGAUCAUCCCUGGGAAGCGCGUCCAGCCCCUCGGGCGACUUGACCUCCCAGUCUGCUUCGGGACACCCUCCAACUUCCGAAGGGAGACCCUGACGUUCGAAGUGGUCGGGUUCCGAGGAACCUACCACGCCGUGCUAGGGAGGCCAUGCUACGCGAAGUUCAUGGCCGUCCCCAACUACACCUACCUGAAGCUCAAGAUGCCGGGCCCCAACGGGGUCAUCACCGUCGGCCCCACGUACAAACACGCGUUCGAAUGCGACGUGGAGUGCGUGGAGUACGCCGAGGCCCUCGCCGAGUCCGAGGCCCUCAUCGCCGACCUGGAGAACCUCUCCAAGGAGGUGCCAGACGUGAAGCGCCAUGCCGGCAACUUCGAGCCAGCGGAGACGGUCAAGGCCGUCCCCCUCGACCCCAGUGGCGACACCACCAAGCAGAUCCGGAUCGGUUCCGGGCUCGACCCCAAAUAGGAAGCAGUGCUCGUCGACUUUCUCCGCGCAAACGCCGACGUCUUUGCGUGGAGUCCCUCGGACAUGCCCGGCAUACCGAGGGAAGUCGCCGAGCACUCGCUGGAUAUUCGGGCCGGAGCCCGACCCGUCAGGCAGCCUCUGCGCCGAUUCGACGAGGAGAAGCGCAAAGUGAUUGGCGAAGAGAUCCACAAGCUAAUGGCAGCGGGGUUCAUCAAAGAGGUAUUCCAUCCCGAAUGGCUUGCCAACCCUGUGCUUGUGAGGAAGAAAGGGGGGAAAUGGCGGAUGUGUGUAGACUACACUGGUCUCAACAAAGCAUGUCCGAAGGUUCCCUACCCUCUGCCUCGCAUCGACCAAAUCGUGGAUUCCACUGCUAGGUGCGAAACCCUGUCCUUCCUCGAUGCCUACUCAGGGUAUCACCAGAUCCGGAUGAAAGAGUCCGACCAGCUCGCGACUUCUUUCAUCACGCCGUUCGGCAUGUACUGCUAUGUCACCAUGCCGUUCGGUUUGAGGAAUGCGGGCACGACGUACCAGCGGUGCAUGAACCAUGUGUUCGGCGAACACAUCGGUCGCACAGUCGAGGCCUACGUCGAUGACAUCGUGGUCAAGACGCGGAAGGUUUCCAACCUCCUCUCCGACCUUGAAAUGACAUUCCGGUGUCUCAAGGCGAAAGGAGUCAAGCUUAAUCCUGAGAAGUGUGUCUUCGGGGUCCCCCGAGGCAUGCUCCUAGGGUUCAUCGUCUCCGAGCGAGGCAUCGAAGCCAACCCGGAGAAGAUUGCGGCCGUCACCAGCAUGGGACCCAUCAAGGACUUAAAAGGGGUACAGAGGGUCAUGGGAUGCCUCGCGGCCCUGAGCCGCUUCAUCUCACGCCUCGGCGAAAGAGGUCUGCCUCUGUACCGCCUCUUAAGGAAGGCCGAAUGUUUCGCUUGGACCCCUGAGGCCGAGGAAGCCCUCGGCAACCUGAAGGCGCUCCUUACAAAGGCGCCUGUCUUGGUGCCACCGGCGGACGGAGAAGCCCUCUUGGUCUACGUCGCUGCAACCACUCAGGUGGUUAGCGCCGCGGUUGUGGUCGAAAGGCAGGAGGAAGGGCAUACAUUGCCCGUUCAGAGGCCAGUCUACUUCAUCAGCGAAGUGCUGUCCGAGACUAAGAUCCGCUACCCACAAGUUCAAAAGCUGCUGUAUGCUGUGAUCCUGACAAGGCGGAAGCUGCGACACUACUUCGAGUCCCAUCCGGUGACUAUGGUGUCAUCCUUCCCCCUGGGGGAGAUCAUCCAGUGCCGAGAGGCCUCCGGCAGGAUCGCGAAGUGGGCGGUGGAAAUCAUGGGCGAAACGAUCUCGUUCGCCCCUCGGAAGGCCAUCAAGUCCCAAGUGUUGGCGGAUUUCGUGGCCGAAUGGGUCGACACCCAACUGCCAACGACCCCGAUCCAACCGGAGCUCUGGACCAUGUUUUUCGACGGGUCGCUGAUGAAGACGGGGGCCGGCGCGGGCCUGCUCUUCAUCUCGCCCCUCGGAAAGCACUUGCGCUACGUGCUGCGCCUCCACUUCCCGGCAUCCAACAAUGUGGCCGAGUACGAAGCUCUGGUCAACGGAUUGCGGAUCGCCAUCGAGCUAGGGGUCAGACGCCUCGACGCUCGCGGUGAUUCGCAGCUCGUCAUCGACCAAGUCAUGAAGAACUCCCACUGCCGCGACCCGAAGAUGGAGGCCUACUGCGACGAGGUUCGGCGCCUGGAAGACAAGUUCUUCGGGCUCGAGCUCAACCACAUCGCUCGACGCUACAACGAAACCGCAGACGAGCUGGCUAAGAUAGCCUCGGGGCGAACGACAGUCCCCCCGGACGUCUUCUCCCGGGAUUUGCAUCAACCCUCCGUCAAGCUCGACGACACGCCCGAGCCCGAGGUACCCUCAGCUCAGCCCGAGGUACCCUCGGCUCAGCCCGAGGCACCCUCGGCCCAGCCCGAGGCACCCUCGGCCCAGCCCGAGGUACCCUCGGCCCCUGAGGGCAGGGCACUGAACGUCGAGGAAGGGCAGAGCGGGGCCACACCAGAUCAAGAUUGGCAGGCCCCGUACCUGCAAUAUCUCCGCCAAGGAGAGCUACCCCUCGACCAAGUCGAGGCUCGGCGGGUGGCGCGACGCGCCAAGUCAUUCGUCUUGCUGGGCGACGAAGAGGAGCUCUACCAUCGCAGCCCCUCGGGCAUCCUCCAGCGGUGCAUCUCCAUCGCCGAAGGUCGGGAACUGCUGCAAGAAGUACACUCGGGGGCUUGCGGCCACCACGCAGCGCCCCGAGCCCUUGUCGGAAAUGCUUUCUGGCAAGGCUUCUACUGGCCAACGGCGGUGGCUGACGCCACUAGAAUUGUCCGCACCUGCGAAGGGUGCCAAUUCUAUGCGAAGUGGACACACCUGCCCGCUCAGGCUCUGCAGACAAUACCCAUCACCUGGCCCUUCGCUGUAUGGGGUCUGGACCUCGUCGGACCCUUGCAGAAGGCGCCCGGGGGCUACACGCACUGCUGGUCGCCAUCGACAAAUUCUCCAAGUGGAUCGAGGUCCGACCUCUGAACAGCAUCAGGUCCGAGCAGGCGGUGGCAUUCUUCACCAACAUCAUCCAUCGCUUCGGGGUCCCGAACUCCAUCAUCACCGACAACGGCACCCAGUUCACCGGCAAAAAAUUCUUGGAUUUUUGCGAGGAUCACCAUAUCCGGGUGGACUGGGCCGCCGUGGCUCAUCCCAUGUCGAAUGGGCAAGUAGAGCGUGCCAAUGGCAUGAUUCUACAAGGGCUCAAGCCUCGGAUCUACAACGACCUCAACAAGUUCGGCAAGCGAUGGAUGAAGGAACUCCCCUCGGUGGUCUGGAGCCUAAGGACGACGCCGAGUCGUGCCACGGGCUUCACGCCGUUUUUCCUGGUCUACGGGGCUGAAGCUAUCUUGCCCACUGACCUGGAGUACGGCUCCCCGAGGGUGAGGGCCUACACCGAACAAAGCAACCAAGCUAGCCGAGAGGAAUCGCUGGACCAGCUGGAGGAAGCUCGGGACAGGGCCUUACUACACUCGGCGCGGUACCAACAGUCCCUGCGACGCUACCACGCCCGAGGGGUCCGGUCCCGAGAACUCCAGGUGGGCGACCUGGUGCUUCGGCUGCGGCAAGACGCCCGAGGGAGGCACAAGCUCACGCCCCCCUGGGAAGGGCCAUUCGUCAUCGCCAAAGUUCUGAAGCCCGGAACAUACAAGCUGGCCAACAAUCAAGGCGAGAUCUACGGCAACGCUUGGAACAUCAAACAGCUACGUCGCUUCUACCCUUAAGAUGUUUUCAAGUUGUUUAUAUACCUCGCACCUACGCAAAGUUUAGUCGUCAAGGAAGGGUCGGCCUAGCCUCGGCAAAGCCCGACCCUCCCUCGGGGGCUAAAAGGGGGGAGACCCCCUCUGCGUCGAAUUUUUCCUCGAAAAAGGAUAUCUUUUUAGCAGGAUUUCUUUCGUGCUUCUUGACUACUUCGGAAAGCGGAUCCUGGAAACGACGAGGUACACGUAAGCAGCCAAGGCUGACCGAGCCGAGGGACUCCUACGCCUCCGGGAUACGGAUACCUCACUCAUCACCUUCUGCGAUAAGUAACUUGCGCUCGGAUAAAGCGACUCCGUGGACCGAACGAGUCAUCACGCUCGGAAGCUCUCCUGCCGAAGCAGUCCUUCAAGCUUUCUCGACUGAGUCGGGGACAGGGCCUCAUGGACGAGUGAAAGUACGCGUAAGCCGUAAGGCCGACCGAGCCGAGGGAUUCCCACGCCUCCGGGAUACGGAUACCUCACUCGUCCCUUCCGCGAAAAGCAGCUCUCGCUCACACAAACAUCCCUGUUACCGACAGAGUCCAGAUGCUCGAAACAAGAGGAAAAAAAGACGCGGCUUCGCAAGCGCGGCGAGGGUGUGUUCUUCUGGCCUCGGCGGCCGCAGAAAGCACACGCUACAAGAUGAUCUGGUCCUGCAGGCUCGGAUCUUCACGCUGAAGGGAGCCGUAGCACCCUCGGCAUCGACGACGUCUUCAGCAAAGCCCGACCCAGCCUCGGGCGGCGCCGCGGUCCAGGGACUCCUCCGGGAAUCCGGCCCGAGCAGGCGGCUCAACCGGUUACCCCUGGGGCCUCGGUCAACCGGCUUCCAAGGGCGCCAGCCCGACCCGAGGCCUCGACUGAUCGACUUUGGCGUCGGCUCCGCUGACGGACAACACGGCUAGGCUCCGGCCAACCAGGUUCCCAUUCUCGAGCCGACUCCGCCUCUGUUCAUACUGAUAUCGCUACCCCUGGCCUCGGUCCAUCGAAGGGCGGCCGAGGGGUCUCUUCAACUAAGCUAGAGGAGCCCCAGACAACAAGGCCGAACGGGUCGAGGGAUUCCUACGCCUCCGGGAUACGGAUACCUCACCCGUCACCUUGACAUGGGGCAACUCAUGCUUGGUAAAGCGGUUCAGAUAAUCAACAGGCGAGACUUAAUGCUCGAAAAUGAGGAAAAAACACGGCUCCGUGCCGAAAUUACAUACACGUUCAGGCCUCGACAGCCGCAAUGAACAAAAAACACUGGCAUUCGAAGUGCCACUACCAAUGGAACUCCGGUUCCCUCCUCCGCAGGUACGAACAACCCCCCUCCGAAGGGGAAGGCCUGCGGAGUAACUGAAGAACGAUGGGCGGCUCGCUGCCGCCCGUUCCAACCGUGACGGCAACCACCCCUGCCCUAGACAGCGAAGCGGCUUGGGCAGCAGCUUUGGGGAAGGUGUCACGGCAGAAGGGCUCCCCCCGCUGGGGACGAGAACCAGCCAUUCAGGCAGGGAGACGGGGACCCAGGGCCCCUAGCGCCCUGCAUAUCCUGGCAUGGCUGGAGGAAGUCUCCGUGGGGCUCAAGGACGCCCUCCACCCCCGGGCGCAGGGGGAAGAAAGGGGCAGCCGACCCACGCGGGGGAGGUCCCCCGACUCGCCUCAUCUUCCAUCUUGGCCUGGAUGACGAAAAUCCUUGAGGCCGAGGGAGGAGUAGAGGCCGCGGCCUGGCCCGUUUUCCCCACCGUCGAACUAGAGGUCACCAUCUUGGGUGACCGCUGGUGGCGGGGUGUGGCCAGGCUGCGUGAUGAAAAUCCUUGAAGCCGAACGAUGGCUGAGAGGUACCAACUCCCAUGGAGUUGCGUUCCUCCAACGAGGAGGCGGAAAGGCGGCGGAUACCCCCCAUCCGGGGGCUUGGAAGAUGGGAAGACACGACGCUUAAGGGAGGAAGAAGACAUGGUUGCCUUACGAAAGGAGUCUCCCUCCUUUUAAAGGCAACUCUCCCUACGUGCGCCCCCAGGCGCCGCGAGCUGAGUCUUCUCCAACACGCUCCAAGGCCCUCCCCUGCGACUCGGGGGCUGGGUCCCGCAUGUCAUGCAAGCCAGCCCAGGGCAGAAGAAGCCAAACCGCCGCGUGGGGUGCGCACGACCGUCCGGCGGUCACAGGCGACCCCCCAUUUCUGCCCAGACCAACGGGCAGAAGGGGCGGGCAGCCAUGCAGGCGGCAUGCAACCGCGCCAGAUGGACGCGCUUCUCCGACUUCUGACACGCCAGCUUGGGAACCCAGGCCCACGCGUCGAGCAACCGGCGCACCAGUUGCUGCAUGCAAGCAACCGCACCGCCACUUGUGCCACCAUCGCGCCUCUUCGGUUGCAAAGCCUAUGCCACGACUCGAGGCGACCCAACAGCGCCAACCUGGCGCGUCGGUCAAAGCGACCGAAAGCGGGCCGGCAGUAAUAGCGGUGGCAGGCGGGCGGGCGCAGCGGUCACGUCGUCAGCCAGGCUCACGUCCCAUCCUGAGACAGCAAGAGAGCCUCGUCUCACGGCGUGGAGACGGUGCACCCGUGACCCGUUCCUCGAACGGAUCGCACGCGCGCAACGGCCGCCUCGCCAACCACUCGCCCCGUCGCAUUAACUCCGCGGCGGGACACGCGGCGCCUCUGGCAGGAGGAGCGCGCGGCGCUUCACCUUCGCCGUAAUAACCGCGUCAGAAAAGGUACGCCACGUCGUCCGAUUUCGUAUCCUUUUCCGUUUUCCUCUUUCUCUAUCUCUUGCAACAGGGACCGGGAAAGGGGGAUACCCCGAAAGGGAUCCUUCUCCGCGAAGGAACCGGGCUCCGAGCCCCCCAUUACUGAUCAGGGGUUCGAAGGCUGGCCCUCCGAAGGGUUCAACAGUCGCCUCAGAUCGCGUGGGCCCGACACCCACUACUGGUCAGGGGUUCGAAGGCCAGCCCCCCGAAGGGCUCCAUGGCCGCCUCAGGCUACUCGGGCUCCGCGCCCAUUACUGAUCAGGGGUUCGAAGGCUGGCCCCCGAAGGGUUCACAGUCGCCUCAGACACCGAGCGAGGGAUGACCAGGGGUACGUUCGAUACAUAACCAAGGCUCGGGCUGCGCUCCCGAGGUACCCUAGGACAUUUCCGAGACCAGCGGGAACGAUCUUGUAACGGAAUCCCAUCGGAGGGAGGCAUCGAGCCCUCGGACCCCGUCGCCAGGGGACCGGGUCCGGCAAAUCACCCGCAGGUACUUUUGGGCGUGCCUCUGGGCCCCUAGCCGACCCCCAACGAACGGGGCACGUACGUCCACUCGGAUUACCCGCUUGCAGCUCACCGGAGACACCAUGUUCGGUGCCCACCGAGGGUAACAUGGCGCACUCCCCCCUCCUCCUUGCGGAAAGGCGACGUAGGGGCGUAUGUAAAAAGUCGAGUCUGUCCCUGAUCGUCCUCUCGCCCUGUGCAGAGGCUCGGGGGCUGCUCUCGCAAAAACCGGCUCCGGCCAAAUCGUUGACAGCGUCAACAUACCAGCCCGAGAGCUUGGGCCCCGACCGUGCACCCGGGCUACGGCCAGUUCGCAUGAGGGAACGACCAGACCACCCGAAGCGUUAAGCAAAGUAUUAAGACCUCGAAGGAGUGUAACCACUCCUCCGAGGCCUCGGGGGCUACACCCGGCGGGUGCGCUCGCGCGCACCCACCGGAACAAAAUGCAACCGAGAAAGGCUGGUCCCCUUGCAAAAAAGUGCGACAAAAGCCUCCAAGCGAGUGCUAACACUCCCUUCGAGGCUCGGGGGCUACUGUCGGGGACCAUAAUUAGGGGUACCCUCAAGACGCCUAAUUCUCAGCUGGUAACCCCCAUCAGCAUAAAGCUGCAAAGGCCUGAUGGGUACGAUUAAGUCAGGGAUCAGUCCACACGAGUGACUCGAUCACGCUUCACCCGAGCCUAGCCUCGGCCAAAGGCAGCCGACCUCGAGAGACUUCCGUCUCGCCCGAGGCCCCCUUUUUAUGGCGGACACAUCACCGGCUUGCCCGAGGCCUUGGCUUCGCUCAGAAGCAACCUUGACUAAAUCGCCGCACCGACUGACCAAAUUGCGGGGGCAUUUAACGCAAAGGUGACCUGACACCUCUAUCCUGACACGCGCCCCCGGCAGAGCCGAAGUGACCGCCGUCACUCCACUGCUCCACUGGCCAGUCUGACAGAAGGACAGCGCCGCCUGCGCCACCCCGACUGCAGUGCCACUCGACAGAGUGAGUCUGACAGGCAGUCAGGCCUUGCCAAAGGCGCCACGGCGAACUCCGCUCCGCCCGACCCCAGGGCUCGGACUCGGGCUAAGACCCGGAAGACGGCGAACUCCGCUCCGCCCGACCCCAGGGCUCGGACUCGGGCUAAGACCCGGAAGACGGCGAACUCCGCUCCGCCUGACCCCAGGGCUCGGACUCGGGCUAAGACCCGGAAGACGGCGAACUCCGCUCCGCCCGACCCCAGGGCUCGGACUCGGGCUAAGACCCGGAAGACGGCGAACUCUGCUCCGCCCGACCCCAGGGCUCGGACUCGGGCUAAGACCCGGAAGACGGCGAACUCCGCUCCGCCCGACCCCAGGGCUCGGACUCGGGCUAGCACCCGGAAGACGACGAAACUCCGCUUCGCCCGACCCCAGGGCUCGGACUCCGCCCUGGCCUCGGCCGAACGACUUUCGCCUCGCCCGACCCCUUGGCUCGGGCUCGGCCACGGCAACAAAAGGCAAACUCAACCUUGGCUUCGGAGGAACCCCCACGUCGCCCUGCCUAGGGCAUAGACCGCCACGCCAACAGGAGGCGCCAUCAUCAUCCUACCCCGAAUCGACUCGGGUCACGGAGAACAAGACCGGCGUCCCAUCCGUCCAGCUCCGCCGGAGGGGCAAUGAUGGCGCUCCGCAAGCUCUGUGACGACGGCGGCCCCCGGCUCUCUUACGGAAGCAGGACAACGUCAGCAGGGACUCGACCGCUCCAACAGCUGUCCCUCCAUCAGGCUCCGCCGCACCUCCGACAGCCACGACAUCACGCCAGCAGGGUGCCCAGAUCUCUCCGGCUGCCACAUUGGCAUGUACCUAGGGUGCUAGCUCUCCCUCCGCUAGACACGUAGCAUUCUGCUACAUCCCCAUUGUACACCUGGAUCCUCUCCUUACGACUAUAAAAGGAAGGGCCAGGGCCUUCUCAGAGAAGGUUGGCCGCGCGGGACCGAGGACGGGACAGGCGCUCUCUUGGGGCCGCUCGCUUCCCUCACCCGCGUGGACGCUUGUAACCCCCCUACUGCAAGCGCACCCGACCUGGGCGCGGGACGAACACGAAGGCCGCGGGACUUACACCUCUCUCACGCUCGACUCCGGCCACCUCGCCUCUCCCCCCUUCGCGCUCGCCCACGCGUUCGACCCAUCUGGGCUGGGGCACGCAGCACACUCACUCGUCGGCUUAGGGACCCCCUGUCUCGAAACGCCGACACUAUGCUACUUCGUAGCAAUUACUAACGUUUAAAACCAACAAAUAACCUUUCAUUUUACUGUUAGUGUGACAAAUCAUUGUUGCUCCAUCCAAUUCAGCAACCUCAAACACUAUGGAGUCUAUUGCGCCAAUGUGAUAUCAGAAACGAUAUAAUGCUUGCAAGAGCCAAGAACGUCGUGCCGUGUUUGGCUCUAGCAUCGGCCCGUAGUGCUGGUCCGGCCCGACACGAUUAUAUAUUUUUUUUAUAAAAAAGUAUAUACAUAUAUACAAUUUAUAUUCAAUAUUAAAAAUAUCUGAGCAUGACGUUCUACUGGUUAGACAACUUUAUCCAAUGUCUCUCGUCAUUCUUCCAUUAGGGCAUGAGUUUGAACCCCACCUAUUGCGCCGUUUUUUAACAUUUUACGCUGAUUUAAUCAAAUGGGCCGACGGGCUAACAGGCUGACCCGGCACAGUCAGCAGGUCGGCAUGACGUGACUGGGCCAAAGUUGUGGCCCGCGGGCGUCUGGCCCGUGACGGGCCAUCAUUUGGCCAUCUAUAGGCGUGCAACAGAUUAAUUUGAAAUAGUUGUGAGGAGUUAUUUGUAAAAAGAUGACGUGAGACGACCGUUGAAACUUGUGCUUUAAGUAUAAUAUAGAAAAUAUUGGUAGGUUGUUUGGAAUAAAAGCAAAUGAUUUUCCGUUUUCUGUGAUUUGUUUUGAAUCAGGCAACUACGUAUUGUUUGUUUAAUUUGCGAUCUUUCCGCAAGAAAAUAGUUAGGUGAAAGGUGGAGAACUAAAUUCCAAAGAAGCUUUUUUGAAUGCAUGUUAUGGAAAAGAAUAAUUUUCCGAGUAGAGAGUACUUAGGGUCCAUCGGCAGUGGAAGCCAUUUUGCCACUACGGUUCCUCUAGAAAGCACCAACAUGCUGUAUUUGUCGGGACCAUAAUUAGGGGUACCCCCAAGACUCCUAAUCUCAGCUGGUAACCCCCAUCAGCACAAAGCUGCAAAGGCCUGAUGGGCGCGAUUAAGGUCAAGGCUCAAUCCACUCAAGGGACACGAUCUCGCCUCGCCCGAGCCCAGCCUCGGGCAAAGGCAGCCAACCCCGGAGGAUUCGCGUCUCGCCCGAGGGUCCCCUCAAGCAACGGACACACCUUCGGCUCGCCCGAGGUCCAGUCUUCGCGGAGAAGCAACCUUGGCCAGAUCGCCAUGCCGACCGACGGUAUCGCAGGAGCAUUUAAUGCAAAGAUCGACUGACACCUCAUCCUGACGCGCGCUCCUCAGUCGACAGAGCCGAAGUGACCGCAGUCACUUCGUCGCUCCACUGACCGACCUGACAGGAAAACAGCGCUGCCUGCGCCGCUCCGACUGCUGCGCCACUCGACAGAGUGAGGCUGACAGCAGCUAAGUCCAGCCUCGGGCGCCAUAGGAAGCUCCGCCUCGCCCGACCCUAGGGCUCGGACUCAGCCUCGACCUCGGAAGACGGACUCCGCCUCGCCCGACCCCAGGGCUCGGACUCAGCCUCGACCUCGGAAGACGGACUCUACCUUGCCUGACCCCAGGGCUCGGACUCAGCCUCGACCUCGGAAGACAGACUCCGCCUCGCCCGACCCAGGGCUCGGACUCAGCCUCGACCUCGGACGACGGUCUCCGCCUCGCCCGACCCUCGGGCCCAGACUCGACCUCGGAGGAGCCUCCGCCUCGCUCGACCCUCGGGCCCAGACUCGACCUCGGAGGAGCCUCCGCCUCGCCCGACCUAGGGCUCGGACCAACCACGUCACAGGGGGUCCAUCAUUACCCUACCCCUAGCUAGCUCAGGCUACAGGGAACAAGACCGGCGUCCCAUCUGGCUCGCCCCGGUAAACAAGUAAUGAUGGCACGCCGCGUGCUCCAUGACGACGGCGGCUCUCAGCCCCUUACGGAAGCAAGGAGACGUCAGCAAGGAUCCGACAGCCCCGACAGCUGUCCUUCCACAAGGCUCAAGCACUCCUCUGACGGCCACGACAUCACGUGAACAGGGCGCCAAAACCUCUCCGACUGCCACGACGACAUGUACUUAGGGCUCUAGCUCCUCUCUGCUAGACACGUUAGCACACUGCUACACCCCCAUUGUACACCUGGGCCCUCUCCUUACGCCUAUAAAAGGAAGGUCCAGGGCUCUCGUACGGGAAGGUUGGCCGCGCGGGAGAACGAGCCGCCGCAUAAGGCUCUCGCUCUCGCUCCCUCCCUCUCGGACGCUUGUAACCCCCUACUGCAAGCGCACCCGACCUGGGCGCAGGACAACACGGAGGCCGCGGGUUUCCCCUUUUGCCUGUUUCUUCCCCCCUUCGUGCUCCGUCUCGCGCCGACCCAUCUGGGCUAGGACACGCGGCGACAAUUUACUCGUCGGUCUAGGGACCCCCCGGGGUCGAAACGCCGACAGUUGGCGCGCCAGGUAGGGGCCUGCUGCGUGUUGACGAACAGCUUCCCGUCAAGCUCCAGAUGGGUAGUCUCCAGCAACCUCUUCAACCCGGGACAGUGAUCCGUUUCGGGAGUCUUGAGUUCAUGUCCCUUGACGGCAGCUACGACAUGAUACUCCUUCCUCCGCCGCGCGACAACGACAAUGGCGGCCAUCAGCCCGCCCGCCGGCGGCGGAAUCGACGACGUCUUCCCCACGUGACGGAAGAGCAACAUCCGGGUCUGUCCCGUCACCUCCCCCGCCGACGGAGGAGGAGGCGGGGCAGGCAUGGCCAAGCAGGAGGCAACACCUCGUCAGCUGUCGAGCGAGUCGACGGCGUCGGCGCCCCAGCGGGGGACACGUCGGGCGUUGACCUCGCGUCUGAGAUGAAGACGAGCGUCGUCUCCCCGCAACAAGCCAACCCCAAGCAGACGGACGACGCCAGCACGCUCGCGAAGGACUUGCUGGGCGUCAGCCUCGUACCUGAGACAACGGUGCAGUCCGUCUCUGACGCAACUUCGUCACCGCCCAUCGAUCAAGAGGUAUCGUCCGUCUCCCAUCCCAUGCCUUUCAAAUUCAGCUGCGACCCACCAAGCGACCCCGCUUCGGUGGAUGCUUUUAUAAAGGCAUGUCCAAACCCUCCGGGGUAUCAUAUGCGGUCACCCUGGGACCGGCUGACGGCCGUCUCGACCUACGGGCCUCUGGGUUCCGAGGAAGAUGACGAGCCCGACUCUGGUUGGGAUUUCUCCGGGCUCGAUAACCUCAGUGCCAUGCGGGACUUCAUGACCGCAUGUGACUACUGCCUCUCCGAUUGCUCCGAUAGCAGCCACAGCCUCGGCGACGAGGACUGUGGCCCAAGUCGCGAAUGCUUCCACGUCGAUCUAGGGGGUCUCGACGAAGGCAACCAUCUUGGUAUGUUGGAGGACGGUGAUCCCCCAGGCCUGCGCCUCGCGUUGACAUCCUUCGGGAGCUAGCUGUGGUCCUAGUCCCUGCGGGGGGUCAGGACGCACAGCUCGAGCAAAUCCGCGAGGUACAGGCCAGGCUCGACGAGGAAGCAGGACAACUUGUGCAGCUUCGGCAAAAUAUCGGGCAGGAGUGGGCAGGCCGAGCACCAGCCGGAGAAGCGUGUCACCUGGCCCAGGACGUCCAGCACCGCAUCGCCGACGAUGUCAGGGCAAGGCUGCCCCCGGCUUCCAGUGGGGUCGACCAGAACCUGGCUGCAGCAGCGAUACUACUCCGAGCGAUGCCGGAACCGUCCACCACCGAGGGGCGGCGUAUCCAGGGAGAGCUCAAGAAUCUCCUGGAAGAUGCCGCGGUCCGACGGGCCGAGAGCUCUGCCUCCCAAAGGCAGGGGUACCCCCCGGAGCAUCGCGCCGCGACUUCCCGGUUCAUGCGGGAAGCCUCGGUCCACACCGGGCACACGCGGAACACCGCGCCUGCGGCCCCGGGUCGCCUCGGCAACGAGCACCACCGCCCCAACCGUCGAGCCCACCUCGACGAGAAGGUGCGCCGAGGCUAACACCCCAGGCGUGGGGGACGCUACGACAGCGGGGAGGAUCGGAGCCCCUCGCCCGAGCCACCCGAUCCGCGAGCUUUCAGCCGGGCCAUACGACGGGCGUCGUUCCCGACCCGGUUCCGAACCUCGACUACUAUCACCAAGUACUCGGGGGAGUCGAAGCCGGAACUGUGGCUCGCGGACUACCGGCUGGCCUGCCAGCCGGGUAGAACGGACGAUGACAACCUCAUCAUCAACAACCUUCCCCCUUUCCUCUCCGACGCCGCCCGAGCCUGGCUGGAGCAUCUGCCUCCUGCGCAGAUCUCCAACUGGGACGACUUGGUCAAAGCCUUCGCCGGCAACUUCCAGGGCACAUACGUGCGCCCUAGGAACUCCUGGGAUCUCCGAAGCUGCCGCCAGCAGCAGGGAGAGUCCCUCCGGGACUACAUCCGGUGAUUUUCGAAGCAGCGCACCGAGCUGCCCAACAUCACCGACUCGGAUGUCAUCGGCGCUUUCCUCGCUGGCACCACUUGCCGCGACCUGGUGAGCAAGCUGGGUCGCAAGACUCCCACCAGGGCAAGCGAGCUGAUGGACAUCGCCACCAAGUUCGCCUCUGGGCAGGAGGCGGUCGAGGCCAUCUUCCGGAAGGACAAGCAGCCUCAGGGGCGCCAGUCGGAAGACAUCCCCGAGGCGUCCGCUCAGCGCGGCGUGAGGAAGAAAGGCAAGAAGAAGUCGCAAGCAAAACACGACGCCGCCGACGCGGACCUUGUCACCACUGCCGAGCACAGGAACCCUCGGAAGCCUCCCGGAGGCGCCAACCUGUUUGAUAAGAUGCUCAAGGAGCCGUGCCCCUAUCAUCAGGGUCCCGUCAAGCACACCCUUGAGGAGUGCGUCAUGCUUCGAUGCCACUUCCACAGGGCCGGGCCACCGACGGAAGGUGGCCGAGCCCACAACAACGACAAGAAGGAGGAUCAUAAGGCAGAGGAGUUCCCCGAGGUCCACGACUGCUUCAUGAUCUACGGUGGGCAAGUGGCGAACGCCUCGGCUCGGCACCGCAAGCAAGAGCGCCGGGGGUCUGCUCGGUAAAGGUGGCGGCGCCAGUCUACCUAGACUGGUCCGACAAGCCCAUCACCUUCGACCAGGGCGACCACCCCGACCGCGUGCUGAGCCCAGGAAAGUACCCGCUCGUUGUCGAUCCCGUCAUCGGCAACAUCAGGCUCACCAAGGUCCUCAUGGACGGAGGCAGCAGCCUCAACAUCAUCUACGCCGAGACCCUCGGGUUCCUGCAGAUCGAUCUGUCCUUGAUCCGGGCCGGCGCGGCGCCUUUUCACGGGAUCAUCCCCGGGAAACGCGUCCAACCCCUUGGGCAACUCGAUCUGCCCGUCUGCUUCGGGACUCCCUCCAAUUUCCGAAAGGAAACCCUCACGUUCGAGGUGGUCGGGUUCCGAGGAACCUACCACACAGUGCUGGGGAGGCCAUGCUACGCCAAGUUCAUGGCCGUCCCCAACUACACCUACCUCAAGCUCAAGAUGUCGGGCCCCAACGGGGUCAUCACCGUCGGCCCCACGUACCGACACGCGUACGAAUGCGACGUGGAGUGCGUGGAGUAUGCCGAGGCCCUCGCCGAAUCUGAGGCCCUCAUCGCCGACCUGGAGAGCCUCUCCAAGGAGGCGCCAGAUGCGAAGCGCCACGCCUGCAACUUCGAGCCAGCUGAGAUGGUUAAGUCCGUCCCUCUCGACCCCAGCAACGACGCCUCUAAGCAGAUCCGGAUCGGCUUCGAGCUCGACCCCAAAUAGGAAGCAGUGCUCGUCGACUUUCUCCGCGCGAACGCCGAAGUUUUUGCGUGGAGUCCCUCGGACAUGCCUGGCAUACCGAGGGAUGUCGCCGAGCACUCGAUGGAUAUCCAAGCUGGAGCCCGACCCGUGAAGCAGCCUCUGCGCCGAUUCGACGAAGAAAAGCGCAGAGCCAUAGGCGAGGAGAUCCACAAGCUGAUGGCUGCAGGGUUCAUCAAAGAGGUAUUCCAUCCCGAAUGGCUUGCCAACCCUGUGCUUGUGAGAAAGAAAGGAGGGUGUAGGAAACGGGUGACGCCUAAGAGGGGGGGGGUGAAUUAGGACUUCUAAUACUUUUACUAAACUAGGCCACAAUUAAAUCCCUAGAGCAAAACCUAUGCAAGUAAUCAAAACUAGAAUGUGCAAACUAGGUUUUGUCUAAGUGUUGCUAUCUCUACCGCAAAGGCUAAGUUUCAAUCUACACUAAAUAAGUAUGACAAUAAGAUUGAAACUUAAAUGCUUAAUAUAAAUGCGGAAUGUAAAGAGCUAAGUAGAGAAGCAAACUCUCGUGGAUGACGCCGGUAUUUUUACCGAGGUAUCCGGAACCACGCAAGGUCCCGACUAAUCCUCGUUGGUGCCCCUACGCAAAGGGAAGCCCACCCGAGGGCCAAGCACCUCGGUCGAGUAACUCCGUAGAGAGCCGCGGGCCUUCUCCACGCGCAAGUGGUGCUCCGCUUCCGGCUCCUCUCGGACGCUCCCCGCCGUCUCCACUAUCGAGCUUCCGGCCGAAACGCCGCGGGCCUCGUUCCCUCCGGUACACGGUGGCGGCCGUGACACAAACGCGGUUGUCACGGUCUCGCAAGACUCUCGCCCCACUCGGUACAAUUACAACGGCUCGCGCAAGAGCCGAGGGGUUGUGAGGUUUAUCUAAACUCACUCAACUAACUAGGAUUCACCUAGAGCAAGCGCUAAAGCGGUCUAACUAACCUAAGCACUUCGCAAAGCACCUACGCUAAUCACCGAGUGAUUCUAUUAAGCACUUGGGUGUUUGAGCUCUUGGAAAUAUGCACUAUGUGUCUUGGUAUGUUGCUUGGGCUCUCACACUUGAGAAUGGCCGGUUGGGGGUGUAUUUAUAGCCCCCAACACAAUUGUAGCCGUUGGAGAAAAGCUGCUGCUCUCUGCGGCACACCGGACAGUCCGGUGUGCACCGGACAGUCCGGUGGUGCACCGGACAGCGCACUGUAGCCUGUCCGGUGCGCCUAGCCGUUGCCUGUCUGCCUCUUGUCAGAGCAGGUGACCGUUGGCGCCGCAGUCUCCGGGUGCCACCUGGAACUAGCCGUUGGGCUGCAGUUCCCAGGUGCACCGGACAGUCCGGCGUGUGGGCACCGGACAGUCCGGUGUGCCACCGGACAGUCCGGUGCUCCACGCACAGACAGUCCGCAGGCAGCACACGCCUCCUUUCUUGGACUUUUCUUGAUCUUCUUAAUGUCUUCUUUUGAGGUGUUGCUUUCCUCAAUUCCUUAGUCCAAGUAGUUCUUGCAUCCUGUGAACUACAAACAUAAACACUAGGAAACUUGUUAGUCCACAGAUUGUGUUAAUCAUCAAACACCAAAACUUACUUAGCCAAAUGGCCCGGGGUCCAUUUUCCUUACAAUCUCCCCCUUUUUGGUGAUUGAUGACAACACAACCAAAGCAAGCAAAUAAUGCAAGUAUUUGAAUGUAAAUAUGCAAUACUUGCUAGGAUGCAUGAUUGUCCCCUUAAUGUGAUAUUAUGGACUUAAGCCUCCCCCUAACUCCAUAAUUCACUUACUUCCUAUUUUGGACCAAAUAACCAAAACCACUUGACAGGGCACUUGCAGAAUUUUUAAAAUUUUGAAAUUGGUGGUGUUUGGUGUUUGAUACAUUUUUCAUUGCUUUGGUCCCUAAAAUUCUCCCCCUUUGGAAUCAACCACCGAAAAGGAAGACAUUAAAAGCAUGUAGGAAGUAAAUAAAACUUGCCCUCAUAAGGAAUUGAAACUCUUGGAGAACAGAAACAUAUGAAAAAUUCCCCCUAAAUGAGUGUUCUCUUUUAGAAAGAAAUUUCUCCCCCUUUUUAGAGACGAAGAAAUACUCCCCCUGACCGAGAUCAACUACUUAGGAAAAAGCAUGUGAAAAUUAGAGGAGCAAGUCAUGAUUUGAAUAGACUAACUUCCCUUAUGCAUAGAUAACAAAAUAUGAUUGAACCACUUAUGCAUUUAUAGCAACAAGGAAGUAUAAGAUGUGAAAUAGUAGUUUAACCAAAUGUCGGAGAAGACGUGUAAAAGAUGUACAAUGACAGUUCUUGGAGAUAUGCAGUGGAAGAUUGUUGUCUUUCUCCGAGGACUUCAUUUUUCUUACAAUGAGACUAUCACAUGAAAUAGACUUGAAAAAAGUGUUAGUCUCAAAGUCUUAGAUUAUAGAGUAAUCUCCCCCUAAAAGUGUGCAUACAAGUUUUUUGAAUACUUGUAGGAGACAUGCACUUUGAUUUGAUAUCAAGAGGGGUAGGUUAUCCAUAAUCCGAGCUUUGGCACAUAUAAGUUAAAUGAUACAACUUGUAGAGAUCAAGAUUAUCAACUGAUGCAUCAUUUACUAUGGAGUGAUACAAAAGCUAUGUGCCGUGCUUUAAAUAAGCAUUUUGAGCCAUGUAGGUUUGCUAAAGAAUAUGAAUUGAAAACAAGCAAUCCUACCAUAUGAUUUGCCUAGUAUGCAUUAUUUUAAAACGUAGGUAAAUAACAAUUUUAGUACUAGGCAGGAUAGGUAAACUAGAUACAAGGUAAAUAGAUACGCAUAUCUAAAAACAAGAGAUACAAUAAAUCUAGUUACCUUAGUCAUGGGUGGGAAAUUUGGGUCCAAAAUUUUCACUAGCCCACUUGGCAAUAACCUUGAUCCAAUAUGAUGUAUCCCAUGAUAUACAUCCUAAUUUUGCCAAGUCUCCAAAUUUCCCGUAGACCUUUGGUCCACUCACUUCCCUUUCGGGAUCCAAACCUUCUUGGUGCUCCUCAUGGUUGAAAUAAUUUCCUUUGGCACCCAGAUGCGUUUGGCCCCCUUUCCUUUGUUGGCUUGCUUGUUGGCCUUGAUUGCUAUCACCUUUCCAUUCUUCUUCUUUUUGAUUAAGUAUGGUGUAGCAGUCUUCUUAUCCACCUUUUUGAUGUAGGUGUUGGAGAUUUUGCUUGAUGGCUUUUGCUUGAGCUUUUGCCUUUGUUUAUCCCCGGUCAUCGCCUUGCAUUGGAAAGACUUGUGGCCUUCAAUGUGGCAUAGCCUACAAAUCACAAUUUCUCCCUCUACAGGCUUGUUCACUCCCGCAGUGGUGUUAUCCUGUGGAGGUCGGAUUUGUUUGGCUUUGCCUUUCCUUUCAUACAAAGCCUUGCCAAGGCGAGCCACUUCUUGCUUUAAUUGUUCAUUUUCCUUUGCAACCUCAUCCGUACAUGUCUCUACAACAAUAUUCUCAACAACUUGGUUGCAGGGGUUAGAAUCAUCAAUUAAAUCAAAGCAGGAAGUAGAAGCAUCUUUCUUAAUUAUUUCAGGUAUUUCAACUGAAGAUGCUGCUGGGGUGCUACCAAUGUUUUCUAGCUUAGUAGUUAGCUCAUUGUUGUGUAUGCUAAGAAUUUCCAUUUUCUCUAGCAAAUUUUCAAUAGCUUCUUGAGAGCUAGCUAACUUAGCCUUAAGUUUUUCAUUCUUUUUAAUAAGGCUAUCAUCGGUAGUAGUGGAUGGAGCACUAGAUUCUAAUAGCUCAAUUUUAGUUGAUAGCUCACUAUUUAAGUUUGCAAAAGUUUCAAAUUUUUCUAGCAAACCUUUGUAAUCAUUUUGAGAGCUAACCAACUUGUUUUUCAAAGUUUUAAGUUGAGCUUUUUGCUUAGUGCAAACAUCCUGGAAAAAUUCUACGGCUUCCGCAAGCUCAUCUAGAGAGGCUUUUCCCUCACCUUCAUCAUCACUACUACUUUCAUCACUAGAGGAUGGAGUGCUUUUGUUACCUCUUGCCAUAAGGCAUUUGUGUGAUGACCGUGAUGAUCGUGACGAGGACCGGUGGCUGCGCGUCCUUGGAGGUUCAUCUUCACUUGAAGAAUCAUCCCACGUUCUAACACUUGUUAGCGCCUUGCCUUUGCUCCUCUCCUUUUUGGGUUUGGCCAUAUUUGGACAGUUGUCCCUGAAGUGGCCCUUCUCCCCACAUGCGAAGCAUCCUCUCUUCCUUUGCUUUUUCCUGUCAAUGUUAAAGAGAAGAUCCUCGACCUGCAGGGGCACACCCAUUAGAUUAAUCUUGCGGAUCAUCCCCAUUACCUUUCCGACGCGUCGGAUUGUCUCUUCGUCCUCGGAGGAUGAUGUGCAUGGUUGAUUAUCUUCAUCAUCAUCACUUCCUUCUUCUUCCUCUUCUUCACUUGAGGAACUUGGAGUGGGAGCCUUAUUUUUGCCCUUCCUUUCAUCACAUGCAAAAGCAUAUGGCCUUGAGGAAGUUGGCUCCUCUCCCCGACUCAUUUUUCGCGACAUCUCAAAAGCCGCGAUUUUCCCAAUCACAAUGGUCGGGGUCAUGUUGCUCAAGUCCUCCAUGUUGUGAAGGAUGGUGAUGAUGCUCCCAUAUCUUUGUUGUGGUAGCAGGGAGAUAAUCUUCCUCACAAUGUCCGCAUCACCUAGCUUAUUAAUGCCAAUAGAGUUGAGCUCAUUGAUUAUUAGAUUCAAACGAGAAUACAUGUCUCUAACAAGCUCAUCAUCUUUCAUAGCAAAAGAAUUAUACUCAUUUAAGACUAGGCAAUGUUUUUGCUCACGGACAUUGGAUGUGCCGUCAUGGAGCUCAUGCAAUUUUAGCCAAAUCUCAUUAGCAGUUUUCAAGGUAAAUACUUGAUUAAAAAUAUCCAUGCUAAGAGAUUCAUACAAGCAAUUUUUGGCUCUAGCAUUUAAAUGAAUUUCUUUUUCCUCACUCGUGGUGGGUUUCUCGGGAUUCUUGAGGGGUUUCAUCCCGUCACGAGUGACUCUCCAAACACCUAGAUCAACAGCCUCUAGGUAACAAGCCAUUCUAGCACUAUAAUAUGGGAAGUUAGUGCCGUCGAAGUGUGGUGGCCUAUGGGUAUCCAUCCCUUCCUCUAAAAAGCGUCGGCUCUUUUAGCGGUGAAGCUAAAGCGUUUCAAAUGAGCCAAACCGGCUCUGAUACCACUUGUAGGAAACGGGUGACGCCUAAGAGGGGGGGGGGUGAAUUAGGACUUCUAAUACUUUUACUAAACUAGGCCACAAUUAAAUCCCUAGAGCAAAACCUAUGCAAGUAAUCAAAACUAGAAUGUGCAAACUAGGUUUUGUCUAAGUGUUGCUAUCUCUACCGCAAAGGCUAAGUUUCAAUCUACACUAAAUAAGUAUGACAAUAAGAUUGAAACUUAAAUGCUUAAUAUAAAUGCGGAAUGUAAAGAGCUAAGUAGAGAAGCAAACUCUCGUGGAUGACGCCGGUAUUUUUACCGAGGUAUCCGGAACCACGCAAGGUCCCGACUAAUCCUCGUUGGUGCCCCUACGCAAAGGGAAGCCCACGCGAGGGCCAAGCACCUCGGUCGAGUAACUCCGUAGAGAGCCGCGGGCCUUCUCCACGCGCAAGUGGUGCUCUGCUUCCGGCUCCUCUCGGACGCUCCCCGCCGUCUCCACUAUCGAGCUUCCGGCCGAAACGCCGCGGGCCUCGUUCCCUCCGGUACACGGUGGCGGCCGUGACACAAACGCGGUUGUCACGGUCUCGCAAGACUCUCGCCCCACUCGGUACAAUUACAACGGCUCGCGCAAGAGCCGAGGGGUUGUGAGGUUUAUCUAAACUCACUCAACUAACUAGGAUUCACCUAGAGCAAGCGCUAAAGCGGUCUAACUAACCUAAGCACUUCGCAAAGCACCUACGCUAAUCACCGAGUGAUUCUAUUAAGCACUUGGGUGUUUGAGCUCUUGGAAAUAUGCACUAUGUGUCUUGGUAUGUUGCUUGGGCUCUCACACUUGAGAAUGGCCGGUUGGGGGUGUAUUUAUAGCCCCCAACACAAUUGUAGCCGUUGGAGAAAAGCUGCUGCUCUCUGCGGCACACCGGACAGCGCACUGUAGCCUGUCCGGUGCGCCUAGCCGUUGCCUGUCUGCCUCUUGUCAGAGCAGGUGACCGUUGGCGCCGCAGUCUCCGGGUGCCACCUGGAACUAGCCGUUGGGCUGCAGUUCCCAGGUGCACCGGACAGUCCGGCGUGUGGGCACCGGACAGUCCGGUGUGCCACCGGACAGUCCGGUGCUCCACGCACAGACAGUCCGCAGGCAGCACACGCCUCCUUUCUUGGACUUUUCUUGAUCUUCUUAAUGUCUUCUUUUGAGGUGUUGCUUUCCUCAAUUCCUUAGUCCAAGUAGUUCUUGCAUCCUGUGAACUACAAACAUAAACACUAGGAAACUUGUUAGUCCACAGAUUGUGUUAAUCAUCAAACACCAAAACUUACUUAGCCAAAUGGCCCGGGGUCCAUUUUCCUUACAGAGGGAAAUGGCGGAUGUGUGUAGACUACACUGGUCUAAACAAAGCAUGUCCGAAGGUUCCCUACCCUCUGCCUCGCAUCGAUCAAAUCGUGGAUUCCACUGCUGGGUGUGAAACCCUGUCUUUUCUCGAUGCCUACUCAGGGUAUCACCAAAUUAGGAUGAAAGAGUCUGACUAGCUCGCGACUUCUUUCAUCACACCCUUUGGCAUGUACUGCUACGUUACUAUGCCUUUCGGUUUGAGGAAUGCGGGUGCGACAUACCAAAGGUGCAUGAACCACGUGUUCAGAGAACACAUUGGUCGAACGGUCGAGGCUUACGUCGAUGACAUCAUAGUCAAGACGAGGAAAGCCUCCGACCUCCUUUCCGACCUUGAAACGACAUUCCGGUGUCUCAAGGCGAAAGGCGUAAAACUCAAUCCUGAGAAGUGUGUCUUCGGAGUCCCCCGAGGCAUGCUCCUGGGGUUCAUCGUCUCCGAGCGGGGCAUCGAGGCCAACCCAGAGAAAAAAUCGCGGCCAUCACCAACAUGGGGCCCAUCCAGGACUUGAAAGGAGUACAGAGGGUCAUGGGAUGCCUUGCGGCCCUAAGCCAUUUCAUCUCGCGCCUCGGCGAAAGAGGCCUACCUCUGUACCGCCUCUUGAGGAAGACCAAGCGCUUCACUUGGACCCCCGAGGCCGAGGAAGCCCUCAGGAAACUAAAGGCGCUCCUUACCAGCGCGCCCAUCUUGGUGCCCCCUGUCGGUGUUUUGGGUCCGACCGCACACCCGGGGUUGCCCCUCAUGGUGUUUUAGGAGUAGGACGGUGUCGUCGACUGUAGCUAAAUGGUUCGUGCCAGAUGCACGAAGAACAAUGGACAGUGUUUACAGGUUCGGGCCGCUUUGAGAUGCGUAACACCCUACGUCCUGGCGAGUUUGCUUUGUAUAUGGGUUACAAGGUAGCUCUCUAAAGUGAGAACACGGAGAGUUGAGGUGGAUGGCUGAGUAGUGGGAUCGAUCAAUCUGAAGGGGUGCCCUCUAGGCCUUAUAUAUUCGACCGUGGGGCGAUACAUGUGGAUACGAUAACAAUGUACACCUACAAGAUAGUGAACCGUUUUAGUCUAUCUUCCUAUGAUUCUGCCGACUUAUCCUCGCCUGGUUCCGUCGUAUGGGGUUCCAGCGCGGGAAAGUCGGGUCUUCUGUUGCGGUCGCUUGCUCAACGCUGUGGGGCCGUCCGGGUUUGCGCCAACCCGGCCUUAUGCCGAUCUGCUUCACUGGUCCUUCCUCCCUAGGCCCAUGAAGGAGUGACCUCACGGGUUAUUGGGCCCUUGGGCCUUUCGUGAGGUCUUUUAUCCUUCCAAUGGACCCGGGGGAUAUUUGUCCCCCACAAGCCCCCGAUCUUCGGGCUGAUUUUGAGAUAAUUAGCCCAAAGAUCCUAGGUCCAGCUUGCGGUCUUUGUUUAUGAUAAGAAAUGCUUUCCAAGCAGUCUGGUAAAAAUGAUUUUUUACUGUCUCCUUCUGCUUUAAUCACUCGUAAAUUGGAGCCUUGUUUCAUGCUUGUGCCUUAGAGGUCAGCAUUUCAUUUUGUAGGACCCUAAACUUCAUUGGGUGUAGCCCCCGAGCUUUGAGUGGAUUUUUGAAGAUAAUCCAUUCGAAGGUCUUCAUUUCGUGUCUUUUUGCUGAGGGUCAUCUUUUCUUUUUUCGGAUGCCUUAGAAGUCGGCAUUAUGUCAUCCAUAUUAUGCUUUAGAGGUCAGCAUUAUGUCAUCAAUAUUAUGCUUCAGAGGUCAGCAUGUGUUUUGUCUUUUGCAGCCGAGUUCGUGAUCCACCCAUAUCUUGCUAAGUGGUGCAAUUUAUUUGCUCUGCGACUGAUUGGACAUUUGAUGGACGUUCCCUGGCUAGUCUUCACGUCGCUUCUGUCGGUCAGAUUUUGUACUUCACCGGCUAUAUUUGGCUUUCCUUUGAUCCUUACUGAUAUCUCAUUUUUGUCUUGAGGUAUUCAUUGCAUGUCCUGCACGGAUGUGACAGUUUUGAAAAAUAUACUGAUAAUUCCUGGGCGUCCCCCCCAAUGGGUGUGGGCAAGGGACGGCUUGGUACGCUGAGUGUUUUAGCCGGCUGCUUCUGAGUAGUAAUGUGAUGUGACAGCGGGUGUAAUCAUAUCAUCCGCGCUAUUGACUGGAGUCCCAAUGGGUGUUGCGUUGCGUGAAACGGCGUCAGCCGCCUGACGUGUCUUCAGACGGGUUGAAGUGUGUAUUGAAUGCUUCGCGACUGUUCAGUGACCGUGGUUGGAGGUGAGCGGUUGCCUUCUUCUUCUAUAAAUAGUGCCUUUGCCUCUCUGGUUUUUUCACAUCUCUUGAUGUUCUCCGCUGCUUGCUUUCUUCCUCUCCUUGCAUUUCCACCAUGGGCAAGAACAACAAACGCAAGCGCGAGCCGACUCCUCCAUCAGAGGACUUUGGCGACUCGGAAUACUCAGAGGAGGAGUUCUCCUCUGAGUCCGAGGGGUCUCCAGCUCCCGUCUCUCCCCCAGCGUCGUCCGAUGACUCGGACGACUCUCAGGGGAUUGCCUCGGAGAUCUGGACUUACAUCCGGGCCAUCGAGCGCUCCGGGCUCGAGGGCUCGGAUGAGUCGGAGUACUCCUCGGACGAGGAGGACUCGCUCGAGGAGGACGACGAAGGUGACGACAACGACGACGACGACGGAGGCAGGGGCGGCAACGGCGGCAGCAGGGGCGGCAACGGCGGCAGCAGGGGCGGCGGCGGCGGCAGCAGCAGCAAGGGCAGCAACAAGGCCAGUGGCUAGACGCCACUGGUUUUUAGAUAUUAGUAUAGAUUAGAAAUAGUAUAGUGAAAUAAUGUAGUAGUAUUUAGUAAUGUAGAGUAGUAUAGUGUAGCGUAGUAGUAGUAGUAGUAGUAGUAGCAGCAGUAGGGAAGUAUCAACUCAUAAUGAGUUGAUUUGUAAGUAUUGUAACUUCCCUUAAUGAAGAAUCAUUUCGCCUCCUCUGUGUCAAUUAUUUAGCUUUGUAUUCAGUUGAUCUCUGUCGUGAUGUUUAUUGCCCGUAAUGUUCUCUAUCUGUUAUGUCUGUGGCAUAACUUAGAGUUCUUGAACCAUUCCUCCGCCUGCCUUGUUGGUGAAAUUGAUUCCUUUGGAAUAGCGAUUAAAUAACUCGGGCAUCAUCGGGCAUCAUAUUGACGCCUUUGGGGGUGAUGGCCGAGCUAUUAUUGUCACAUUAACGCCUUUGAAAUAGCGUCCGAGUGAUGACGAAACCAUGUCAGCGUCGGAAUAACUGUUGACCACGUUGGCGCUCUUAGAUGUGACAGCCGAGUGACCUGUGACAACGCCAGCGUUUUUUAGAGAUAACCGCCGAGCAACUGAGGACAUCGUUGGCGCUUUAGAGAUAGCUGCCGAGUGACUGAAGACAUCGUCGGCGUUUUAGAGAUAGACGCCGAGCGACUGAAGACACCGUCGACGCUUUAGAGAUAGCCGUCGAGCGACUGGAGACAUCGUUGGCGCUUUAGAGGUAACCGCCGAGCGACUGAAGAUAUCGUCGGCACUUUAGAGAUAAAUGCCGAGCGACUGGUGAUAACGUUGGUGUUUUAAAAAUAGCCGCCGAGCGAUUGAAGACAUCAUCAGCGCUUUAGAGAUAAAUGUCGAGCGACUGGUGAUAACGUCAGCGUCUUAGAAAUAACAGCUGAGUUAAAACGGGCCGUGUCGGCCACUUUGAGGAUAAUAGCCGAGUGACGAUGUGGCACACCGGGGUUUUAGAAGUAGCCGCCGUGUGCCGACGUGGCACGCCGGUGUUUUUAGAAGUAAAUGCCGGGUGCUGACUGGGCGCUUUUGGAGACAGUAUCUUACUCGGGAAUAUCCCGCAUAUACUGUGCUUUCAGCUACCUCUUCUUUCCGUGCCCUAGUUCUUUCUUUCCUGCCUCCAGAUCCUCUCUGCAAUUCGAUUCUCGCUCUGUUCGCCAGUAGAGUUGAGAUGGCGCCCAAGAGAAAGGCCUCGAGUUCAUCCGCUGUGGUGAUUCCCCCCAUCGACCCCAACAGCCAGUUGCCUUUCGCAGGUAACCAUAUGUCUGUUGUCUCCGAGCCUGACCUUCUCAACCUCGUGUCCAUCGGGGUUCUUCCCCCGAGGGAGCUCUGUUCUUGGCGGAUUUGCCACGGGGUCACUGUUCCGACAGAGGAUACCCAUGAAUCCAUGAUUUACGUUCCUUUUCUUCUCCGCGGUCUCGCUCUUCCUAUUUCCCCUUUUUCCGCGGCCUCCUUGAUUUCUAUCGCCUUAACUUGACCCAUCUGAAUCCCAAUUAUAUUCUGCAAAUUUCCAUUUACGUUCAUUUGUGCGAAGCUUUUCUUGGCGUUCUGCCACAUUUUGGACUGUGGAAGUAUCUGUAUCACUGUCGCCCUGGAAUGGCCGGGGGGCAGCAUCAGCUGGUUGGGGGUGCUAGUUUAGAGAUGCGCCAUGGAAGGAAGUCUGAUUAUCUUGAAAUCCCUCUCAAGGACAGUAUUAAGGGAUGGCGUUUGGAGUGGUUUAUCGUUGAGAACCACGGAAGUUCUCUCCCCCCACGGUCGGGGAGACAACCGGACGUUCGUACCCCGAGUUGGACCGAGUCCCCUACAGAUCAGGAGGUGGCUGAGGCUGGGGCUUUGCUAGCUGAAGUUGGACUGCUGAAGGAGAGGGGUCUGACUGCAGAGGCUGUGGUUGCUGAUUUUAUUUUCAAGAACCUUCAGCCGUUGAAGGACUGGGCUUACCUGACUUAUCUGUACAGAGGCCUAGCUGAAUCGACUCGGGUUACCAACAGAAGGAUUCCCUCUAUAGACUUAGUGAACCGACUUGAGAUGAUUCUUAGAGGCAAGGUAUCAAAUGUUGGUGCCCCAGUGGCAUACUCAGCCUAGAACCUACCUCCUCCCAAGGCCUUCACUCUUUUUGUGUCGAAUCCACCUGUCGCUGAUGGCAGUUUGGGCCUUAGAGUGCGACUCUCUGCUGAAGAAGUUAGCGUCUUCGUUGCUUCGAUUGGAGAAAUUCCCGAUGAUGAACGACAAGUCCACUUUGAGGUGCCUUUGGAUCCUAAUGAUGCAGAAAUAAGUGCUAUGCUUGAUAUGCUGGCCGAAGAUUCUUCUGAUGCUACUCCUGCUGGGACAUUGGCGGUGGCGCCUCUCCCAGAAGAUGGUACAACCUUGGAUGUUCAGAGACCUAUCAAUGUUCGCCCGAGACGUCCUUGCCGAGUCAAUCAACUUGAUCCUUCUGCUGAUGAGCAGAAAAAGAAAAAGAGACGUCUUCAGCAAGUAUCUAGUUUGGAUCAGGGCACUGGUCCUUCGGUUCCUGCUGCUGAGGGAGUUCCCGUGCCUGAAUUUACUGACGCUGACCCCAAUGGGUGUGGUAUGUCUGUUGCUGGCCCCAAUGUGUGUGAUCCAUCUGUCGCUGACCCCAAUGGGUGUGUUGCUGAUGAAAAUGACGGGGAGGAAGAAAAUGAGGUCCUUUUGACUCGGAAGAACAGUCGGCAGUAUAUUGCCAGUGGGGAAAGUAGUGGGGUUCCUUCUCCUGCUCUGUCAGCCCUCGUCGGUCUACAGGAGUUAUCUCUGGCGAACUUUGAUCAGACUCUAGAAGAUAUGGUUCCAGAGGACUUAUUAUCAGAGCCAGCGGGUGGUGACGCGAUGGAUGUUUGUGCUGAUGUGUUCGACGCCGGGUUGGGGUCAUCCCGGGCAGCGUCCCGCGCCUCAUCGACCUUAGAGCGCGGUCUUGAGGGCCAGGAAACUGACUUUGAUCGUCUUGCUCUCAUGGAAGUAACUAAGGGGCCUUCAGCCUUAGAGGCGGCUGCCGUAGAGAGCUUGACCCUCAGGGAUGGUGUUAACGCUCACCCAGCCCCUGAGGGUGUUGUUGGGGAUGGUUCGGCUCGGGUGGGUGGCGUAAGUCACGACCCAGCCCCCGAGGGUGUUGCCGGAGACGAUCCGGCUCAAGUGGGCAGCGCGAGCUAUGACCCAGCCCCCGAGGGUGUCCGAGCGGGGUCUCCCUCUUGUACUACCAUGGAUGUUCACGUCGGAUCUCCUCCACACUCUGGUGGCAUGGUGGUGGCCCAAGUUUCUGGUCAGGGAGUCGCCUUAAAGGCUAGCGUUCCUGCUGACCAAGUUUUGGGCUCUGUUGACGGUACUGAGUUGGUCCCUGCUGGUUCAUUGCAAGCUGCGUCGGGUGGCGACUUUAUGCCAGGCCAUCAAUUGAUCUCUCACGAUUUGGGUGUCCCUUCGUUCUUCUCCAACCUCCAGGUAUUGUGAUAUAUUUUAGCUUGACUUUUAUACCGCAUGAACUGCUGUUAUUACAUUUAUCUGUUCUCAAUAUCAGGCAUUGGUGGACGAAAUGGCUAGUCAGCUGAGGUCGCAAGGUGUGUAUGUUCUAGAAGGAGCUUUGUCUCUAGCGCGUUGGAAUCCGAUGUUGCUUCAACAGCGUGUCUCUGACUUGGAAGCGGCGAAUGCUAGUUAGUGCUCUUUUGAUUCCUUUCGUCUGCCUUAUUGAAUUGUUUCACAUUUUGACCCCCUUUGCUUGAUUUUUUCUCGCCAGGCAUGGCUCGACAGAUUUCUGUUCUUGAAGAAAAAAAUUCUCAAGGUCAGGCUGAACUGGUCCAGCAGUGUUCUGAUUUUGAGGAAAAGUAUUCCCAAAGCCAAACUGAGCUAGCCCAGGUCUCUGCUGCUCUAAAUGCUGCUAACACGCUGAACUCUACUCUUCGCGUUCAGCUUGAUUCUGAAAAGGUGACUUGUGAAACUGCGCCUUGUAUUGCUGUGUUCUUAUUGCUGGCCUGAUGUUUGAAGGAGUUGAUUCUCGCUUGCAGGAAGAAAAACGUGCCCUUGUUGCUUCUCGCGAUAAUCUGGAUAGACUGUAUCGUGACUCUAGCAACUCGUUGACCAUUCUUGAAAGGAGUCAUCAUUUCACCAUGGAGGAGUUAGAUAAUCUUCGUUGUAGGCUGCAGGAAUCCACGGAUGACGUGAUCCGUCUCAGGCAGUUGAUAUCGGCUAAGGAUGCUGCUAUCAAGGAACUGCGCGCUUCUAAGAAGUCCAUCGCCCAGGAGCUGGAGACUGC